AAACUUAAAGUCUUAGUAGUUUAAAUAACUUUGGCUUCCUUCACAAUCUCACCCAAAAAUAAAUAAAUAAAUAAACUUUGGCUUCCUUCACUCAUUGUCCAAUGAAUUUUGAGUUCCAACUUGGAACCUCAACUUGCUUCAUUAUGCCACUUUAUAUUAUACAGUAGAAGGUCUAACAAGCAGAAUUCUUUAGUAUUUCUUCAUUGAUGAUAGGGGGGUCAUUUGCCAAGACCUUAUUUUGUAUUUUCUUUCAUGUUAAAGAAGCAUCUGCAGUAACUGCCAAACACUUGCUUGUUCAACACUCAUGCGUAAGAGGGUUGUUCUCUGCAUUGAUUUUAUCGCGGUUUUGUGUUUUCCACCAUUUAUUUAGAAAAUCACUUGUGUGAUUUAAAAGUCUGUUUAGAGCAUACAGCGCUAGCAUUGCUGGCCUCAUAAUUCGUUGGAUUCUCUGAACUGUUAUUUUACCAUAAACCCUUUUCACACGUAGCAACAGCAUAUGCCAUAUGUUAAUCUCUCUCUCUCUCUCUCUCUCUCUCUCUGGAGCAUUUUCAGAUUCACCCUUCUCUUUGAAACAAGCAUGUCACAGGAGUUUAGACUACUAACUUAAUCAAUAUACUUAAGUAUUGCAGACACAUACAUGCAGGUGGAAAUGUUUUCGUACUGCAAUGAUAGUGUUGUACAUUCUAGCAGAAAUGGCAAUGGCAUUGGCAUUCUACAAAAAUAAAGGUUUCAAAACUUAGUUAUAAGUUAUAAGUUGACUAUCUAGUUUCUAAAUUAUGAUUUUAUUUUUCUCUUAUGCUUAUGGAUGAAGUUCAAUAGUUUUCAUAAAAAACGAUGAACUGAGUACACGACUUCAAGUGCAAUUAUAAAUACCUUUAAAUACUUAAAAUUACAAAUACUAGUUGCCUCUGAACAAUCAUCAAGAAAAAUAAAAUUGGAUUAACAUUACUUUUUCUUUUUUUUGAAGGAAGAAUUAAGAUUAAGAUUACUUUGAUCUAUUGUACUCCACAAGAAAAUGCUUACUACCGUGUUUAAGAGGCUUCUCGACUAGACACUAUGUAAAGAAUAAUGGGUCACCUGAGUUUUAGUCCAUAACAUGCAAAGGCUCACCAGUCCAACCCGACAUCAAGAGAUCGGGCCUAAAGUCCAAUCUACAUAUGAUUUAAAAUUGAGUGUUGCUACUCAUACACCCGAAGAUUUGCUCGCUACAGACUUCACCCACACCUACAUCAAUCUUCUGGCAGCCCUACAAUAAGAACAAGCCGGCAAUCAACACACCAAGCUGAUGCACACGCCCUUUAAAUCACAAAACACAUCUUUUGUGUCUUUAAAAUUCUAAAACUAGUGUAUGCAUACGUACAUAAGUACAUGUGAUUCAUACAUAAGCACUCUAAAGAAAACUAGAGUUCCUUUGUUUUUUUUUUCUCCCUACACUUGUGCAGCGAAGGAGACGUGUUAAAGUCUUAAAGACACGUGCCUCCAAAAUCAAUAAUUUUAUGGGAGAAAGAAAAGAUGCAUGGAUCCAUCGGGUCAUGGAAACACACACAGCCAAGGAUCAGUGUCGGCUAUUAACCCAAAAAAAAAUUUAAGGAUCAGUGUCGGGAUGUACAUAUUGGAUGAUAAUUUGUCAGUACUGGAUGCAUUCAGCCAACAAAAUCAUGUCCACUUUGUCAAAAGCUGUCCAAGUAAUUGUCUCUCCAUUUUUAGAGCUACGCACGUUGCAAGUUCUAGUGGCCUUCAUCUCCACACACACACACGCACACACGCACACACAAAAGUGAAGGAAAAAACUAAGACAUGAUCCACCUUUUCAGAAUGGCUGUUGGUCGCAACUCGCAACCAUCUAAUUAACACCAAAAUAAUAAUGUCACUUGAAUUUGAUGGGUUUCUUGACCCUCAAGUUUCAAGAGCCCGCAUUACUUAAAUAGUAGAUGGCUUAGUACUCGAAAUGUGAAAGUGGCUUUUCAGAAACUUGCUCGGAAAUCAAUUAACUUUGUAAAAGAUGAUGUGAUAACUUGAGAUAAGAUAUCAUGUCAUGUGGGCUGUUCCAGCUUGAAGUGAAAUAAAGAAGAAAAAGAAGGAAUUUUAGGUCACAAAUGCUAUAUAUAUACCUAAAAACUGGAAAUUUUGUUUGGCCUAGCAAGCUAGAUACCUUUUUUUUUGUCAAACAGCUAGCUACCUACCUUGAGAAAGAGGUCCUUCAAAAUUAUGGCUUUAUUAAAGCAAACUUAUAAAGGUUGCUUUGGUGUUCCUGGCCAAGUUCGUGAUUUGAUUUUUUGGUGGAUAUUCAUGACAUGAGGGUUGAGGGGUCCUCAAAACUCAAAAGUCAUUGCGUUCCCUUUCCUGCUAUAGAUACAUACACGUGAGCGUUUGUGUCUUAUUACUACAAACAUUGAUACUGUUCUUAAAUUAAUUCCUUGCAUAAAUCUAGUUAGUGCCAUGUUAUUAAUGAGGAAACCACUCACAUAUAUUUUAUUUUAUUUUAUCAUGUUUCUAAUAAUAUUUUUACAUUCUUGAGCAGUAAGUUCUUUGGCAACAAUGUCAUGAAGUAAAAUUUUCCUAAUGGAAAUAAAUGCAAAUGCACAUAAAUAUAUUCAUAUUUACUAUAUUGCAAAUGCAGCCACACAACAAAUGAAUCAAAAUUUCUUUUAAUAUCGUUGUAAUUGUAGGGGGCCCUUGACAUUUUCGUCCACAUAAUUUGAAGUCUUUCUCAAGCUACCACGUAUGUCCUAAAGUAAAUAUCAAUCAAGCUCCCAUUGGCUAGAGCAAUGACAAUGGCAUUAGCAUUCUGGGACCUUGCGUAUCCAAUUAUCUGUUUGAUCAAUCAAUGACCUGUAAGGCCUUGGAGAAAAUAUUAUAGAGUACGAAACUAUUUUUUUCACACUUAUUUACUACAUUGUUGGACACUAUAUUUCCUAUUGUGAAUAAAUCUUACAUAUGUGAGAUAUGAGGUACAUAAACAUAACUUUAAUGUCACCUUAAUGAAUUUGACCCAAAAAAAAAAAGUAGUCAUCUAAUAAUGGAUGAAGCGAUAUUAUUUAUACCAUAUUUAUCGACUACAUUGUUGACAUAUCUCUCCCACUAGUGAGAUACAUUUGAUUUGUCUGUUGCCACCUCUACACCUCUAUAUGUGAGGUACAUGUGAUAAGAAAAAUGUCAAGGUUGAUAUGGAAUUAAUGGUUUGGAUGGAAAUUGCCCAUAUUUAUGUGCCCUUUGUUGCCACAUCUACACAUAGUGAAAAAUCACAGAACAAGCACCUUUUGGUUGGAAACAUCCGCAAGUGAAAACAAUGCCAGAAGCUUCAUAGAAACCUUUUAGUAAUUUAGAUUAACAUCUAAAAUACCAGAUAGAACAAAUCAAUUUAAUUGUCUGGGACCAGUUUCCAUGCCUAAUGUUUCAAACCUGUCUCUUUCACCAGUGAAGAACAAGAAUGGGAGAGAAGAAACAAACGUCUUCCUCUUAUCCUUCACACAUAUUCAUUGGCUCCAGAAGAAUCAUCACAACCAUGGCAGUUUCUCCACCUCAGAAAUUUCACAGCCAAGUGAACACAAAAACCCUUAUCUAAUUCCCCCUUAGUUUCAAUCUCCUUCCCACCCAUUGCACCAAUUUCAACUUACCCUUUUUUAUUUUCUUCUCUAUCUUCAGCAAUGGCAGCUGAAAAUUCAUCAGGCACCAGGAGAAAUUCCAACACUCAGCUCCUGGAAGAGCUGGAAGCGCUCAGCGAGUCGCUCUACCAAUCCCACACUUCGAGUACUAGCACUCGAAGAACUGCCUCCCUUAUUCUUCCUCGAAGCUCAGUUCCUGCGAUACCGUCGAAAGAUGAAAUUGUUCCGGCUAGUGCUGAGGAGAUUAGACUCAAGAACAAACCCCGAAGGCGCAUGUCUUUGUCCCCGUGGCGCUCCCGCCCGAAGCUUAUCAAUGAUGAUGAUGAGAAUGAGCAAAAAGAUCGAGGCAAGAAGGCGACGAAUAAUAAUUUGCCGGGGUUGAGAAGCUUGGAUGACAAGGCGACUGCCACCACAGAGAAAAAGGGUAUCUGGAACUGGAAGCCGAUUCGCGCUAUCUCUCACAUUGGAAUGAAUAAGGUCAGCUGCUUGUUCUCUGUUGAGGUUGUCGCUGCACAAGGCCUUCCAGCUUCAAUGAAUGGCCUCCGGCUUUCUGUCUGCGUUCGGAAGAAGGAAACAAAAGAUGGAGCUGUUCAAACAAUGCCGUCAAGAGUUACACAAGGAGCUGCUGAUUUCGAAGAGACCCUUUUCCUUCGGUGCCAUGUGUAUUGCAGUAAUGGCCAUGGGAAGCAGCAGAAGUUUGAGCCAAGACCCUUUUGGAUAUAUGUGUUUGCAGUUGAUGCUGAAGAGCUUGAUUUUGGGAGGAGUUCUGUGGAUUUGAGUCAGCUUAUUCGGGAGUCCAUUGAGAGGAACAAUGAAGGUCAACGAAUUCGACAAUGGGAUACGAGUUUUAAGCUGUUAGGGAAGGCAAAAGGAGGAGAGCUUGUUUUGAAAUUGGGGUUUCAGAUUAUGGAGAAAGAUGGAGGAAUUGGAAUUUACAGCCAGACUGAUGAUUUAAAGUCUGUUAAGUCCAAGAAUUUCUCUUCUUCUUUUGCUAGGAAGCAGUCAAAAACAUCAUUUAGUGUGUCUAGUCCAAAAUUGUCAAGCAGAGGAGAAGCUUGGACUCCUUCACAAGCAGGAAAAGCAGCUGAUCUUCAGGGGAUUGAUGAACUGGACCUUGAUGAACCAAACCCAGUUCCAAUAUCAUCUUCUUCGUCUUCUUCAGCUGUGAAGCCAAAAGAACCAGAAGUCCCAAAGACAGAGGAUCUUGAUGUGCCAGACUUUGAAGUAGUGGAUAAAGGAGUUGAAUUCCAAGACAAGGAAGCGGAAUAUAGGGAAGAGCAAUCAGAAAAGUCUGUUGGGGCAAAAUCAGCAGCAUCAAGUGAGGUUGUGAAGGAAAUUGUACAAGAUCAAGUGCAUAUAACAAGACUGACAGAGCUUGAUUCUAUUGCUCAGCAGAUUAAAGCUCUUGAGUCUUUGAUGGGAGAAGAAAAAACCAACGAUAAAGAUAACGAAAUUGAAUCACAGAGAUUGGAGGCUGAUGAGGAAAAUGUAACAAGGGAGUUUCUUCAAAUGCUUGAGGAGGAGGAGAUCAUCAUGAACGAAUAUAAACUGAGCCAAAAUGAUGUUCCUCCUUUGGAGCUUGAAGGAGCAGAGGAAUCUGCAGAAGCUGAAUCAGAGGUGUGCCUUCCUGAUCUUGGGAAGAGCCUAGGCUGUGUGGUUCAAACCAGGGAUGGAGGGUACUUGGCAGCCAUGAACCCAUUAGAUACUUUGGUAGCAAGGAAAGACACUCCAAAACUUGCCAUGCAGAUAUCAAGACCAUUUGUUCUACCAUGGGAUCAGUCCAUGAGUGGAUUUGAAUUGUUUCAGAGAAUUGCAGCUAUUGGACUUGAUGAACUGAAUUCUCAGCUUCUAAAUUUGAUGGCCUUGGAUGAACUGAUGGAUAAAACCGCAGAGCAGAUCGCUUUUGAAGGCAUUGCUUCGGCGAUCAUCCAAGGGAGAAACAAAGAAGGUGCUAGUUCAACUGCUGCCAGAACCAUUGCUGCUGUUAAAACCAUGGCAAAUGCAAUGAGCACAGGUAGGAAAGAGAGGAUUUCAACUGGGAUUUGGAAUGUGAAUGAGAACCCCUUGGCAGCAGAGGAGAUUCUGGCGUUCUCCCUGCAGAAAAUUGAGGCCAUGGCUCUUGAAGCUUUGAAAAUUCAGGCUGAAAUAGCGGAGGAAGAAGCCCCAUUCGAUGUUUCUCCAUCGAACGGUACAACAAGUGGUGCAAAAGUUCAAAAUCACCCACUUGCUUCUUCUAUAUCACUGGAGGAUUGGAUCAAAAACCACAGCUUGGCCAAUUCAGAUGGGGAUCAAGAUCAUUCAGAAACAAUCACACUGGCAGUUAUUGUUCAGCUGAGGGAUCCAGUAAGGCGGUAUGAGGCAGUUGGAGGCCCUAUGAUUGCACUGAUUUAUGCAACAAGAGCUGAUGACACCAUUAAAGUAAAUAAGUAUGAGGAGGAAAAGAAAUUCAAAGUGACAAGUUUGCAUGUGGGAAGCUUAAAGGUGAGGACAAGAGGGAAGAGGAAUGCAUGGGAUAGUGAGAAGCAGAGGCUAACUGCAAUGCAGUGGCUGGUUGCUUAUGGAUUGGCAAAAGCUGCAGGGAAGAGAGGCAAGCAUGUGACAUCCAAAGGUCAAGAUUUGUUGUGGAGCAUUUCAUCAAGAGUAAUGGCUGAUAUGUGGCUCAAGUACAUGAGAAACCCAGAUGUAAAGUUUACCAAGUGAACUACAUGUAUUGUAAUAUUUGAGUGACAUCAUUUAUUUUUGUAAUUUAUUUGCUGCAAUAACAGAUACAAGGAGUAAACAGUGUCAGCUUGUAACAGCUCCAAAUAGUAAAAUAUGUUGCACUUGUGAAUAACUUCUAAGAAAAAUAUUAGAAGUCUCGCAAAACAAAACAAGAGAAAGUAACGCAGUUACUGUUCAAAUUCAACAUAUAUUGGAACAGCGCAAUUGCAGGAUUCGAACUCACGAUCUCUUCUCUCAUUCGAAUAAUUAUUUCAUACUAUAGCAAGUCAUGUUUUUUACCACUUCCUGACAAAUUUGUCUAAAUACUUUGAGGAAAAUCCUAAGAUGAUGAUUAGAACUUGAAAGAGGAAAGUCUAAAUUGCAGGAUUGUAAGCAAUGGAAUCCAAUGUGAUCCUUGAUUUGUAGGGAAUAUUGUCAUUCACUCAUGUUAAUUUAACCACGUCCAACACGAACGACCCGUUAAUCAUAUGUUUCCUAGCUUAUGUUCAUUCUUAAGUUAGGCAACAUCUAUUAGACAUAUCAUAUAUGGUAUAGUAUAUGUCCUCAUCGUAUAUCAUACUGUAUAUUGGACCAUUUUAAACAUACUCCUUGCCAUGUUUAUGUCAAUCCGACUCAACUUAUACCUUUAAUUAUUGAUGAAGUUGGAGGGAGAUUCAUGUCUUGUCAUUUUCGUCCACCGCAUUAGAAAACUUUAGAAAACCUACAUGGUGGUCCUAACCCUAAACAAAGAUCAAUGGUCCAAUUGAUUUGAGCAAGCCAGAACUUGGGACAAAUUGAACCAACGAAGGAGACAAGUAAAGAAAUUUGGCCUAGUGGCUCUCUUGCCAGGUACAUCACAUGGAUGACGACUUGCACAUGGGAAGAAUAACUGAGACUCACGACAUUUUUAAUCCAUCAUUAAAAACAUGUUAAAGGCAUUUAUUUAUAAAAUAAAUCAAUAAAUGAAUUCUUUUGCUCUGGUGACAUACAAUUCCAUUUUCAGUUUUCUUUACUGGAGGGAACACGGUCAUAUUCAACCAUCAAAACAAGUGUUAGACAAGUUCCAGAUCCACAAGAAUGGGCCCUUUGCUCCAUUGUUUUCCCACUUUGUGAACCUAACAUGGGUCUAGCUUUCAAAUGUUUGGUAUGGAGAGGAACUACAAAUCAAUUUGAUCUUCUUUUUUAUUUUUUUUAUUUUUAUAACAAUGAGAAACCAAAGCAUAUAUUUCAAGAACCCUUUUACAACCUGUACUGUUUAAAGAAAUCAAGGAAAAACAAAAGAAAAGAAGGCUGAGAGUUGAAAGCCAGAUAAAAGCACAUUUUUUAGGGGAAUGAUAAAGUAAAGAAUUUGACUCUACCACCCUCAAUAAUAUAUGACUUUAUGGAGCUUCUACCCACAGAUGAGUAUGGUGGAGGAAAAGACUUGUGUCACUUUCUGUACAACCCCCUUUAUUCCAUGGCCCCCCUUCUCUUUGUCAGGGUUCUUAUCCAACCCUUCCUUACCUUGACUCCUUCCACCUUGCUGCUCACAUGGCACACAUUGCCCUUGUUGGACCUCUUCCAUCUGAUGAGCUGGAACAAGUGCCCUAUCCUCUUCCGCCACCUAAGCGGCGUAUGGGAUUUCCCAUGCUCUAUCACACUCUUGGUGUCCUUAGCCUCCCUGACCUCCUUAGCUUCCUUAGCUUCCUUGCUGAAGUUGUGAUUCCAGGACAUGUUGCAAUGCUCUAGAGAGACCUUAGACACUCUGUUCUUCUCCCAUGAGGCAACUCCAUUCUCUUCAAACUUGAUUGAUAUGAACGAGUCUGCAAAAGCCAUUUGCAUUGUGAAAUUGUGAUUACGGAUGCCAACAAAAAUCACAAAAAUACACAUUCUUUAUAACAGUUUUUUUUUUUUUUUUGGUAAUUAGAAAACUCCCAUGACCCACUAUCUCAUUGAGUAUUGAGUAUGAGGUCUUAGGAUAAACCCCAAAUACGCAAUCAUACGCAAACUACAUGUACUUAAUACUAAGAACAUGAUUAAUCAGCGAGUUACUACAUUACAAUGGUUACAAAAAUGGCCCAAAGGGUCCCCUCCUACAUCCUAAUUUGCCCGAAUCUGCAUGACCAAAAUCAACAGCAAAUGUAGUUCAAUUACAACAACAACAAAAAAUGUAACUAGAGCGACUUCUGCAUAAAUCUAUGCAAUUAGAUUUCAUUUCUUUCAAAAUGGCGCUAAUGAUUCUAAUCUUCUCUGUUUAAAUUAUGUGAAUAUUUGCAAAUAGAAUAUGUUAGUCAAAUGUAACAACUGCGUCUUCAUUCCCUCCAAACUUUACCUUCAUUAUUAUUAAUUAUUAAUAGUUGGUUGGGAUGGAAGGAGAGAGGGUUGAGUGCAAGCAAAGAGAGAGGAAAACAAAUGGAGGUUAGAACUAAAGAAAUAAGGUAAUAUAUAAUGAUCAUACUACCUUUUUCUCUUUAAAAUAUUUAAAAUAUCAAAUUGAGUUACUUAAAAUAAUGGAAGUAUGGUGAAUAUUUCAGAUAUUUCUAAAGGGGGUUUUUUUCCAAAAAUAAUAUAGAUUAGAAGGAGUAGUGCUCCUCACUUAUUUUGAAGUGAACAAAUGCAAUUGCACAAAAUCUCAUAAAGGAAACUACCAUUUACUUCUAAAACCAAAAAAGGAUGCAUCUUGGUACAAAAGGAUGAAGCUUUCUUACAUAUUCGUCAAACUCAUCUGCUUAUGGUUUAAAAAACUCAAUGAUGGUUUCUUCAUAAACACCGUAAAAAAUUGUGAAUUGAUUAUUAAACCCCAAAACCCAACUCUUUUUUUGCCAUCUGACAACCGAUUUUUUCUUUUUCAUGCUUGUUAUUAACCAAUUUAAUUAAGGAAAAAAUGGAAUCUUACAUCUCCAAUCUGCCCAUUAAUAUUCCUGUAUGAACAUAUAUAUACUUUGACCCUAAUUUUGUCAUUAUUACCCAAAAAGCAACUAAUUAUGCAAACAUAAUCAACCAGACCGCCACAAACAAACACACAUACAAAUCCAAGCACAAUGCUUAGCCUUUAACUUUGUUUAUAUCACCCGGAAUUAAUAUCUCAUUAUCACUAAAAGCUGCAAGACAAAAAAUAAAACUAAAAAGACUAAAACUUUACCACUCACCCACAAGAAAAAAUUACCUUCUUGGCUGGUGGAGGCCUCUUGAUCCAAGUAAUUUGGCUUCCACUGUCGAUUGAAGAAAGAGCUGAAAGCAAAGAUCUUGGGGAGGCUAAUGGGUGGCUUCUUGUGCAUGCCACUCGGAGUUCUAUGAGCACUAGCUCUGCCACUGGCUGAAGAAACAUGGUGGCCCUUUUUUGCAGCCAAGAUGAGAAGCUUCUCGGUCAAGCACAGAGAGCAAACACCCACAACCACCUCCUUUGGGUGGAAAUAGCAAUAGGAGUUGUCUUCAAAAUGCCCAUUCAUGUUAAGGCUGAGAGAAUUGGUUUGUUGAGAAGAGUUGAGGGUUUGAUUGAUGAGAAAGGUGAAAAAGAAAAGCGAAAAGGAAAGGGAAAAAAAUUUUGUGACUUGAAAAGAAAGAAUAGGUUCUGUUCUGUUCUGUUCUCUGUUCUGCUCUGCUCUGUGUCCGAGAAGUGGGAAUACGUGUUGUGUGUAUAUAUUGUGGAAGUCGUCAUUUAUAGUUGGGAAAAAUUUUAGAUCAACGGAGGUGAUCAUGUGGUUGGCCCACAAAUCAAUUUGGCCAAUAUAAAAUGUAGGAAUUGGAUAGCCCUGUAUGGAGUACUAAGACAUUACAUAUACAGUAUUACUAAGCAAACAUCUUUCCUUGCUAGGUUUUAAGUGUAAAACUGGCCAAACGUGUAAAGUCGUUUAGUUCUUUUAUUAUUUUUUAAUACAAACGAUAGUCUAAAUUAUAAAUGGAAAAGAGAUUUUUCACACAGACAUUACUAAUGUAUUAUGGGAAUUCAAAUCUGAGACCACUCAUCUACAAGUCAAAGUCAUUUUCCAUUAAGUUAGACCUCGUUGAUAGUUCUUUUAUUGUUUAUUUUGAGUUUGUAAAACAAAUUUCAUUGUAGGAUUUGAGGAACAAAAUCUCCACUCAAAGUUCAAAAUACCAAAACUCAUGCCCCAUACUUAUAACUACCUAUAAGGCCAAACCAAUGCCCCCAAAUUACAAACAUAAUUUUAAAAUUCACAUUGAAAUCCUAAAUUUAGAAAUCGUCAUAUCUAAUCCCAAAAUGUCAAAAUCCACACUUCAAACUCUAAAACGUUAAAAUUCACGCUUGAAACUCUAAAAUGCAAAAUUCAAACCCUACACUACAAAAUCCCAAAAUCCACACUUGAAGAUUAGAAAAUAAUGUAAACCCCAGAAAGUAAAAAUUCCUCCAAAACUCAAAAGAUUCACAUCUCAAACUUAAAAUAACAAAGUUCACACCUGAAUCCUCAAAAUGUCUCCAAUUCACACCUCAAACCCAAAAAGUAAUUCUUCUAUGCGCAUCUACUUGAGCUAGUGGAUUCCCAACAGACUUUUAAUCCACAUCCAAUCCAAUGGCUUUUUAAAGUAAAACUGUUAAACUUGUGACUUAAAGUUUGUAUUGGGUGCUUCUGUUUUUUAUCUUUUCUGUUCUGUUUCAACAAAAGCAUGGAGAAAAUUACUGGUAAUGUGGCCUAAGACCAUUCUGCUCCCUAGCCUAGAGGAAAAACAAGAACAAAACUAUGCAGUCAAUUGAUGCUGGUGCCCACACGUUCAGUUGAAUGAUUAUAUAUUUAUUUAUGGCUAAUCGUAAUCAUGGUAUGUAUUUUUCCCAAAAGUGAAGACUUAAUGCCUAGAAUUUGACAAAACCAACCCAAGAAACCCUAUAAAAAAACAAUUGGAUUGGGAUGUGAAGUUGGCCACUGGCAUGUGAGGUUCAAGUCAAAAAGUGCGACUUCCACUUUAUUUCUAACUUUAUAAAGGCACACAGCGCAGCAAAACUGGCAUAGGAUGUAACUAAAGCGGAGGGAAGAGUGCAAAGUGGAGCUGUUUUUGGGUCUUGGUGGGUAUUUUGUAGAUGCCCAAAGGGAAGCUCACAAGAUUUGGCAAUUUUUUUUGUAGUGGUUUUUCUUUUUUCAUCACGUCUUGGAAAAGGCUGUGGUGUUGUGCAUGCCUAUCUCCAAGAAGGUUAUUUUCUCUACAAAUGUAGUCAAGGCCUUGGUAUUGCAAAUUCCCUUGGAAGACCAGAGAAUGUACUUAUAGAAUUUGUGAAAAACAGACAUGUUUUUUCUUUUUCAAGAUCUUGGCGACAUUUAUGCACGCCCCCAAUCUCCAAAAGCUCACAUUCAUAUGUCGAUCCUUACAAGUUUAAUUUUGUCCAUUUUUGGUGUUUCAAGAUAAAGAUCUCUCAUGUACUUUGACAAAACAUGUCUACCUUAUUGUUCUUAGAAAACCACGCCCUAAAACCUUAAGCUAUUAUAUAUACACCAUCCCUCGCAUGGAGAGGCAAAUCAAUAGGAAGAGAGAGACAAACAUAUAAACGAGAGCAAGUUGAAAUCUGCAUAAUUUAGUACUUUCAAGAAAUAUACGUCUAAUUGUUGAUUGGAUAUAACGUCUUUGGCCAUUGAAGGAUGAAUUUCAUAUAAUCAUUAGAUUUUCCGUGUGAAGUAGAAAUACCUAACCUUAAGAAAGUGGCAUGAGUAAAAAGUGAGAUUUUAAUCUAGAAAUUACAUACAUGGAAUGCCUUUUUUUUUUUUUUUUUUUUUUUUUUUUUUAGGGUGUGAGAUUGGAAGAUAUGUUACGAAAAUCCUUAAAGGCUUGAAGCUUAAUACCUUGUAAGGUCGUCGUUUUACUCUUGCCCUAUGGAAAAUCCUAAAAGGUUUAGAAGGUGAAGUAAACAAGCAAAGUACACAAAUUUGUAGAAAAUUGGAAAAAUUAAAAAUUUAAAAAAAAAAAAAAAAAAAAAAAAGAGGUGAACAACCAAAGUACUGGGCACAUGGGGAGCGGGAAGUGGAGUGGGGCUGCUUCUAGUUUGGCUGCCUCAACUCUCAAGUCAGGUUCAUAUCAUGGACUGUGGACCAGAUUUGGAUUAACAGGCCUCCUUUUAGGCCAUAGGCCAUGUGACAUACAUAUCAUCAUUGGCCGGAGAUGGCACUACGUGGCUAUGAUAGCAAAACAAUACUACCUCUAUUAUAACUAAGUUUUUCUCUCCUUUCUAGGGCUACCCAAGUAUGCUUGGCCAAAACAAAAAAAGGCUACCCAAGUAUCAACAUUCUUCCACUAAAUUCACAAGCUAUCCAAGUGUCAACAAAUUUAAAUCCAAGUCUAGACAUACAUCUCUCUCGAAAACAAACCUAGACGACUAGUGUCUGCAACCCAACCUAGAUGUCAACUGAUCCCAAAAACAUAAAAAUAAAAUUCAUCACCAGUUGACUGUCUGCAACCCUAUGCUCUUCUGGUGGCAACUUCAACAACAGUAACCAUAUUAUCCAUCUGCAAGCACUUACCAUCCUUGUGAGUGAACCGCUCCGAUGAGCGUUUAGGAAACACACCAUAUGGGUUACAUAAGCGCUAACCUUGGCUGCACCAUGGACUGCCCAAAGUUCCUCCAAAAUAAAAAAGACACAAAAGGAAUGGUUAAGGAAGAUUUCAAGUUUCAAGUUGUGAAAGCAUAACAUAAAUGUUUGAAAUCCUUUUAUGUUUCUGAUGUACAUAUAACAAUUAUAAAUACAAAGGCUUCAUUGGUAUAUAAAGAGUAGGGAAGAAAUUAAAGAAGCACUAUGAGACACAUGGAAGAUAGUGUAGCAGACUCACCAUAUCAGAGUCGGGAAGCUGGUUUCUUAUCUGAUUCUCAUCUCUACGCCCUCCUGAUCUUUUCUCUGAUUUAAAAAUCAAAGUGUUCAAACAAAACUCCCAAAUGAAUCACAUUCACAUUUUAUAUGGCUUAUAAAUGUACGUCUGUUAACAAUGGGAUUCUUAUAUAUCUUUGCUGCAAGAGAUUAAGGUUUCAUUAUGAAGGACUUGAUAAAUACUUAGAGACAAUAUAUACUCUAAUAACGCAAACACCUGAAAAUGUGAAGCAACUGUGGGAACUCAGAGUCUCCGGGGAACAGAGUCUGCCUCCUCCUCACCAUCUCAGCUGCAAUUCAAAAAUCCUUAAUUUGGUAAUUCAAAGUAGUGAUGAAAUCACACACACUAAACAUUUUGAUUUCACAUAACUCACCAUAAUGAAUAUCAAACACUAACACAGAAACUCUAUUUUCUUUUCCCCUCAAAGUUCGAAGUAUCAACAUCACGAAUUGGAGAAAGGACUUUUUAAUUCAUUUUCUCUUGUUUGUAUAUCAGUAUCAAUAAAGUUAUACGUAAAGAAUUUAGAUAUAUUUAUUUUAUUAGGUAUGGCCUUCCUUCUUCAAUUGCAUGCCGCUUCAUAUGAAUUCCAUCAGCUUCGAUCUCAUGUUGCCCUUGUUCCCCUUCUUCUCAAUAUCUUCAGGGUAGAUUAUAUUAUGUUGCCGGAGUGGGUAAAUCCCAUCGUGUUGCCGCUGUUGUCUCUCAUAGCCACCCCUUUAAUUUUCAUAUCAUUGCUGUUGGGAUUUCCAGCAAUGCCAUGCGUGGAUUGCUCUUGACCCAUAUUGUCUCACUGAUUGAUUUUUAGUUGGGAUCUGCGUGUUUGCUUUGAGGAUGAACUCAUUUUGCUUUGAGGAUGAACUCAUUGCCUCAUGGUCGCCUUUUAUAGUUGUUGGCAUGCACAUAUGAAGAUGAUAUCCUUUUUCUUUGGAUGCUCGAUACGCUCUGAGCAUGAUCUAUAUUGAUCAUAAUAUUCAUCACAUAUAUUUACAUUCAUAUCUGCUUGGAAUAAUAUACUCGAGUAUAAAGGUUGCUAAUUUGCCUCGUCCGAUAGCUUUAAUGAGAAUAUAUAAAGAAUAUAUAAACAUGCAUGUCACAUUUGAAGUAUCCUUACCUUGCUUGCCAAGCCACUCCCUAUGCCAGCCUUCAGAACAACCUCAAAUUAUGGCGAAGCAAUUCAGUUUUCUCCUCUAAGGAUUGAAAAUUACAGCCUGUACUAGAGAAUACUCUAGUUUACGCUUGUCUUCUUGGAAUAAUAUACUACAGUACUGUCGUAGUGGCCUUUCUUUUUCUCUUUUUAGCUACUAGUAAUAGUUCAACACAGUUAAAACUAAGACACAUGAUUGAAUAGUGAAUUAUUAUUUCAUACUUCUCCUUCUCUUAUAUAUAUACAAGUAUAGGUUGACUUCUCCAACAAGGAAAGAAAUUAGCUAAUUACAAAGAAUCAUAACUAAGUAACAACUCUAAUUAGGUAAAGUGAAUUGCACAUACUCUAAUUAGGUAAUAUGACUCAUGCCAACACUCUCCCUCAAGUUGGUGCAUGGAUAUCUCAUAUGCCCAAUUUGUCAAGUAAGUAAUGAAAAACCUUUGCAGAUACCGCAUGUUUUAAGACAUCUGCCAGAUGUUCUCCUGACCUUACAAACGGUAUAUCAAUUAACUUUUUCACCAACUUCUCCUUGAUAAAAUGCUUAUCCACUUCAACAUGCUUAGUUCUAUUAUGUGAAACUGGAUUAUUUGUUAUCUCCCUACCAACUUGGUUAUCACAAUAAAGCUUCAUGGCCUUCUAUGGUGGAAACUCAAUUUCAAACAGGAGUAUUCUUAGCCAAAUAAGCUCACAAACUCCAUGCCACAUCCAUGUACCCCCAAUGAAAGUGAAGUAACCUAAUGUAAAACGUCUAUCUGUUAUAUUGUCUGCCCAAUAUGCAUGUAUAUAACCCUUGACAUCAAAAUGCCCUAGUUUUCUCAAUAUCAAAUCUCUUGCUGGAGCUUUCUUCAAAUAACUCAAUAUUCUCAUAAAUGCUGCUAAGUGAUACUUACUAGGGGAAUGCAUGAACUCACUAACAACACUAAUCGCAUAUGCAAUGUCUGGUCUAGUGUGUGAGAGAUAAAUAAAUUUUUCCACUAACCUCUGAUAUAUAUAUAUAUAUAUAUAUAUUUUCUUGUUGGUUGGCACUUGAUUAGGACAUGUUGCUAAAUGAUGAUUCUACACAAUAGGGGUUUAGGGUGGUGCACGCCCUAACAUACCACUCUCUAUCAAUAUGUCUAGAACAUACUUCAUUUGAGAAAGACAAAUACUAGUAGCUGAGCGAGUUACUUUGAUUCUCAGAAAAUACUUCAAAGCUCCCAAGUCCUUCAUCUUAAACUAUGAGGCUAAGUACUUCUGUAAUUUACUCAUUUCAUUAAUGUCAUCACCACUAAGAACCAUAUCAUCUACAUAGAUUAUCAGCAAAGUAACCUUACCAUCCCUACGUUUGAUAAAUGUAGUAUGAUCCAAAUUACCUUGGUGAUAUUCAUACUUCUUCAUUGCUUCAGUGAACCUCUCAAACUAUACUCAUGGAGACUGGUUCAAACCAUAAAGAGCUUUGGAAGCCUACAGGCCUUCCCACUGCCACUAGACAACCCAUAACUAGGUGGUAGAUCCAUGUACACUUUUUAUUCAUGAUCUCCAUGUAAAAAGACAUUCUUCACAUGAACUACUUGAAAUGCCAAUCUAAAUUAGUUGCUAUGUACAAUAGAACUUGCACUGUAUUCAUUUUCACAACUGGAGCAAACCUAUCUUGGUAGUCAACUCCAUAUGUCUGCGUAAACCCCUUGGCUACAAGUCUUGCUCUAUAUCUGUCAAUUGUCCUAUCAAGUUUGUGCUUAACUGUAUACACCCAUCGACAUCCAUUAUGUUUCUUUCCCUCAGUUUGCUGAACAAUUUUCCAUUUUUAUUAAAAUCGCUAUGAAAGGUUUACCAAAAUGCUAUAAAACAAUAGUAGAUUAUGGCUCUCAGAUGUUUUCAUCUUCUUCUUCAUCCAAGCAGAUCGAUAACAUAUGGUCACUACUGACUUUUUUUCUUGUAGUUCUCAACUUCCAUCUUUCAAGCUAUCAACCAAGUUGUUGCAUUGCUCCUCACUGUUAGAAGAGCCUCCCUUCCCUCCUCCUCGAUUGAUUGAAAGAAAGAAAACAAAAGCAACUUAUGAAACAAGCCCCUCAUUUCCUUGUUAAACAUAAAUCGACCCAUUAUUAACGAGGACUCAGAAUCUAAGAGCACACUAGUAAUUAACCUGAGUGAGGAAUAUGGAUGGUGGAUCUCUCUCUCUCUUUUUUGAAAAAAUCAACUUCAUUAUCCUUGGUGAAUUUGUUCUGAAUUAGUCGUGUCAAGCUAUUACUAGCUAGCUAAAAACAAUACUGUAGUAUAUUAUUCUCUGCAUUUGGGCAUGCCAACAACAAAAAAUAUUAUUCUCUAUUAUAGCAUAGAGACUAAUUAUCAAAACAGAAAAUAUGAAAAAAGAAGCUCCCAAUCCGAACUUUAAGUCACAAGUUUAACAGUUUACUUUAAAACAAAAGCAAGUUACGAAACAAUCCCCUGAUUUCCUUGUUAAACAUCAACCGACCCAUUAUUAAUGAGGAUUGAGAAUCUAAGAGCAUAUGGACGAUGGAUCUCUCUCUCUUUUUGAAAACAAAAACAAAAACAAAAAUCAACUUCAUUAUCCUUAGUGAAUUUGUUCGGGAUUAGUUGUCUUGAAUUAGUACAGCUUACUUACGCAAUCGAAUAUCAAACCUAGCUAGCUAAAAAGAGAAAAAGAAAGGCCACAACGACAGUACUGUAGUAUACGUGAAGAAUCUUAUGAUCUAUAAUAUUCUGUAUUAUUGGCCAUCAUUUUCAAUCCUUAUUAAAGAAAACUUGCUUCGCCAUAAUUUCAAGUUGUUCUGAAGGCAGGCGUAGAGAGCACGUAGCUUGGCAAGGGAGGUAAGGGCACUUCGAAAGAUUCCUUCUCAUCAUCUAUACAAGGAAAUGUGUUCUCAUCAAGCUAGGGGACAAGGCAAAUUAGCAACCUUUAUACUCGAUAUAUUAUUCCAAGCAAUAUUAUGAUGAUGAUCAAUACGGAAUCUCUGUAUCAUGAUCAGUGGAUGUAUCGAUCGACCAUCCCAAGAAAAAGGAUAUACGUACUCUGCAUAUGUGCAUGCCAACAACUAUAAAAGGAGACCAUGAGGCAAUGAGUUGAUCAUCAAAGCAAACACACAGAAAUCCCAACUAAAAAUCAAUCAGUGAGACAAUGGCUGGAACCAAUGAUAUUAAAAUUAAAGGGUUUGAUUUGAGCAACAACAAAGGCAACACGUCGGGAUUAACCCACUUCGCCAACAGAGCUGCCGAGGGCGACAAGGGCGACAAUAAAAUCGAGGUUGAGGAUGCUAAAGGGCAAGGGAACACGGGAAACUUGAAAGUACUGACCGACUUCGCCCAACGCGGUAAAGUGGGCCAGUCGGAUCGCCAAGAACUACUCAAACCUCAGGCAUGAAAUUGAAGAAGGCCAGACCACAACAACUUGUCUGCUUGAUAGAUAUAUGUGCUAAAUUAUCUACACAAAAAUAAGAGCUGAUGUUUUAUCUGAGGCUCCUUCCUUGGUUAGGCCUCGUUAUCAUGUGUAAUAUUAAUAUUAUUAUUCUAAUAAAAUAAUGGUAGCUUAUUAUUAAAUAUAUCAGAAUUCUAUACGUAUAACUUUUAGAUUAUUGAUACUGAUGUCAACAAGAGAAAAUGAUUAAAAAUUCCUUUCUCCAAUUCGUGAUGUUAGACAAGAAGCAAACAAAUUUAGGAUAAUGGAUUUUAAAAGUUUGGUGACAAAUGAUGGUAAAGAAGAAUUUAGCCACUACUACAAAAAGUGAAAAAGACGACCAGAAAACAACGACGGUCUAAGUGAAAACCGUCGUGGUUUAUAAAAAGACGACGGUUCUAAAAACACCGUCGUGUAAUACAACCUUAGACAACUAAAAAAUGGAGUUUCAAAUGGCUGUUCAAAAACAACGACGUACAUAAUUAAACAACCGACGUCUAUUUGAAACAGAUUUCCUCAGUGUAAAAUCAAUGCCAACAAAGAACGGCAGAAGUUAUGAAUCGACCGACGUAGAAAGUAAAGACGACGAUUUCAAUAAAAACUGCCGUUUUUACUCAUAAAAUAACACGACGAGGUUUUCGUAUAAGACGCCGUAUAAUUACAAACAAAUCCACGGCUUUAAAAUACAAAAUAUCGCCGUAUUAAAUUAAUUUACAACGACGGAAAAUAUAAAUAUAUCGACGUCAUUCUCGUAUAGUUCUACUACGUUAUCUUUAAAUCGUACAAUAAAAUUUAUCGUCGUAUUUAUUCAUUUUAUACGUCGUACCUUUAAUUUUAACGGUCGUCUUAAUAAGAAUUUUUGUUAACAAUUUUUUUCUUUGAUUUUCUUAUCCUACGUCGGUAGAUCUACUUAAUGACAAGAAUUGAAAUAACCACGACGGUUUAUAUAGAACACCGCCGACAUAAUCAGUUUUGUCUGAGAUCCCAAGGGUUACGAAAUCUUACCAGAUGGAACUCUGUUCCACAUCAUAAUCUUAACAGAUGACACAGAUUUGCAAAUAUUGCGUCGUGUUAGUUUACAAAUUCUAGAACAUUAAUUUCCCUCAUUUUAAAUUUCCUCGGGAAAGAAAAAUCUAUUUAUCACGCUUUGGAAUUGAAAACUAAAACUGAAAGAAUACGGGAAAAAAAACUCCAUUUAUAAUUUAAAAUUAAAAUCCACGUCGGUUGUAGUACACUUAACGACGUUUAACAAAAUAAUCUACGUCGGUAAUUAUAAAUCUACCGCCAUCGUAACUUAAUAUAGACGACGAGAAAAGACGACGGUAGAACAGAAAACCGCCGUUGUUUCAGUUUCUUUAACAUAUCUUUCUGCAGGACUUGUGUAGUUCAAAGCAUUGACAAUGUCUUCAUCAUAUCUCCCAGAAACUACUGAUUCAAUUGCUCAUGCUUUAGAGGCCAUCUGAAGCCAUUUCUAUUCUUUAUCGCAUUCUUGAAACCCAUCUUCUUCUUCUGAAGCUCUACGGAUAAAGGAAGAGGCUAUCACAAUAAAUCCGACGGAUCUUCUUAGGCAAGAAAAUCAAGCAGAGGAUCAGGCACAUCUGAUCUUCAGAUUUCCCUGAGAAGCGAACUUUCCUUCGACAGCGAGUGGAGGCCAGGCUUGCAUCUCUUUUGAUGGAAAGCAAGGAGUAUUCAGAAGCACUAAGUGUCCUAUCAGGCUUGAUCAAGGAAGUGAGAAGGCUAGUUGACAAGCUUCUUCUUGUGGACAUAUAUUUGAUGCGAGUAAGCUCAAUUUCUCUUUGAGAAAACAUCCAAAUUAUUAUCUUUGAGACAUGAGAGACUGAGAGAGGAAGAACUUGGAACCUUAAAUGUAAACCGAAAAUGAAUGAAAGCGACAAAUUUAUAGAAUAAAUUUUUAAAACCAACGGCGGUCCUUACAAACAAACCGCCGUUUAAAUUGUAAAAUCAACGUCGGUAUGAUCGACGUAUAUUACAGAAAUCCACGUCGGUAAAUUAAUAAAAACGACGUGUUAAAUAAUAUACCAUGACGCGAGUUAUUACUUAUGUACUUUAAUUUUUGAGUUUACUACGACGGUACCUACAAACUACUGUCGUAUUUAUUUACCACGUCCGAAGUUAAAUGUACCGUCGUAUUUUGUAAUUUAUACGUCGUAGUUAUAUGUAACCGCCAUAUUAUUUUUUUGAAAUGGUUUUAUAUGUAAGCAACUUUUCGUCUACUUGACUUACACAUUUGUUGUUUUUAUAUUCUUAUUUUAUUUAAAUCUGUCAUCCAAAAAAGAAACUUUACAUAUUGCAGAAUAUUAAUUUCCUUCGUUUUAAAUUUCCUCCGGAAAAAAAACUCUAUUUAUAACGCACUGUAAUUGAAAAAUAAACUGAAAGGUCACGGGAAAAAAAAUUCUAUUCAUAAUUUAAAAAUUAAAAUCCACGUCGGUUAUAUUAAACCUAACGACGUUAAAUGAAAUGAUUCCACGUCGAAUGAAAAAUAUUGCGUCGUUUUAGUUAAAAACGACGUAGUUAAAUGUAACCGCCGUAUUAUUUUUUUGAAAUGGUUUUAUAUGUAAGCAACUUUUCGACUUACACAUGCACUGUUUCCAAACCCGAUUAAAAAUUUCAAUCUCCCAGAGAAACCUUUUCGUCUUUUUUCCUUGUCAGAGCAUUGUCAGAGUUUUUCAUCGUCUUCCUCUCGUCUUCUUCGUCGUCUCUGAACUUAAACAUCGAUCAUCUUCCUCUUGCUUUCAUUGCACGCAAAAGGUAAGCUUUCAUUUUCACUAUUUUGGUUACUGUUUUGCAUGCUCAUACGUUUUUUGUUUGAAAAAUCUUUUUACCUUUUUUCUGGCCAAAAUCAUUUUACUUCUUUCCAAGUUUGAUAAAAUAUACAGACAAAGAGAGAAAGUUUCCAACUUUGAAGACAACUACAUCAACUAAAUAAGACGACGGUAGACCACGACGGUUCGUCAGUUGUUCUAGCGUCGUCUGAAAAUUGACAAAGUUGUUUUUAAAAUAAUAGUCUUUUUUUAUAUGCUUGUUUAAUUGCAGGUUUGAUUUCGCUGAACAAUGGUUUUUGUUUUUCCCUUAUUUGAUAAAAUAUAAAGAAAAAGAAACUAGGGUUGGUAUCUAAUAUAGACGAUAAAAUAUAAAUAAUAGUUUACCACGACGGUGUAUUACUAUUGACGUCGUGUGAACAUAUAUACCACGACGUUAUAUAAAUAAUGGUUUUAAACAUUUAUUACGUCUGAGAUUAUUUCAUUGCGUCGUCUAAAAUCAUAUCAUACGUCGUAUUUUUUUAAUACCGUCGUUUGUGUUCUUAAUGUUUUCCUGAAAUAUUUUCACUUGCAGUUUUGUCUGUUAAAAUGGUUUCUCAACAACAAACUAAGGAUUCUGGCUCCAAGAAGCUUGGAAUGGUAGCUCCUCAAGAUAAGUCUUCGAAGGAGAUGAAGUCUUCGAAGAAGAUGAAGUUUGCUUCAUCAUCUGCUGAGACAGAACAAACCAGCCAGACAACAAUCUCAGAUGAUUCAAAGACUGGUCGAGGUAUGAGCACAAUGCCUCGUGUUGUGAAGAGAAAGCUUCAGAAACUGAGGCCAAUUGUUGAGUACAAUAAAAGGGGGAAAGGUGUUGGCCAAGCACAUAUUGAGAUGCAGUCGUAUAUUGGUGUGUUGGCACGCUCCAGGAUCCCACUUGUGGACAAGAAAUGGUCCCAAAUCCCCAAGGAUAUAAAGGAGCAGAUUUGGGAAGCAGUUGACAUGGCUUUUGUCGUAGGCCAAGGGGGCAAGACCUCUGUUUUAGCUUCUGCUUCCAAGAAAUGGAAGGAUUUCAAGUCUACACUAACGAGGCAUUAUAUCCUUCCAUACACCAAUGACAGGGAGAAAUUAAGCCAACCCCCUGAAACAUAUAAAUUCAUAGAGAAAGCACAAUGGGAUGCCUUUGUAGCUUCAAGGCUAUCCAAAGAUUUUGAGUCUGUGCAUUCUCAACAUGCACAGAUUAGGGAGAAACUCGAGUACAAUCAUCGAUUGUCUCGAAAAGGAUAUGCUGGAUUGGAGGAUCAAUUGGAGGAAACCAUGCCUGGGGUAGAAAUUGAUCGAUCUACCUUAUGGAAGAGAGCUAGACAGGACAAACAUGGUAACAUCCCUGAUCCAAAGGUGGCAGAGAAAGCAAAAUUAAUUGUAAGCCUACUAUCACUCUGUUUUAAAUUUUUAUUAAACUGUGAAUUAUUCUUAUUACGUCGUAUGUUAUAUUUUUCGUCGUGUGAAUGAUAUUACCACGUCGAAAAGUUUUUAAAAACGUCGUUAAAGGUCUAAAUAGGAAUCACUACUAUGUUUUCUGUAAUUACAGCAUAAGACGUCGGUGGUUCAUUUUCGCGUCGUGUGAAUGAUAUUACCACGUCGAAAAUUUUUUAAAAACGUCGUUAACGGUCUAAAUAGGAAUCACUACUCUGUUAUCUUUAAUUAUAGCAUAAGACGUCGGUUGUUUAUUCAUUUCGUCGUUUUAAAUAAAUAACCACGUCGGUAUAACUACCGUCGUGAUAAGUUAUAAUAACGUCGGUUUAUACGUUAUUGCGUCGUGUGAAAUUAUAUAAUACGUCGUUUGUACAUAAAUAACCGUCGUGUGUUUUUUUGUUUAUCUUUUUUUAGGAUGAAUUGCAGAAACAAGUCUCGGAAGGCAAAGUCAGAGUAGAUGGCAGCAAUGAUGUGCUGACCAUGGCUUUGGGCCCCGAGCAUCCAGGCAGACUGAGGGGAGUUGGUGCUGGUGUUUCCCCAAGGCAAUAUUUCAAUUUGCCCAAACCACAGAGGGUGAGCUUUGACGACCGUUUGAAGGACAGUUUAAGAGUUCUCCUUCAAGAAGAGACUAAAAAGAUGGAGGCUAAGGCAAGGGAAGAGGCCUUAAGGAUGGAGGCUAGGACAAAACAAUUGGUAGAGGCUGAGAGGGAGCAUUUCCUGAGUCAGCUUUCCCAAUUAAUUCCCAAUUUUGAUCCAAGCAUGCUUAAACCAAGAAUUAGCCAAAGCCCCAAAAAUCCAAUGUCUGACAAAGCUAGCUGCUCUGGAGGUGAUGUGAGAUCCCUACAUUUGGAGGAUGAUACUGCCAAAAUGGGGAAACAUCAGCCAGAUGAAGAGAAGGAAGAAGAAAAAAGAGAUGAAGAGAAGGAAGAAGAAAAGGAGAAAGAAGAUGAAGAAAAGCAUGACGACAAGGUAUGUUCACAUAACUUUGCCUUUUUUAUUUGUUUUUCAAAAUUUCAGACGUCGAUAUUUUUAUUUAAUCCGUCGUUUGUUUAAAACUUAGACGGCGGAAUUUUUUUAAGACGUAAUAAAAUAUUUAAACGACGGUUUUUGCACCGUCGUUUAAAUGGUUUCAGACGACGCUUUAUUCAUAAAACCGUCGUCUUUAUUGAAUUACCACGACAGUUUUUUCACCGUCGUUUAAAUACUUUUAAGACGACGUUUUAUUACUUAAACCGUCGUCUUUAUUGAAUUACCACGUCAUUUUUUUUAUUUCUUUAAACAGGUUAUUGAAGUUGGUGCUUAUUCAAAAAUGGAGGCGCCAUCUUCUUUAAAAACCCUUUGUCGUUUUGUGGAAACGACACUCCUGCCUGAGGAUAAGACACUCCAAUUUACAAUUGAUAAGGAGGUGUUUGGUGGUGAGCGCGAUACCUUCCUCCUGCCUGAAGAUAUUACACAAUUUGCAGGCAUGGAAGAAAUUGGAGCUACUGUAUUGGCUGUAUAUAUGAGGUUUGUACUUCUAAAAUAAUACCUCGUUGGUUUAUAUAUUGCGUCGUCUUAACUAACUAACCACGUCGUCUUAACUAACUACCGUCGUGAUAAAUAUAUUAUAACGUCCUCAUCUAUUUCAGUACGUCGUGUGAAAUAUUAUAAUACGUCGUUUUUUUAUACAUAACCGUCGUGUUUGUUUGUGCUGACUUGUUUAUAUUAUUUUAUGUAUUUAGGUACUUACACGAUGUUUUGAAACAAGCCAAUAUGUGCAGCAUGGUUGGCUUUAUUGACCCUGCUACAGUUAGUGCCAACUCUGGCACAAUAACUGAAAGAUCACGACUGGUAGCAGCUCGACUUCAGAAGACAGACGGUGAACAGCUUUUCAUGAUGCCUUACAAUCCAGGGUUAGUCUCCUUAGGAUUUUGUUUUUAUGAUUUUCAAUAAAUGACAGCUUAUAAACUAACCACGUCGGUGUUUUAUUUUAUUUAGUCGUUUGAAACUACUAACCACGUCGGUAUUUAUUUGUCGUCGUGAUAAAUAUAUAAUGUUGUCGUUAUCUACUUUAUUUCGUCGUGUGAAAUACUAUAAUACGUCGUUUUUGUAAAUAACCGUCGUUUUUAUAUUAAUUUUGUGCAGCCGUCAUUGGAUCCUGCUGAUUGUAAGAGCAAAGAAGGAGACCGUCUAUUUUCUGGAUCCUCUGCCAGGUCAUCGUGUGGUCGACGAAGAGGCGAAAAACAUCGUGAACAGUGCUUUAAAAAUAUAUAAUACCCACAUAGGCCGAGCAGGACGUAAAAAUGUAAUUUGAAAAACUCUCUCAGGCACACCAAAGCAACCCAGCAAUGUCGAAUGCGGGUAUUAUGUGAUGCGCUUCAUGAGGGACAUCAUCAUGGAUCCUUCCUUGGGGUUUGAGAAUAAGGUAAGAAGAAAUUACCUUCAUACAUUUCACGUCGUUUUUUGUAUUAUCAACGACGGUCAUGUAAAAUUAACGUCGUUGAAUGGAUAUACUACGUCGGUUAUGAAAAAUAUCGUCGUCUGUGAUUGAAUUUCUUUUUAUUUAUAAACCCUAAUAGUCAUUGUUUAUGCAGUAUGCCAAGGGAAACCAGGAAGCUUCAUACCCCCAAGAAGCCAUUGAUGAAGUCCGGAAUGAAUGGGCAGAGUUUGUUUUCCAAAUUAUUAAACAGGGCAAUUAUUGAACACUUGAUAUUUAUGUAUAAUGUACCAAUUUUCUCUAUAAUAUGUAAUGUAAAAAUUUGUUGAGGUUUUCUUAAAUUAAAAAAAAAACAAACAUACAAAUUGCUUAACCGACGUGUAAUACUUUUCCAACGACCUAAUAAAGUCACAAACCGUCGUAUUUUGUUGUUUCGUGUUUUAAACAAUUACGACGUAAAAAAAUAGUUAGACGACGUUCUUUGAACAAUUGAGUCGUUAAUGGUUUACAAUAUCUUCAAUUUCUUAAGGGUUCAGGGUAUAAUCGACGACGUUUAUGUAACGACUGCGGUUAAGUCGUAAAAUAUAUAUUUUACGUCGUAUAGUUAAAUAGCCGCCAUGGUUUUUCAUUUUAACGACGUCAUUUUAACGACUUAGUAGUCUAUUACAAUUUACAACGUCUACAAUUUAUUAACACCGACGUGGUUUGUUGUUGUGGUAAGAAUAUUUUAUUAUUUUUAUAUCAAAAUAUUCAAAAUAAAUUUAAAAUAAAUCAGAAAAUUGAAAAGUCAACUCCUAUGAAGUCAUUGAUAUAUUUUCUUCCACAUAAACCUUGAAAAAAUUCAUUUUGAAUAACAAAAAUUUAAAAUGACCAUCCAAAACAAAAUUGUUUUGAUGACUCAUAAAAUCACUUCUAGUUUUAUGGUUUAGGGUUUAGAGUCUAGGGUUUAGAGAUUAGGGUUGUUAUUUAUUGGGGUUUAUUUUUAAAGUAUAAUUUUUGGGUAGUCUAGGGUAUAUGUUAGGCUUUAAAACCAUAAAACCUUUUAUAAACUUAAUUUUUUAAAUUGUAUAAUUUAAUUUUAUGGGUUUAGGGUAUUAAUUUUUAACGACGGUGGUUGGGUCGUGGAAUACAUAUUUUACGUCGUACAGUAAAACAUACGACAUGGUUUACGCUUUAAACGACGUCAUUUUAAUAUGUAAGUCGGUUUAUAUAAUUUACAACGUCAACGUCUUUAAUUUCUUAACACCGACGUGGUUUUUCAGUCGUCGUUAUAUAAAAAAUUCAAAAUAAAUUUAAAAUUAAUCCGAAAAAUGAACGGCCUUACGUUCUUAAUCCGAAAAAUGAAGUUUCCGUCGUGGAAUAUUAAAUUUACGUCGGUACUUGUAGAACUUUCGCCUUGGUUUUUCUUUCGACGUUUUAAAACGCGCGCGCUCUAAAAAUUUUCGCGCGACCUAAACUUUUUUAGAUUUGGCUCUUAUUCUUAUACUUCGAACCCUGAAACCUAAAANNNNNNNNNNNNNNNNNNNNNNNNNNNNNNNNNNNNNNNNNNNNNNNNNNNNNNNNNNNNNNNNNNNNNNNNNNNNNNNNNNNNNNNNNNNNNNNNNNNNNNNNNNNNNNNNNNNNNNNNNNNNNNNNNNNNNNNNNNNNNNNNNNNNNNNNNNNNNNNNNNNNNNNNNNNNNNNNNNNNNNNNNNNNNNNNNNNNNNNNNNNNNNNNNNNNNNNNNNNNNNNNNNNNNNNNNNNNNNNNNNNNNNNNNNNNNNNNNNNNNNNNNNNNNNNNNNNNNNNNNNNNNNNNNNNNNNNNNNNNNNNNNNNNNNNNNNNNNNNNNNNNNNNNNNNNNNNNNNNNNNNNNNNNNNNNNNNNNNNNNNNNNNNNNNNNNNNNNNNNNNNNNNNNNNNNNNNNNNNNNNNNNNNNNNNNNNNNNNNNNNNNNNNNNNNNNNNNNNNNNNNNNNNNNNNNNNNNNNNNNNNNNNNNNNNNNNNNNNNNNNNNNNNNNNNNNNNNNNNNNNNNNNNNNNNNNNNNNNNNNNNNNNNNNNNNNNNNNNNNNNNNNNNNNNNNNNNNNNNNNNNNNNNNNNNNNNNNNNNNNNNNNNNNNNNNNNNNNNNNNNCUGUUUUUGUUUAAAACCCGUCGUCUCAUGUUGUUUAUACCUUGCGAUUAGAUCAUGUAUAAUCUGCUAUAGUGAUGGUCAUGCCUGUAUUUUCACUUUUAUAUAGAUAAUAGGUUAUAGUGUCGGAGAUGGAUAAGUCAUGGAUGCACUCGGAUAGAAGAUCGAAGGCAUAUGAGUUUGGGGUGGAAGCAUUUUUGAACUUUGCUGUAGAAAAUCUUCUAACUACAACACAUAUCCGUUGUCCAUGUGUUAAAUGUGUUAAUUUGAAGUUGUUUGGGGUUGGAAUUAUAAGGGAUCACUUAUACUUUAAUGGAAUUGACCAAAGCUAUAAGAAUUGGACAUUUCACGGAGAACCUUGGGAAGCAACUACUAAUGCUAGCAGAAAUGUUGAAGAAGAUGAUGGCCAUAGUAGGUACAGUUUUGUGUCUGAAGAAAUUGAUAUGGAUGAUAAUGAUUUUGGUGAUUUUGGUUCGGAUCCGUAUGAGUUUGCCAAUGUGAUUGGGGAUGGAGAUCAACCAGUGUACCCUGGUUGUAGAAAGUACACGAAGUUAUCGGCAUUAGUGAAGUUGUAUAAUUUGAAGGCAAAACAUGGGAUGAGUGAUGUCUGUUUUACAGAAUUAUUGAUACUUCAAGGCGAUUUGCUUCCAGAAGGAAAUACAAUACCAACCUCCAUGUAUGAGGCUAAAAAGACUUUGUGUGCAUUGGGGCUGAGUUAUGAGAAAAUGCACGCAUGCCCCAAUGAUUGCAUCUUGUAUAGGAAGGAGUAUGAGGAUUCAACUAAUUGUCCUACUUGUGGUAUCUCAAGGUGGAAGGAAGGCAAAGAUGCAAUCUUGAAAGAGGGUGUGCCAGCGAAGGUGGUGUGGUAUUUUCCCCCAAUUCCAAGGUUUAAAAGGAUGUUUCAAUCACAUGAGACAGCUAAGAGUUUGACUUGGUGGCAUGUUGCUAGAAAAUCAAUUGACGGUCAGAUGUCUCAUCCGGCGGAUUCCCCGUCUUGGAAACUUCUUGAUGAUAAAUGGCCUGAGUUUGGUAAUGAGCCGAGAAACUUGAGAUUGGCUCUUUCAUCUGAUGGAUUCAAUCCCCACAGUUCUCUAAGUAGCAGAUAUAGUUGUUGGCCGGUUAUCUUAGUUACAUAUAAUCUCCCUCCAUGGCUGUGCAUGAAACGAAAGUUCAUGAUGUUAACCUUAUUGAUUUCCGAUCCUAAACAACCCGGAAAUGAUAUAGACGUCUACUUGGAGCCUUUGAUUGAUGAUUUAAAAUCCUUGUGGGUUGGGAUUAGAGGAGUGUAUGAUGCACAUAAUGGAGAAUACUUUACACUCAGAGCUGCAUUAAUGUGGACAAUUAAUGAUUUCCCCGCCUAUGGAAACUUAUCUGGUUGUGUUGUUAAAGGAUAUAAAGCUUGUCCAAUAUGCGGCGAUGAUACACCUAGUCAAACAAAUAUUUUUUGUUGACGACCCGAUGCAUCGUGGUUGGUCGUGUAGGCGUGUGAGUGUGUGUUUGUGUUUGUUUUUGUGUGUGUGUGUGUGUGUGUGUGUGGUGUGUGUGUGUGUGUGUGUACCAUUACUNNNNNNNNNNNNNNNNNNNNNNNNNNNNNNNNNNNNNNNNNNNNNNNNNNNNNNNNNNNNNNNNNNNNNNNNNNNNNNNNNNNNNNNNNNNNNNNNNNNNAUGUAAUUGGCAGUGUAUGACAUUAAUUUUGUAAUAUAUUGUAAUGUGAUUUCUUCACUUUCUACGUUCAAAUAAAACACGACGUUAUUGUGAAUCAGUUAUUCAGCAUAUUUACCGACGUCUUAAAGCAACGUAACAAUGAAGAACCACGACGCUAUUGUGAAGCAAUUAUUCAGGAUAUCACGUCGGUGAAGGAUAAAGAACCGCCAUGUAAUUCAAAAUAACACGACUCCAAUCCCAUAAUACCGACGUCUAAAAAACGAGAUAUGUAAUCUGAACGUUAAAAAAUACGACGUCAUCAUACAUUUUCCACGUCGCAAGUUCUUUUAUAAACGAAGAGGAACGAAAUUAAUUCCGACGGAAAUUCAUUAUAACCGCCGUCUAAUAACAAUUAAACGACGUUAUUUGUAAUACGGCUCCCAUCAUAAUCUACGCCGUCUAUAUGUUCUGUAAUACGGCUCUCAUUUAUUUGGAACCGACGUUGUUUAGACGUUCAACGUCGUCUAUAUUAUUAAGUGCGUCGUGAGUAAUGAAUACAUAUAAAUACAACGUCGACUAUAUAAAUGUAUACGUCGUAAAUAAUGACACUGACAACUAUUUCCACGUCAUCUUUUUUAGAUAAAAUCGAAGUGGAAAAUUUAUUUCACGACGGUUUUUUGUAAAUAAGAGACGUUGUAGAACUUUAGCAGACUAAACACGUCUGUUUUUAUUGUUUUCCGACGUUGUUGUAUUUAACAACGUCUAAUAUUUAUGGUCGUUGUUUGUUUCUGAAAAUAGGACGUAUAAAUUUUUUAAUACGACUCUCAUAUAUUUGUAACUGACGUUGUUUAGUUUUUCAACGUCUACUAUAGAAACACAUACGUCGUAAAUAAUGACACUGACAACUAUUUCCACGUCAUCUUUUAUCAAAAAAUCGAAGUGGAAAAUUAAUUGUACGACGGUUGUGUUUAUAUGUGCGACGUAGUAGGUAUCAAUAACAUCGUCUUCUAAUGUAUUUAAAGACGUCAUAUUUUUUAUUGUCGUGAAAAUUAUAUUUAACGUCGGCGUAUUUUUAUUGUCGUCGUUGUAUGUCUAUCUUGCGGCCUUGUUCUCUUAAUAUGUGUCAUAUUUUCCCUUUUUAACGACGGUCUUUUUAGAGAAUUGGUCGUCUAUUAUCAUCAUCGAUUGCUUUUUUUAGAUCUUUUUGCAGUACAAAGACGUCGUUUUGUAUUUUUUGAUGACGUUGUAUUGUUUAACAACGACGGUUAUUUAGCGUCGUGGUUUAUGAGGGAAAAGAUGACGGUGGAUUCCACGACCAUUGAAAAACCAAAUACACGACGGUGAUUUACCGUCGUCUUUUUGCUUUUUUGUAGUAGUGAUCGGAAACUUGACUAAUUAGAAUACAACAUAUGUCGAAAUAUUUUUAUCAUAAAUGGUCUCUAAGGUUCGUGAAAUUAUUAGCUUUAGUCCUUCAUGUUUUUUUGUGACAUCAUUGGUCCUUUAUGUUACUCCUCUUCACACAUCAAUUUGGUUCUGCCGUUUGGAUUCGUCAAAAUUUAUGUUAAAUUGAUGGCAUGACAUGUAUAUGGUGCCUACAUAUCCAAUGAGAUAAUGACCCGUGGAUCUAAGUAAAAAAUUUGUUUUAAAAAAAUAGUUUCAUAUUUAAAAUUUUUAAAGGGCGAAGACUCAUUGGGUAACUCGAAGUUUGGGUUGUUGAAGCCUUCAAGCAUGGUUUUGCUCACAAAAGAUUGGAACGCAAUGUGUUGGGUUGAGCACUGAAAACCAAAGAAUAUCAAAAAUGUAGUAGGGGGGAGAGAGAGAGAGAGANNNNNNNNNNNNNNNNNNNNNNNNNNNNNNNNNNNNNNNNNNNNNNNNNNNNNNNNNNNNNNNNNNNNNNNNNNNNNNNNNNNNNNNNNNNNNNNNNNNNACCUCAUGUCAGCACUUAAUAGAAAAUUUGACGGACCCUAACGGCAUGGAUCAAAUUGAUGUGUGGUGUGUAACAAAAAGGAUCAAUAAUGUCACAAAAAACAUAAAGGACCAAAGUUGAUAAUUUUGCGAACCUUAUACACCAUUUAUGAUAAAAACCCUAUAUUGUAUAAUUUUAGUGUGUUUUUUUCUUAAAUGCUAUUGAGAAGAGAUUUUAUAAAACUGCUAUAUAAAAGGUUCACCACAAUGCUAUAAAACAAUAGUAGAUUAUGGCUCUCAGAUGUUUUCAUCUUCUUAUUCAUCCAAGCAGAUCGAUAACAUAUGGUCACUACUGACUUUUUCUUGUAGUUCUCAACAUCCAUCUUUCAAGCCAUCAACCAAGUUGUUGCAUUGCUCCUCACUGUUAGAAAAGCCUCGUUUCCCUCCUCCUCCUCCAUUGAUUGAAGGAGAGACAACAAAAGCAACUUAUGAAACAAGCCCCUCAUUUCCUUGUUAAACAUAAAUCGACCCAUUAUUGAUGAGGACUGAGAAUCUAAGAGCACACUAGUAAUUAACCUGAGUGGGGAAUAUGGAUGAUGGAUCUCUCUCUCUCUCUCUCUCUCUUGAAAAAAUCAACUUCAUUAUCCUUGGUGAAUUUGUUCUGAAUUAGUCGUGUCCAGCUACAAGCAAUACUGUACGUAGUAUAUUAUUCUCUGCAUUUGUGCAUGCCAACAACAAACAAAUAUUAUUCUCUAUUAUAGCAUAUAGGCCGUCAUUUUCAAUCCUUAUAAGAGAAAACUUGCUUCGCCAUAAGAGUACGUAGCUUGGCAAGCAAGGUAAGGGUACUUCAAAAGAUUCCUUCCAUCAUCUAUAUAAGACACAUGUGACAUUGCAUGUCUCAUCAAUCAUGUUAAGAUAAAGCUAGCUGGCAAGGCAAAUUACCAACCUUUAUGCUCGAGUAUAUUAUUCCAAGCAGAUAUAAAUGUUAAUAUAUGUGAAGAAUAUUAUGAUCAAUAUAGAAUAUGUAUCAUGAUCAGUUAUGGUAUCGACUGUCAGAAAAUAUCAUCCGCAUAUGUGCAUACCAACAUUAUCGAAAGACAGUAGGAGUAUCGUCAUAUCCGAUACAAGUAUCGGAGCAUGGGUAAGAGUAUAUAUACAAGCAUACCCGUCCAAUUAGGAGAAUCAGUGCAACAUAGAUGAAAAGAAAUUAGAUGUGAUUUCACAUAUUUUUAAAGAAUAGGGGAAAUAAACCAAUUAAUCUCUUUUGUCUUCUCCAUACAUUUUUGGUUGUGAAUUUUGGUUUUCGAAGAAUUUGGCAUUUCAAGCAACUUGGAAAACAUUUUGAUGAUCCAUUGAACCUUGUUAAAGUCGAUAUUCAAUCUCUAUGGACUUUGGCCGAAAUGUCUCAUUUCAAUUGGAAAGUGACAUUGAGAUUUGAAAAGACUAGACAUUAAGGUGGCAAGAGAAGUCUAAAAGGAUCAAACAGAAAAAAAUAAUGAAAAAUUGAAAAUAACCUAGAAAGGGGAGAAAAAAUUAGUUGCAAUAGGGAUAAUAAUGUUUGAGUAAUGCUAAACGAACUCUAAAAUUAACUUAGUACACCCUACUAUCAAACUAUUUAUUGAAUUACUAAUUUACCCUAAUAUAAAAUGACCAAAAAGGAUAUAUUGAAUUGUGCAGCAAAUGUAAUUUUAAUAAGUACACAUUACUCACCAUAUUCAACCCUAAUAUUCGAUGGAGGCGACAUUGAAUGCUAUGAAUCCAACCCAAACCCACCACCACCGUCCCUCUCUCUCUCUCUCUCUCUCUCUCUCUCUCUCUCUCUCUCUCUCUCACAAAUUAUCUUAUUUGCUCUAAAUUUUUUGCAAUGAGUCAGAAUCUUCUAUGUGUAUGUGGCAUUCGUUCAUUAGACUUGGUUAAUGCAUUCAACCCACCCAAAACAAUAAUCAUUUGAUGUUCAUCCUCGAUGUUGGUGGUUUCAAGUGAGCAUGUUCCCAAACGGCUCUUACACUUGCCCACUAGAACUCCAGCUCCUCACCCUCUGAUGAAUCUAAUGACAAUUAUGUUGUUGUUUGCACCAUAAACACCAACUUCCAACAACUCCAAUACAACCUAUUUCUUCUUAAUUAGAUACCUUGGGGGUUGAUAGCAACCUCAAUAGUCUAAGAAACAAACCCACUUCGGAAUUUUCCUUCUUCCACUAGUUGAAGGGAGAUGGGUUCCAACACGAUAUUACGCGCUUAUUAGAAUCUUAUACUCGUCGAGUCUGGGUUGGCUGGUGAUAAGCAGGGGAAGGGUGGAGUUGGGUUGUGUUAGAGAGAGAGAGAGAGAGAGAGAGAGAGAGAGAGAGAGAGAGAAAGAGAAAGAGAGAGAGAAGGGCGGUAGUGGUUGGGUUGGGUUGGAUGCGAAAGGGCUUAAAUCAGAGGAGGAAGGACGGGUUUGGCUGGGUGGGUGACAGGACCCGACCCAAUUUCCGCUUUGGAAUCCGAGCUGAAUCCUGUGCGUGUCCGACACCUGGCGAAUGUCGGGCACGAAUGACCUUUUUACCCUUCUCUUUUCAAAUUCUUUUUUUUUUUAAACUUCCCUUAGACUUCUACCGAAAAUUCGACAGAGUCUCCCCUGUAUUUUGACCAAACCCAAAGUCUUCCACCUGUCAAACAGUCUCAAAUAACACACCAACUACCAGACUAACUCAACCAACAGAUCUCAACUCCAGUUUCUCAUGUUCAACAAGAUAUCAAAGCAUUUCUAUACAAAUUUACAGAACUAUGAGAAAGUUACAACGAGAUCCUACACUUUGGGGGUGGGGCGAAAGCUGGGAAGAUGGCCCGAGUGGUUUCCUUCGUACUUCUAUGGCCUGGGGGCGAAAAACAAGGUUAAAAUUGUGAGUGGACAAAAAUAAAAUUCUUUAAAACAAAAACAAGUUAGAACAUAAUAACCCCCGUUUUGAAAUACUAGGGAUAUAAAUCGUUAAUUUAGCUAUAUUUCAAUAUAAGGAAUUCAAUAAACAUGAAUAAAUAUACUGACGAAUAAACUUGCAUAACUGAUCAAAUAUAUAUAAAGAUAAUAACGCAUGAAUAUCAAGAAACUGGUAUAAAAUCACGGGAAAUCAUAACUGGAUAAAAGAGCUCAAAAUCCUUUGAAACUACCACCUAGAUGUACCCCUGUCAUAUCCGUCAAUUCCCCUGGCAGGUCUCGGGCGUCACGCAGUCUACCCGAGCCGCAAACUGGCGAAAUCAAGGGACUAUGAUCAGCCUGAUCCGCCGGCAGGUCUCGAUGACACCAAGUCGACUCGAGCCGCUCUGGCAGGAUGCAGGGGACCGCAGUCAGCCUGAUCCGCAAUCCUGGCAGGUCUCGGGGACACAGAGUCAGCCGAGCCGCAAAUCCUGGCAGGUCUCGGGACACCAAGUCUGCCGAGCCGCAAAUUCUGGCACUCACGGUCCGAGCGUCCCCGAAACUCGUGAGGCAAAGUCAAGUGCACUGACGUAACUGAAAUCAGACUGGAUGUUCGUAGACAUCGGUCCGACUGUGGGUAAUCACCAUAAAUAGAUGGGUACAUGGUGGUUUAACAAGAAAUUCUGAUAACUCUCUGAAAUCUGAUAAGUCUGAACUAAAUUACUAUCUUUGUAUCAAAAGUCUCAAGUUUACUGCUCAACCAAUAUUAUAAAAAUAAAGAUAUUUCACAAUGCAAAUCAUGCUUCGAAAUUACGUAAUAACACUUAUUCAAGAUCAAAUAGAAAAUAUAAUUAUAAAAUCUUUUAGGAAAGAAAAGUCCACUCACUGUUGGUCCGAGCUAUCUGGACCCUUCGAAGAUCCCUCAUGUGGGUCAACUGGACCUCUGGUGCCUUACUCGAUUGAUUUGGUGGAGAAUUGAAGGAGAACGAAGGAGAUGAAGUUUGGAUGAAAAACAGGCGGAAAUCGCCAGUUUCCGGCCAAUUCCCGGCGGUCCAAGGCCGGCGACGGGUCGAGGAAGGGAGGCGGCGGCGAGGCGGACCGAUUGACACCAACGGCGGAGGUCGCCGUGCCCUGUAGCGACGGCACGCUCGAUCUGAAACAGGGAGGGGGGCGGCGGUUGCGACGGGAGAGAGAGAGAGAGAGGAGAGAGAAAUGAGGAGAGAGAAGAGAGAAGGAAGAGAUAAAAUCUGACUUUUUUUUCAAAUUACCGUUUUGCCCUUCGAGGUAAUUUAAUCGUAUCUUCUUCAUUACAAUUCCAAUUCGGGUCUACUCCGUGUCUACGGACUCGUUUCGCCGUGCUCUACGCAACGGCGCAAGCGAAAUUCUCAAAUUCUUUCUUGAUCAAAAAGUCAAAUUUUCCCCUAUUAAAAUAUGCGAGGGCAAAAUCGUCUUUUGGGUAGAAUAAAGAAAUCCUAAUUUUUAGAUAUUUUAGUUUGGGUUAUUACAGUGGGGGGUGGAGAGAUGAUGGGAGGUCGAUUUAACAGGGUUAAGUGUUGUUAAGUGGUUUACCACAUGUCAAAAAAAUAGAAGGAAAACAUGUCGGGCACAUGGCAUUUGGUAACAGUAAAAUUGGACUCAUGAAUGAGUUAGGUGUUGUGUGAUAGAGUGUAUUAGGGUGUACCAUGGGUAUUUUUAGUAGUUAAAUAGGAUGUACUGAGUUAAUUUUAUAAUUUGAUUUAAAUAUUAGGGUAUACUUAGAUCAUAGGGUGUACUCAGUUAAUUUUAAGGUUUGUUUAGCAACAUUCUAAUGUUUUGUUAUCCCCGGUCAAUAAUUUUAUAUCGUGUGGCUUAGAAGGAGGCCUGUUAUCCAACUCAUCUGGUCCACCGUCCAUGAUAUGAACCCGACUUGAGAAUCUUUUGGUGAAGUAGAACAACCCAACUUGAGAGUUGAGGCAGCCAAACUAGAAGGGAAGCAUCCCCACUCCAGUCCCGCUCCCCAUGUGCCCAAUACUUUGCUUGUUUACUUCACCUUUUAAACCUUUUAGGAUUUUCCAUAGGCUAAGAGGAAAACAACAACAUUACGGCCCAGUUUACGAAUGGAUUCGAGGGGAAAUUACUUCCCAUGCCAUUUUUUAAGGGAUGGAAAAUGGAGAUUCAUUUCCCAUAUUUGAUAAUCCUAGGAAAGUAACUAAGAAAUACUACUUUAUUUCCUUUCACAUAUUUGGUUUGUGUAGGAAUGUAAAACAAAGUUAGUUUAAUUUUUCAAUUAUAUCCAUAUGAAAUUAAAUUUUAAAAAAAAUGUAUUUAAUGCUAUAUUGUUAAUGGGGACAAUAUGGUCAUGAAAAAUGUGUAUUUAAUGUUGGCUAAUUUUCUCAAACUUUCUCAUGUGCAAGACAACGAUUUCUCAUGCCUAGACUUACCAAAUAUGGGAAAGCAAUUGAUUUCUCAUCACCAAGCCUCCUUUCCCAUGAACCAAACAGGACCUACAAGUUAUUAGCUUCAAGCCUUCAAGGAUUUUCAUAACAAAUCUUCCAAUCUCACACAAAAAUAAAAAAGCAUCCAUGUAUGUAAUUUCUAGAUUAAAAUCUCACUUUUUAGGCAUUCCAUUUUCUUAGGAUUAGGUAUUACUACGCACGGACAAUCUUACGAUUAUCUGCAAUUCAUCCUUCAAUAGCUAUGGACGUUAUAUCAAAUCAACAAUAAGACGUACAUUUCUUCAAAGAACUAAAUCAUGCGGAUGUCAACUUGCUCUCACUUAUAUGUUUGUCUCUCCAUAUGAGGAAGGGUGUUUAGCUUAAGGUUUUAGGGCGCGGUUGUCUAAGAACAAUAAGGUGAACAUGUUUUGUCAAAGUACAUGGGAGACCUUUAUCUUCAAACACAAAAAAUGGCCAAAAUUAAAUUAGCAAGGAUCGACAUAUGGAUGUGAGCUUUUACACAUUGCCACUAAUUCUCUCCAUACUUUUGUUGAAAUCAUUUACAAAAUAAGAAAACUUUAGUAAUUGAAGCGAAAGAGAAGAAUUACCAGAACAGAAAAUAAGAAAAAAGAAGCACCUAACCCAAACUUUAAGUCACGAAUUUAACAGUUUACUUUUUAAAAAAAGUAAGUUACAAAACAAUCCCCUUAUUGAUGAGGAUUGAGAAUUUAAGAGCACUAAUAACUUGAGUGAGGAAUAUUGCACAUGGACGAUGGAUCUCUCUCUCUCUCUUUGAAAAAAAAGAAAAAAGAAACAAAAAUCAACUUCAUUAUCCUUAGUGAAUUUGUUCUGGAUUAGUUGUGUUGCAAUGGAACAUCGAACCUACCUAGCUAAAAGGAAAAAAGAAAGGCCACUACGACAGUACUGCAGUAUAUUAUUCCAAGAAGACAAAUGUAAACUAUAUACGUGAAGAAUAUCUAUUAUUGGUCGUCAUUUUCAAUCCUCAUAAAAGAAAACUUACUUCGCCAUAAUUUCAGGUUGUUCUCAAGGCAGGAAGGUAAGGACACUUGAAAAGAUUCCUUCUCAUCAUCUAUACAAGGAAAUGUGUUCUCAUCAAGCUAGGGGACAAGGCAAAUUAGCAACCUUUAUACUCGAUAUAUUAUUCCAAGCAGAUAUACAUGUGAAGAAUAUUAUGAUCUUGAUCAAUAUGGAAUCAGUGGGUGUAUCGAUCGACCAUCCAAAGAAAAAGGAUAUCCUCUGCAUAUAUGUGUGCAUGCCAACAACUAUAAAAGGAGACCAUGAGGCAAUGAGUUGAUCAUCAAAGCAAACACACAGAUAUCCCAACUAAAAAUCAUUCAGUGAGACAAUGGCUGGAACCAAUGAUAUUAAAAUUAAAGGGUUCGAUUUGAGCAAAAACAGCGGCAACACGUCCGGAUUAACCCACUUCGCCAACAGAGCUGACGAGGGCGACAAGGGCGACAAUAAAAUCGAGGUUGAGGAUGCUAAAGCGCAAGAUAACAAGGGAAACUUGAAAGUACUGACCGACUUCGCCCAACGUGGUAAGGUGGGCCAGUCGGAUCGCCAAGAAAUCACGGGGAGCAAGCCACUUCAGACGGCAGCAUGAAAUUGAUGAAGGCCAUACCAUAAUAAAAUAUCUACACUAAAAUAAGAGCUGAUGCAGUAUCUGAGGCUCCUUCCUUGGUUAGGCCUCAUUAUCAUGUGCAAUACUAAUAUUAUUAUUCUAAUAAAAUAAUGGUAGCUUAUUAUUAAAUAUAUCAAAAUUCUAUACGUAUAACUUUUAGAUUAUUGAUACUGAUGACAUACCAACAAGAGAAAACGAUUCAAAAGUCCUUUCUCCAAUUCGUGAUGUUACAAAAUGAGACGUCAAAUUUAAAAAUAUAGUUGCAUACGAGUAUAAACUGAACCAAUAAGCAAUGUAUGAGUGACCAAAGGUCUCAAACGAUGCAUUUAAGAAGAAGGGUACUAAAUUAAAAGAUGUACGCCAGUGAACUAUGGCAAUCUCUCGUUGCAUGCACGCAUAUGCAAUUGAAGAAGACCUAACUUAUAUCACGAAGAAGUGGAUGGGUCUUUACAUAUGAAGUUUUUAAAAUUAACACUACCGGAAGACAAUAGGAGUAUCGGCGUAUCUGAUACAAGUAUCGGAGUCUCGGAGUAUUAGAUUUGAGCAUACCUGUCCAAAUAGGAGUAUCGGUGCAACAUAGAUGAAAAGGAAUUGGAUGUGAUUUCACAUAUUUUUAAAGAACAGGGGAAAUAAACCAAUUAAUCUCUUUCGUCUUGUCCACACAUUUCUUGUUGCAAAUUUUGGUUUUCAAAAAAUUUGGCAUUUCAAGCAACUUGGAAAACAUUUUGAUGAUCCAUUAUUGAACCUCUAAAGUCGAUAUUCAAUCCCUAUCGACCUUGCUCAAAAAAUGUCUCAUUUCAAUUAGUGCAGAGAAAAAUAAAGGCAGAGUUGAAAAUAGAUUUUUCAGUUUGGAAAGUGACAUUGAGAUGUAAAAAGACUAGACAUUAAGGUGGCAAGAGAGAUCUAACAGGAUCAGACAAAAAAGGAAAAAAAAAUGAAUGAAAAAUAGAAAAUGCCCUAGAAAGGGGAGAACAACUUAGUUGCAAUGGGGAUAACAAUAUCUUGCUAUUACUGGUCAAUAAUUUUAUACCACGUGGCCUAGAAGGAGGCCUGUUAGUCCAACUCAUCUGGUCCACUUCCCAUUAUAUGAACCCGACUUGAGAGUUUUGGUUUUUUGGUUGAAGUAGAACAACCCGACUUGAGAAUUGAGGCAGCCAAACUAGAAGGGAAGCAGCCCACUCCACUCCCGCUCCCCAUGUGCCCAGUACUUCGCUUGUUUACUUCACCUUUUAAACCUUUUAGGAUUUUUUUUAUAGGAUAAGAGGAAAACGACGACAUUACAAGUUAUUACGCAUCAACGUAUGUAAUUUCUAGAUUAAAAUCUCACUUUUUACGCAUGUCAUUAUCUUAGGAUUAUGUAUUACUACGCACUGACAAUCUUACGAUUAUCUGCAAUUCAUCCUUCAAUGACCAAAGACGUUAUAUCAAAUCAACAAUAAGACAUACAUUUCUCCAAAUAACUAAAUUAUGUGGAUUUCAACUUGCUCUCAUUUAUAUGUUUGUCUCUCUCCUCCUAUUGAUUAGCCUCUCCAUAAGAGCAAAUAUGAAAAAAGAAGCUCCCAAUCCGAACUUUAAGUCACAAGUUUAACAGUUUACUUUUAAACAAAAGCAAGUUACGAAACAAUCCCCUGAUUUCCUUGUUAAACAUCAACCGACCCAUUAUUGAUGAGGAUUGAGAAUCUAAGAGCAUAUGGACGAUGGAUCUCUCUCUCUUUUUGAAAACAAAAACAAAAACAAAAAACAAAAAUCAACUUCAUUAUCCUUGGUGAAUUUGUUCUGGAUUAGUUGUUUUGAAUUAGUACAGCUUACGUACGCAAUGGAACAUCGAACUUAGCUAGCUAAAAGGAAAAAAGAAAGGCCACUACUACAGUACCGCAGUAUAUUAUUCCAAGAAGACAAAUGUAAACUAUAUACGUGAAGAAUCUCUAGUAUUGGUCGUCAUUUUCAAUCCUUAUAAAAGAAAGCUUGCUUCGCCAUAAUUUCAGGUUGUUCUCAAGGCAGGCAGAGAGAGUACGUAGCUUGGCAAGAAAGGUAAGGGCACUUCAAAAGAUUGUUUCUCAUCAUCUAUAUGAGGAAAUGUGUUGCCAUCAAGCUAGCGGACAAGGCAAAUUAGCAACCUUUAUACUCGAUAUAUUAUUCCAAGCAGAUAUACAUGUAAAUAUAUGUGAAGAAUAUUAUGAUCAUGAUCAAUAUAGAAUCUGUAUCAUGAUCAGAGGGUAUCGAUCCAGCAUCCAAAGAAAAAGGAUAUACUCUGCAUAUGUGCAUGCCAACAACUAUAAAAGGAGACCAUGAGGCAAUGAGUCGAUCAUCAACGGAAACACACAGAUAUCCCAACUAAAAAUCCAUCGUGAGACAAUGGCUGGAACCAAUGAUAUUAAAAUUAAGGGGUUUGAUUUGAGCAACAACAAAGGCAACACGUCGGGAUUAACCCACUUCGCCAACAGAGCUGACGGGGGCGACAAUGGCAACAAUAAAAUCGAGGUUGAGGAUGCUAAAGGGCAAGGGAACACGGGAAACUUGAAAGUACUGACCGACUUCGCCCAACGCGGUAAAGUGGGCCAGUCGGAUCGCCAAGAACUACUCAAACCUCAGGCAUGAAAUUGAAGAAGGCCAGACCACAACAACUUGUCUGCUUGAUAGAUAUAUGUGCUAAAUUAUCUACACAAAAAUAAGAGCUGAUGUUUUAUCUGAGGCUCCUUCCUUGGUUAGGCCUCGUUAUCAUGUGUAAUAUUAAUAUUAUUAUUCUAAUAAAAUAAUGGUAGCUUAUUAUUAAAUAUAUCAAAAUUCUAUACGUAUAACUUUUAGAUUAUUGAUACUGAUGUCAACAAGAGAAAAUGAUUAAAAAGUCCUUUCUCCAAUUCGUGAUGUUACAAAAUGAGACUUCAAAUUUUAAAACUAUAGUUGCAUACGAGUACAAAACUGAACCAAACAAUGUAUGGGCCAGAGUGACCAAGGAUGUACGCCAGUGAACUAAUGGCAAUCUCUCGUUGCAUGCACGCAUAUGCAAUUGAAGGAGGCAUUAUCUGAGGCUCCUUCCUUGGCUAGGCCUCAUUUUCAAUUUUGAUUUCAACUUUGAUUUUGCUUAAACUUUGAUUUUGAGCUAGACUGUGAUUUCGACUUUGAUCUCCCAAUUCGUGCCUUAAGAAUCAGUUUCUCCCAACUCUAUUUACCAAAACCGAAAACUCUGAACUUUUCAAUUCGUCUGGCUACUCUCAGGGUUUCAUGCCUUAGUUUCCUCUCGCCAAAAAGCCAAAAAGACUUGGCUUUCAUGUAAUGCUAUACUCCUCGAUUGAACAAGCCGCGUCUUCAAAUUCAGCUUUCUCACUUCCUUUCUCUUUACUUUCUUUCUUUUGUUUUCCGGCUGGGAAAAUCAUGGAAGCAUUACAAAUUUAAGAGAAUAUUCUAGUAUUAGGGUCCAAACUGUACUAUUUAGGUAUUUUCAUUCUGAUUAAGAGUUCUUUUCUAGAAAUUUGGGGAAGAAAAAAUAGAGUUUCUGUUUUAGUGUUUGAUUUUCAUUACAGUGAAUUAUGUGAAACCGAAAUGUUUCUUGUCUGAUUUCAUCACUGCUUUCAAAUUGCAAAUUAAGGAUUUGAAGGUUAACAAUGCCCGUCUUUAACAAUGUCGCAUUUCAAUUAGUACAAAAGAAAAAUAAAGGCAUAGUUGAAAAUAGAUUUUUCAGUUUCGAAAGUGACAUUGAGAUUUAAAAAGACUAGACAUUAAGAUGGCAAGAGAGAUCUAAAAGGAUCAAACAAAAAAAGUGAAUGAAAAAUUGAAAAUGCCCUAGAAAGGGAGGAAAUCUUAGUUGCAAUGGGGAUAACAAUGUUUUGCUAUCCUCGAACAAUAAUUUUACACCACGUGACCUAGAAGGAGGCAUGUUAAUCUAACUCAUCUGGUCCACCGUCCAUGAUAUGAACCCGACUUGUGAGUUUUUUUUUUUUUUUGUUGAAGUAGAACAACCAAACUUGAGAGUUGAUGUCACAUCUCAGGAUCGGCUUCACCGUAGCACGAUAUUGUCUGCUUUGGGCCCCCUCGCUGUCCUCGCGGUUUUGUUUCUAGGAGCUCACGAGCAACUUCUCAGUUGGUCACUCAUCUUAGGAUUGCUCUGGCCCAAACUCACUUAACUUCGGAGUUCUCAUGACUCCGAAGCUAGUGAGCUCCUAAAAGGCCUCGUACUAAAUGGAAGUGGGCAUAUAUAUAUAAGGCACAACACCCCAUCUUCGUUGGUUGAUGUGGAAUGUUACAAUCCACCCCCCUUAGAGGUCUGACUUCCUCGUCGGCACACUCUCACCACACGGCAGAGUGGCUCUGAUACCAAACUGUCACAUCCCGGGAACGGCUCCGUCGUAGCACGAUAUUGUCCGCAUUGGGCCAACCUUUCUGCCCUCACGGUUUUGUUACUGGGAGCUCACGAGCAACUUCCCAGUGAAUCACUCAUCCUGGGAUUGCUCUAGCCCAAACUCGCUUCACUUCGGAGUUCCUAUGACUCCGAAGCCAAUUAGCUCCCAAAAGACCUCGUGCUAGAUAAAGGUGGGCACGUACAUAUAAGGCACAUCACCUUCUCUUCGUUGAUCGAUGUGGGAUGUUACAGUUGAGGGCUCCGUUGGUCGAUGUAGGAUGUUACAGUUGAGGCAGCCAAACUAGAAGGGAAGCAACCCAACUCCACUCCCUCUCCCCAUGUGCCCAGUUCUCUGCUCGUUUACUUCACCUUUUAAACAUUUUAGGAUUUUCCAUAAGCAAAGAGGAGAACGACCACAUUACGGUCUCGUUUGGUUCACGAACAGAUUUAAGGGGAAAUAACUUCUCAUGUCAUUUCUCAAGGGAUGAGAAAUGGAGAUUCAUUUCCCAUAUUUGGUAAUCCUAGGAAAAUAACAAAGAAAUACCACUUUAUUUCCUUUCACAUGUUUGGUUUGUCUAGGAAUGUAAAACAAAGUUUGUUUAAUUUUCCAAUUAUACCGAUAUGAAAUCAAAUAAAAAAAGAAUAUUUAAUGUUAUAUUGUAAUUCUAAACUGUUAAUAGGGACAAUAUGAUCAUGAAAAAUGUGUAUUUAAUGUUGGCUCAUUUGCUUAUUUUCCCAAACUUUCACAUGAGGAGGAAAACAAAACCCAAGGGGGGAGGAUGGCUUCACUUUCCCCUCUACUUUCCCAUGUACAAGGCAACGAUUUCUCAAGUCUGGACUUACCAUACAUGGGAAAGAAAUUAAUUUCUCAUCCCCAAGUCAUUUUUCCCAUAAACCAAACGGAGCCUACAGGUUAUAAGCUUCAACCUUUAAGGAUUUUCAUAACAAAUCUUGCAAUCUCAUACCAAGGAAAUAAAAAUAAAAAAAAGGAUCCAUGCGUGUAAUUUCUAGAUUAAAAUCUCACUUUUUACGCAUGCCAUUAUCUAAGGAUUAGGUAUGACUACACACGAACAAUCUUACAAUUAUCUGCAAUUCGUCCUUCAAUGGCCAAAGACGUUAUAUCAAAUGAACAAUAAGACGUACAUUUCUUCAAAGAACUAAAUUAUGUGGAUUUCAACUUGCUCUCACUUAUAUGUUUCUCUCUCUCCUCCUAUUGUUUAGCUUAAGGUUUUAGGGCGUGGUUGUCUAAGAACAAUAAGGUAAACAUGCUUACAAAAAAAGAUGGACAGCAAGGAUGGACAUAUGCGAAUGUGAGCUUUUACACAUUGCCACUAAUUUUCUCCAUGAUUUUGUUGAAAUCAUUAACAAAAUAAGAAACUUUAGUAAUUGAAGCGAAAGAGACUAAUUAUCAGAAGAGAAAAUAUGAAAAAAGAAGCUCCCAAUCCAAACUUUAAGUCACAAGUUUAACAGUUUACUUUAAAACAAAAGCAAGUUACGAAACAAUCCCCUGAUUUCCUUGUUAAACAUCAACCGACCCAUUAUUGAUGAGGAUUGAGAAUCUAAGAGCAUAUGGACGAUGGAUCUCUCUCUCUUUUUGAAAACAAAAACAAAAACAAAAAUCAACUUCAUUAUCCUUAGUGAAUUUGUUCGGGAUUAGUUGUGUUGAAUUAGUACAGCUUACUUACGCAAUCGAAUAUCAAACCUAGCUAGCUAAAAAGAGAAAAAGAAAGGCCACAACGACAGUACUGUAGUAUACGUGAAGAAUCUUAUGAUCUAUAAUAUUCUGUAUUAUUGGCCAUCAUUUUCAAUCCUUAUUAAAGAAAACUUGCUUCGCCAUAAUUUCAAGUUGUUCUGAAGGCAGGCAUAGAGAGCACGUAGCUUGGCAAGGGAGGUAAGGGCACUUCGAAAGAUUCCUUCUCAUCAUCUAUACAAGGAAAUGUGUUCUCAUCAAGCUACGGGACAAGGCAAAUUAGCAACCUUUAUACUCAGAUAUAUUAUUCCAAGCAGAUAAACAUGUAAAUAUAUGUGAAGAAUAUUAUGAUAAUGAUCAAUAUAGAAUCUGUAACAUUAUCAGAGGGGUAUCGAUCGACCAUCCAAAGAAAAGGAUAUCCUCUGCAUAUGUGCAUGCCAACAACUAUAAAAGGAGACCAUGAGGCAAUGAAUCAUCAAAGCAAAGACACAGAUAUCCCAACUAAAAAUCAAUCAGUGAGACAAUGGCUGGAACUGGAACCAAUGAUAUUAAAAUUAAAGGGUUCGAUUUGAGCAACAACAGCGGCAACACGUCGGGAUUAACCCACUUCGCCAACAGAGCUGAUGGGGGCGACAAGGGCGACAAUAAAAUCGAGGUUGAGGGUGCUAAAGCGCAAGAUAACAAGGGAAACUUGAAAGUACUUACCGAUUUCGCCCAACGCGGUGAAGUGGGCAGGUCGGAUCGCCAAGAACUUCUCAAGCCUCAGGCAUGAAAUUGAAGAAGGCCAUACCAUAUAUGUGCUGAAUUAUCUACACAAAAAUAAGAGCUGAUGUUUUAUCUGAGGCUCCUUCCUUGGUUAGGCCUCGUUAUCAUGUGUAAUAUUAAUAUUAUUAUUCUAAUAAAAUAAUGGCAGCUUAUUAUUAAAUAUAUCAAAAUUCUAUACGUAUAACUUUUAGAUUCUUGAGUGGGAAACCCUAGCUGCAUUCUGGUCCCUUUUCUUCUUGCCGACAACCAACCACAAGGAAACUAAAGGGGGAGGUGGCCACUGCCCCUCCCCCCCUUCGCCCAUCUUCCCUUUCUCUCCUCAUCUUCCCUUCUUUUUCUCCCAUCUUUUCCCUUCCUCUUAUGCCCUCUUCUCUUCCCAUUCCCUUUCCCAUAUAGUCUAGAUCUAUUUGGAUCUAGGUUUUGUUUGUUUGUUUGUUUGGUUUGGUUUGGUUGUUUUUGCAGUAUUCUAGGUGACUGGUAGUGACGUUGGAUUGUGUCUAUUAUCGGGAGAGUUGUGAUACCUAGUGGCUGAUGUUUUGUCUCUGUUUCAACGACGGCGGCAGUAGCGACACUAGUGAUAGUUAUUGGAUGUGGUGCUCUUCUUUAUUCUGCACUUACCGAAGAACUAUGCUUGGUCAUAGGAGGUUUUCUUUGUCAGAUUCUGAGUUGAAGUGGAGUGCUUCUUAGGGGUCCUUUUAUUGUUGCUUCUAUGUUCCUCCUCUGUGUUCUCUCCUGUUUUCUGUUAUGGUAUGCCUUGUAGUUUGUAUGGGUGUCAAAAUACUAUGAUUUUGCUCAUAGAAGGCUUCUUUUGACAGUUGGGAUAUUCUACGAUCCUCUUCUGUGGGUUUACUAUUUGGGGUUUCUGUCGUUCUCUCAUGUGGGUGUACUAUGUUGGUAUCUAGUUGAGGUUUUCGUCGGAGUUCUUUUUGUUAGUUUUCGUUUUUGAUUUGUUCUUUUAUUGUAAUGGUCCAAAGCGACCAGAAUUAAACUCUCUUGUUAGUCCAUGACAUGUGUGGUACUCUUUUCUCCCCGGGGUUUGUCCCUUGAGAUUGCCCUAGGAAGGUUUUAACGAGGCCACUAUAUCAUGUUGCUCAUUGUACGUCUUUGGUUCUAUUAAUUAAUUCUCUUUCUUAAAAAUAACAAAAAUAAAUAAAUAAAUAAAUAAAAAUUUAGAUUAUUGAUAACGAUGUCAACAAGAGAAAAUGAUUAAAAAGUCCUUUCUCCAAUUCGUGAUGUUACAAAAUGAGACUUCAAAUUGUAAAACUAUAGUUGGAUACGAGUAUAAAACUGAACCAGGCAAUGUAUGGGCCAGAGUGACCAAGGUUGUACGACAGUGAACUAAUGGCAAUUUCUCGUUGCAUGCACGCAUAUGCAAUUGAAGAAUGCCAUAAUAAUAUGUGUUUUUACUAAAUUAUCUACACUAAAAUAAAAACUGAGGCAUUAUCUGAGGCUCUUUCCUUGGCUAGGCCUCAUUUUCAAUUUUGAUUUCAACUUUGAUUUCGCUUAAACUUUGAUUUUGAGCUAGACUGUAAUUUCGACUUUGAUUCUGAUUCUCUCCCAAUUCAUGCCUUAAGAAUCAGUUUCUCCCAACUCUAUUUACCAAAACCAAAAACUCUAAACUUUUCAAUUCGUCUGGGUACUCUCAGAGUUUCAUGCCCUAGUUUCCUCUCGCCAAAAAGCCAAAAAGACUUGGCUUUCAUGUAAUGCUAUACUCCUCGAUUGAACAAGCUGCGUCUUCAAAUUCAACUUUCUCACUUCCCUUCUCUUUACUUUCUUUUCUUUUGUUUUCCAGCCCGGAAAAUCAUGGAAGCAUUACAAAUUUAAGAGAAUAUUCUAGUAUUAGGGUCCAAACUGUACUAUUUAGGUAUUUUCAUUCUGAUUAAGAGUUCUUUUCUAGAAAUUUGGUGAAGAAAAAAUAGAGUUUCUGUUUUAGUGUUUGAUUUUCAUUAUAGUGAGUUAUGUGAAAUCGAAAUGUUUCUUGUGUGAUUUCAUCACUGCUUUCAAAUUGCAAAUUAAGGAUUUGAAGGUUACAAAUUAUUAUGUAGAUAAUUUUUGGGAAUUUAAGAGGCAGUACAGUGUUUGUAUAAGUCUUGAGAUAGACCAAUUUACCACAUGCUCGAUUUCUAUAUAUAAAUUUUUUUAAAUCAUUCUUUUGUUUUAUUUAUUCUGUUAAUUUGUCAUAAUGUGUAAUAUGAUAGCUUCUAAUUCUUUCUUCCUAUUUCUUCUUUUUUGUUAUUCUCUCCCAAAUGAAAUGAAGACCUAACUUAUAUCAAGAAGAAGAGGAUGGAUCCUUACAUAUGAAGAUUUUAAAAUUAACAUUAUUGGAAGACAGUAGGAGUAUCGGCAAUUUGAUACAAGUAUCGGAGUAUCAAAUACGAGCAUGCCCGUCUUUAACAAUGUCUCAUUUCAAUUAGUACAAAAGAAAAAUAAAGGCAGAGUUCAAAAUAGAUUGUUCAGUUUCGAAAGUGACAUUGAGAUUUAAAAAGACUAGACAUUAAGAUGGCAAGAGAGAUCUAAAAGGAUCAAACAAAAAAAAUGAAUGAAAAAUUGAAAAUGCCCUAGAAAGGGAGGAAAUCUUAGUUGCAAUGGGGAUAACAGUAUUUUGCUAUCCUCGAUCAAUAAUUUUAUACCACGUGACCUAAGGAGGCAUGUCAAUCUAGCUCAUCUGGUCCACCGUCCAUGAUAUGAACUCGACUUGAGAGUUUUUUUUUUUUUUUUUUUUUUUUUUUGGGGUUGAAGUAGAACAACUAGACUUGAGAGUUGAUGUCACAUCUCAAGGUCGGUUCCACCGUAGCACGAUAUUGUCUGCUUUGGGCCCCCUCUUUGUCCUCGCGGUUUUGUUUUUAGGAGCUCACGAGCAACUUCCCAGUUGGUCACCCAUCUUGGGAUUGCUCUAGCCCAAACUCACUUAACUUCGGAGUUCUCAUGACUUCGAAAUCAGUGAGCUCCCAAAAGGCCUCGUGCUAAAAGGAGGUGGGCAUAUACAUAUAAGGCGCAACACCCCCUCUCCGUUAGUCGAUGUGGAAUGUUACAAUCCACCCCCUUUAGAGGUCCGACGUCCUCGUCGGCACAGUCUCACCACACGGCAGAGUGGCUCUAUGCCAAAUUGUCGCAUUCCGGGAUCGGCUCCGUCGUAACACGAUAUUGUCCGCGUUGGGUCAACCUCUCUGCCCUCACGAUUUUGUUUCUGGGAGCUUACGAGCAACUUCCCAGUAGAUCACUCAUCCAAACUCGCUUAACUUCGGAGUUCCCAUGACUCCGAAGCCAGUGAGCUCCCAAAAGACCUCGUGCUAAAUGGAGGUAGGCAUGUACAUAUAAGGCACAUCACCUCCGCUCCGUUGGUCGAUGUGGGAUGUUACAGUUGAGGGCUCCGUUGGUCGAUGUACGAUGUUACAGUUGAGGGCUCCGUUGGUCGAUGUAGGAUGUUAUAGUUGAGGCAGCCAAAAUAGAAGGGAAGCAACCCUACUCCACUCCCUCUCCCCAUGUGCCCAGUUCUCUACUCGUUUACUUCACCUUUUAAACCCCUUCGUACUUGAAGACCUGGCUGGCAAUUUGAUUGAAGCGAAAGAGACUAAUUAUCCAUGCUUUUGUUGAAAUCAUUAACAAAAUAAGAAACUUUAGUAAUUGAAGCGAAAGAGACUAAUUAUCAAAACAGAAAAUAUGAAAAAAGAAGCUCCCAAUCCGAACUUUAAGUCACAAGUUUAACAGUUUACUUUAAAACAAAAGCAAGUUACGAAACAAUCCCCUUAUUUACUUGUUAAACAUCAACCGACCCAUUAUUGAUGAGGAUUGAGAAUCUAAGAGCACAUGGACGAUGGAUCUCUCUCCCUUUUUGAAAACAAAAACAAAAACCAACUUCAUUAUCCUUAGUGAAUUUGUUCUGGAUUAGUUGUGUUGCAAUGGAACAUCGAACCUACCUAGCUAAAAGGAAAAAAGAAAGGCCACUACGACAGUACUGCAGUAUAUUAUUCCAAGAAGACAAAUGUAGACUAUAUACGUGAAGAAUAUCUAGUAUUGGUCGUCAUUUUCAAUCCUCAUAAAAGAAAACUUACUUCGCCAUAAUUUCAGGUUGUUCUCAAGGCAGGAAGGUAAGGACACUUGAAAAGAUUCCUUCUCAUCAUCUAUAUAAGGAAAUGUGUUCUCAUCAAGCUAGGGGACAAGGCAAAUUAGCAACCUUUAUACUCGAUAUAUUAUUCCAAGCAGAUAUACAUGUGAAGAAUAUUAUGAUCUUGAUCAAUAUGGAAUCUGUAUCAUGAUCAGUGGAUGUAUCGAUCGACCAUCCAAAGAAAAAGGAUAUCCUCUGCAUAUAUGUGUGCAUGCCAACAACUAUAAAAGGAGACCAUGAGGCAAUGAGUUGAUCAUCAAAGCAAACACACAGAAAUCCCAACUAAAAAUCAAUCAGUGAGACAAUGGCUGGAACUGGAACCAAUGAUAUUAAAAUUAAAGGGUUCGAUGUGAGCAACAACAGCGGCAACACGUCGGGAUUAACCCACUUCGCCAACAGAGCUGCCGAGGGCGACAAGGGCGACAAUAAAAUCGAGGUUGAGGAUGCUAAAGGGCAAGGGAACACGGGAAACUUGAAAGUACUGACCGACUUCGCCCAACGCGGUAAAGUGGGCCAGUCGGAUCGCCAAGAACUUGUCAAACCUCAGGCAUGAAAUUGAAGAAGGCCAUACCAUAACCACUUGUCUGCUUGAUAGAUAUAUGUGCUAAAUUAUCUACACAAAAAUAAGAGCUGAUGUUUUAUCUGAGGCUCCUUCCUUGGUUAGGCCUCGUUAUCAUGUGUAAUAUUAAUAUUAUUAUUCUAAUAAAAUAAUGGUAGCUUAUUAUUAAAUAUACCCAAAUACUAUACGUAUAACUUUUAGAUUAUUGAUACUGGUGUCAACAAGAGAAAAUGAUUAAAAAGUCCUUUCUCGCAUUCGUGAUGUUAGAAAAGAUACUUCAAUUUCAAAACUAUAAAUUGCACACGAGUACAAAACUGAACCAAAUAUGAAGUAAUGUAUCGGAAACUUGACUAAAUAGAAUACAACAUAUAUAUCGAAAUAUUUUUAUUAUAAAUGGUCUCUAAGGUUCGUGAAAUUAUUAGCUUUAGUCCUUCAUGUUUUUUUGUGACAUCAUUGGUCCUUUAUGUUACUCCUCCUCGCACAUCAAUUUGGUUUUGCCGUUUGAAUUCGUCAAAAUUUAUGUUAAAUUGAUGGCAUGGCAUGUAUAUGGUGCCCACAUAUCCAAUGAGAUAAUGACCCGUAGAUCUAAGUAAAAAAUUUGUUUUAAAAAAAUAGUUUCAUAUUUAAAAUUGUUAAAGGGCGAAGACUCAUUGGGUAACUCGAAGUUUGGGUUGUUGAAGCCUUCAAGCAUGGUUUUGCUCACAAAAGAUUGGAACGCAUUGUGUUGGGUUGAGCACUGAAAACCAAAGAAUAUCAAAAAUGUAGAGAGAGAGAGAGAGAGAGNNNNNNNNNNNNNNNNNNNNNNNNNNNNNNNNNNNNNNNNNNNNNNNNNNNNNNNNNNNNNNNNNNNNNNNNNNNNNNNNNNNNNNNNNNNNNNNNNNNNGGGUGGAGUGGGGGUGGGGUUGGGGUGUGGGUUGCUGCUGGGGGAGACGGAAGGGGAAGGGAGGGGAACGAAGGAGAAGGGGAGGGGUGGCUGUAGGUUUUAUUUAUUUAUUUUAUAUUUAUAAAUUUAAAAUUUGAUGUUUUAUUCUUAAUCUUUUAAAUGGAUUUUAUGUUUAAAAUUAUUGUAUUAUAUUUGAAGACACGUGACUCUAAAUGAUUGGAUGUGUGGACUUCACAUAUAUCUCAUGUCAGCAACUUAAUAGAAAAUUUGACGGACCCUAACGGCAGGGAUCAAAUUGAUGUGUGGUGUGUAACAAAAAGGAUCAAUAAUGUCACAAAAAACAUAAAGGACCAAAGUUGAUAAUUUUGCGAACCUUAUACACCAUUUGUGAUAAAAACCUUAUAUUGUAUAAUUUUAGUGUGUUUUUUUCUUAAAUGCUAUUGAGAAGAGGUUUUAUAAAACUGCUAUAUAAAAGGUUCACCACAAUGCUAUAAAACAAUAGUAGAUUAUGGCUCUCAGAUGUUUUCAUCUUCUUAUUCAUCCAAGCAGAUCGAUAACAUAUGGUCACUACUGACUUUUUCUUGUAGUUCUCAACAUCCAUCUUUCAAGCCAUCAACCAAGUUGUUGCAUUGCUCCUCACUGUUAGAAAAGCCUCGUUUCCCUCCUCCUCCUCCAUUGAUUGAAGGAGAGACAACAAAAGCAACUUAUGAAACAAGCCCCUCAUUUCCUUGUUAAACAUAAAUCGACCCAUUAUUGAUGAGGACUGGGAAUCUAAGAGCACACUAGUAAUUAACCUGAGUGGGGAAUAUGGAUGAUGGAUCUCUCUCUCUCUCUCUCUCUCUUGAAAAAAUCAACUUCAUUAUCCUUGGUGAAUUUGUUCUGAAUUAGUCGUGUCCAGCUAAAAGCAAUACUGUACGUAGUAUAUUAUUCUCUGCAUUUGUGCAUGCCAACAACAAACAAAUAUUAUUCUCUAUUAUAGCAUAUAGGCCGUCAUUUUCAAUCCUUAUAAGAGAAAACUUGCUUCGCCAUAAGAGUACGUAGCUUGGCAAGCAAGGUAAGGGUACUUCAGAAGAUUCCUUCUCAUCAUCUAUAUAAGACACAUGUGACAUUGCAUGUCUCAUCAAUCAUGUUAAGAUAAAGCUAGCUGGCAAGGCAAAUUACCAACCUUUAUGCUCGAGUAUAUUAUUCCAAGCAGAUAUAAAUGUUAAUAUAUGUGAAGAAUAUUAUGAUCAAUAUAGAAUAUGUAUCAUGAUCAGAGGGUAUCGACCGUUAAAAAAAAGAAAAAAAAGAAAGAAAAAAAAAGGGGUCUUUAGAUCGAAGCCCAAAAAUGUGCCUUUCAUUAGGUUUAACCCAUGUCUUUUCAGUUUUUGAUCUAGAUCCACUAAUUAUUAUAUCUCAUUUUCAUUACCUAUUUUGAAUUAUGAAUUAGGUUUGAACAAUCAUAAAUAUAGAGUACUGCUGUUUGCACCUUUGUCAUAUUUCUUCAUCUACCGUGUAAAUUUGAAAAACACAAAACCUAUCUUUCCACUCACUAUUAUUCCUAAAUUACCAUUUAAUUAUUAAUUCAAGCAAACUCUCUAUCCUCUUUCUCUUCCUUUCCUUUCCUUCUCUCUUCUCUCUCUCUGUCUCUCUCUGUCUGCACCAGUUUUCUUCUUCCUCUUUAUUUCCUUAUCUCUUCUCUCUAUGUUUCUUCUUCUUUCUCUGCGCCAUGUUUGGCUAUAACCACACUACUGGCAAAAAAUUUGGAUUUAACCCAUAUAUGUCCCUCACUGCUGAACUUUUCUGGUUCUGCCACUGACCCCCGCCAUGAAUUUGAUAUUCCCACCCUAACCCCGCGCCUCCUCCGAUGGGUGUGCUGAGAAAUUACAAGGAGGGUGUUUGGGGUAUGAUGGCAGGGAUGAUGGAGAAGGAAGGAAGGGAUGGUGGGUUUGGAUUUCGAACAAAAAAUAAAAAAUAAAUACGGAUUUAGGUGUGGGUGAGAGAGACGGAGAGAGUUGUAAAUUUGUCCUUAGAAGUCAUUUUGUGAAGGAAUAAAUUUGUCUUUAAAAUUUUAAAAAUAAGAUGAAUGAGGAAAUAGAACAAGUGGGUGCAAUAGUAGCACUCCAAAUAUAUUCGCAAGUAUAAUAUAUGAAAAUAAUAGAAGUCAUAUUACGCAUAUGCAGUAAUAUAAAAUACCUAGAAUAUAUGUUUGGAAGACAAAAUAAUAAACCUAGAACUAGACCAUAGGUUGAAAAACAUAGGAUCUACCUUGAAUAGGAUUAAAAAAUUACACCAACAACAUAUCUAUGUCAUGGGAACACUUGUAAGUUGUGUAUAUUUCAUCACCUCCAAGACCUAUACACUGAGAACAACAAAUAUAAUGCACCACAUAAUAUUGUAGGGUGAGAAAACUCAUAAAUCUGAUCUACCUACAACAUAGGAUUAAAAAAUUACACGAACAACAUACUUACACUGUUGGAACACUCGUGUAUAUUUCAUCACCUUCACAAUAGGUAUCAAAACCCUCCAUGAGAACACUCGUGUACUUGCAACAGACCUACACCUUGGGAACACUCGUGUACAUACACUUACCUAUAUUUACAACAUCUACCUACACCAUGAGAACACUCAUAUGCAUACAACUUACAUAUAUUUAUAACAUAUACCUACACCAUAAGAACACUCGUACAUACGACACACCUAUACUUACAAAUUACAAUGCACUUAUCCUUACAACAUAUAUACCUACAUCAUGGGAAUACUCGUGUAUAUUUGAACACAUGGACAUGGUUCAUGUGAAGCAAAAAGAUAUAGAGGGAAAAAAAAGAGACCGAAUACGCAAAAUGAAAAGUUACCAAAGUGACAAACUAAUAUUAAAUUAUUAAAAAGGUGAAAUCUAAUAAUUAUUUACCUAAAAUAAAUAUUCAAUGAAAUAAUAAUUCAGGAAUUGACAAUAUAAAAGUUAUUGAGGGUAAAAAAGGCAUUAAAAGUUUCAAAAACGGAAACCAUAAAUCUUGGUUGACUCGUCUCAAUAUAGUAAAUUUGCUGUCGUGGAAAAAUACUCAAUGAGCUUACAUCAAAAAAUGAAAUCACAAGGAUUAUUCCUAAUAAACAUACUUUUGGGUUUGUAUCUAAUUUUCCUAAUAAACCUUAAUACUUUGGGUUUGUAUCAAGUGAAACACAAAAGUUUGAAUCUUUCUGGUAAAAAAGAAAGUACUAGUCCUGAUUAUUCAGAAUUAAAUAGAAUCAUAUAUACGGGUCAUUGUAAUCUCAUAUUUCCUGCCAUUCUCCAUGAUAAUUUUGAUUUUUUUUUUAAUUGACAAAGAGGCAAAGAAAUAGAUUCAUCAUUCCAUUGUAACUAUCUCUAGGUAGUUGUUGACUCCGUGUGGAUCCUAGUUUUCUUGAGAUAGUCAUUUUUUGCCUUAAUGAACCCACUCAACACAAUUAGUGAAAUCUGAAAAAUCCAAGAAAUGAAGAAUUUCUUCUUGGAUCAGUCUUUGCAUUCUUUUCUUAGACACAUGCCCUAAUCUUUUGUGCCAUAGUUUUGCAGACUUCUCAUUAUCUAGUGGUCGUUUUUGGCCUAUGGGUUCAAUGUUAAAAGCCACAUUGUUACUUGCAAGGUUUAAGCAAAACAAACCAUCAACCAAAGAGCCAUUGUCCACUGAACUUUUAUUGAAUAUCAAAUCAAAUCCUAUUUCAGAGAAAGCAAAAUUGAAAAGUUCCCUAGUUCAUCUAGAAACUGAAAUCAAACUCCUUCUCAUAGAAGGUACAUAAGCAACAUCUUUCAAAAUUAAAUUAAAGUCUGAAACUAAUUGAAGCCAACUGAGCCUAUUGCUUGAACUGGUAAUCUCUUUCCAUUCUCCACCAAGGUCUUGGUCUCUACUUGUUCUUCUGGCUUACGAAGUCCUGCAUUUAAUUGACUUUAUCAUUUGGAUACCAAGUCUAUGCAGUCCUAUGCGUUGAUGACAUUUGACACAAAGUUUGAUAUAGAUAUCUUUAUCAAGUGAGCUUUCCAAACUAUGAACAUAAGAGCACCUCCACCCCAAAGGGUAAGGGCAAGGCAAGGUUUGUCACUAUUCAAGUGAAUGGUGGCAGCCUUGCCUUUUUUGGUUCCACCCCAAAAGGCAAGGGCAAUUACUAUUCACUUUAAUUUAUUUUCUAUUUUUUUAUACUUAAACCAUUAAUUUUGAUAAGAUUUUCGGUUGCCACAUGUCACUAUUUAUUAUAAAAUUCUCACCUAAAAUUUUAGAUAACAUUUUCAGAUAAAUUUUCGAAUUAAAUUUUCAGAUAAUAUUUUUAGUUGCCACAUGUCCAUAUUUAUUAUAAAAUUCACAUCACACUCAUCAUACAAUUGAAAUACCUACUCACUCAUCAUACAAUUGAAAUACUCAUAGUCCGACAAAAUCGAGUACAAUGACGACUCAAUCAUUGGCGGAGGUGGUUCCACUGGAUCACGAUGUGGGGGAGUAUUUUCCUUCGGAGGACGUAAUAGUGCCAUUAUUUCAUACACGGAACGCAUCACUGGAAUCGGCUACGAGCAUUGUUCACUUGAGGAGCCAUGUGUAAUGGUUUCCUCUUUUUUGUUUUGCCUUGAAUAAUCUAUUUAAAAGUUGAAAUUGGAAAUGCAAGAAAUAUUUUUUUAAAAAAAUACAUUAAAUUGAAUAAAACGGCAAUUAAUUUUUUUCUACCUCGUCGCCAAGAUUUUGACAUAUUCGAACUUUUUUCUACGACCCUUGAAGCCAUUUGUUUUUUAUACAAAAUAGAAAGUAGUUGAACAAUGUGAGUGGAAAGUAAAAAAUAUUUGAAGGAGAAGAGUUUGUAUGAAGAUUUGGUGUGGAACGUGAAUAAAAUUGUUAGGUAUUUAUAGGGAAAAAAAUCCAGAAUUUUUUGGUACUUUAAAAAAAAAUUAGAAGCUAUCAGAUUUUUGGGAAAAAUUCAAUCAGAGCAUCCCAAAAGCGCCACAUGCUUCUUCCCGUUGGUGGUUGUCAUAAAAUAAAAUAAAAAAAUUAACCAUUGGCGCGUGAAAUUCACACGCCAACGGUAAUAAAAAAUUAAAUUAAAUUAAUUUGCACUGCAGACAUCAGCGCCUUUGGGCAACAGCCCAAUCCAGAUUUGCCCAUAAGCUUGCCCGGGCUGAUGGAUCCCACGCCUUGCCCGAACUAGAUUGCGCGCACUUGAGCUGGAUUUCGGGCUUGGGAUAGCCUUUUGCCCGGGCCAAGCUUGAGCGCUGGAGGUGGUGUAAGGAAUCGAUUCUAAGGCAAUAAGAAAGUGUUUUACAUAGAUGUUGCACUCAAGUGGGAGAAUAUAUAUCCUGCAUCUAUGCAUGCCAACGACUAUAAAAGGAGACCAUGAGGCAAUGAGUUCAUCAUCAAAGCAAACACACAAAUCCCAACUUAAAAUCAAUCAGUGAGGCAAUGGGUCAAGAUCAAACCAAGCCAGCAAAUGCUGGAAGCAAUGAUAUUAAAUUUAAAGGGGUGGAUGUGACCGACAACACCGGCGACGUGACGGGAUUUACCCACUUCGCCAACAGAACUGACGGGGCCGACAAGGGCAACAAUAAAAUCGAAGUUGAUGAUUUUAAAGCGAAGGGGAACAAGUCACACUUGAACGUACUUACUGACUUCGGCCAUCGCGGUCAGGCGGGCGAGUCAGGCAAACAAGAAAACAAAGAGAACAAGCAACUUCAGCAGGCAAGCAAUUGAAGAAGGCCAUACCAUAAUAAGUUCUCUGCUUGAUAGAUAUGCACUAAAAUAAGAGCUGAUGCAAUAUCUGAGGCUGCUUCCUUGGUUAGGCCUUGUUUUCAUGUGUAAUAUUAAUAUUAUUAUUCUAAUCUAAAAUAAUGGUUGCUUAUUAUUAAAUAUCAAAAUUCUUUACGUAUAACUUUUAGAUUAUUUAUACUUAUGUACCAACAAGAGAAAAUGAUUAAGUAUAUCAAAAUCCUUUCUCCAAUUCGUGAAGUUAGAAAAUGAUACUUCAAAAUUCACAACUAUAGUUGCACACGAGUAUAAAACUGAACCAAAUAUGAAGCAAUGCUUGGGCCAGUGUGACCAAAGCUCUCAAACGAUGCAUUUGAGAAGAAGGUACUAAAUUAAAGGAUGUACGCAUAUUUCCAGCCUUUGAAGUCGCAUAUCUCUAUAUGGUUCCACUGAGCGAUUGGGUUUGAGCGGUCGGUGGUGGUUCAAUUUGGUUUUGAGCAGUCGGUGGUGGUUCAAUUGGGUUCAAUUGGGUUCAAUUGGGUGGUGAUUGUGGUUCGAGUGACCAAUAAUAUGGCAACUUAAAUCAGAAACAUACAGAAAAUAUGGCAACUUUCUCAAAAAUUGGUACAAUACUGUAAACCAAUAAAUAACUCAAAAAACCAAUACAAAAAGCUAACCAUUUGCCUCGAGUAGCUAAUAAAAUUUAACUAUUAUCAUCUUCUUAUUGCUUGGUGUAGCUAAUAUAAGUAAACUUCCGACGUGCUUAAUUUCUCUAUAUCCGACCUUUUCCUAACACUAACCCUUGGUUUGCAUCAUCUCUAGCAAGGCCACAAAUUAAGGGACAAAAUAUAAAUCCAGCUGGGCCCCUCAACUUAUCAAGAUUUUGCACAGCAAAUAACAAGCCCAGGUUUUCUGAAGAAUCAUGAAGCAUAUAACUUGGAGAGGUCUUCAGAGAAAGCCUUCUUAAUGACAUCUCUCUUGAGCUUGAGAGCUGCAGUGACCAGGCCAGAUUCUGGAGUCCAUGGUUCAGAAAGCAAUUUGAUUUUGGCAGGGAUCUCAAACUUCUCCAAACGUGCCUUCUUUGCUUCCUAUAAUAAGUGAAACAUGAAUAUUUGAAACAGAACAAAACAAAGUAAAUUGAACCAAGCAAGUUUAUAAAGGAAUGAAAGCUUUUCAUAAGGAGAGGAAGUUGAAUAAGUAGCAAGUUCAUUCGAUAGUCAAGAAGGAAGCUUGGUGAAUGAUUGGAUGAUUGUUUGUUUUUAGACAAAAGAAAGAAUAUUUUUUAUAGGACAAUAACUGACAUAGGCUGGCCAUCAAGGAUAAAAGACAUUGCGUCCAUUAGAUGCAUAAUGUAUAAGAUAAAUAAACAUCAGGGUAAUCAAUCUGCCUGAAGAAACUAUUAAGGGAGGAAGGCCAAGAUUGUAUAUUGAGCUUAGAUCAGAGAAUGCAAUAGAAAUUCAAAAAACUAAAAAUACAUAUAUAUAAUUUAUCUUAGUUCAGCAAGCCAAGGCCAAAUGUGAUUAAAUUUGAACAGAGAUCUUGGCUACAGGUAAGAGUUUGUACCUUGAUAAAUGACAAGAAGAACUCAUGAGAUGCAUACACUCCUUGAGUUCAAAGAUUUCUUUCUUUUCUUUUUUUCUUUUUCUCUUUUUGUGGGGGAGUGGUUGCAAUAUUUGAGCUCAAAGUUCAAAUCCCUAGACUCAAGCUAAGUUCAAAGUAAUGGAAAUUUACCCAGAAGAUAUACAUACCUUUAUAAGUGAUGCUUGCACUUCUUUUAUGGUUUCUUCUUUCACACACAAGUCUGAAAAAUCACUAAAAGCAAUUCCUUGCUUUGCAGCCCAAUCUUCCACAGUGAUUCGAGAAGCCACCACAAUAGCCACACAGUAACUAUGAAAAGGAUCAGCAUGCAACAUGAUAUUGUCAACAUAGGGGCACACUGAAAGAGCAGCCUCAACCUGUAAAAGAAACAUUAGUUCCUGGGGAAAAUUUGAUGAAAAGUUGCAUUCAUCUUGCAACACACGUACCUUUCCUAAGGAGACAUACUCUCCAUGCUGAAGUUUAACUAUAUCUUUCUUUCGGUCAAUUAUCUCAAGACAACCAUCAGCAUGAAAUUGCCCGAUGUCACCUGUAUAGAACCACCUCAUUCCUUUCUCAUCAACCUUUUUACAAAAAACCCAAAAACAAAACCCCCAAAGUUAGGAUCUAUUGAACAUUUUUCUUUGGUGGGUAGUUGCAACCAAAAGAAUAUCGGUAUGAAAUAUUUGAAUAGACACCUUGUAUGACUCUCUUGUUUUUUCUUCAUUUUUGAAAUAACCAAGUGUAACAUUUGGACCACCGAUGACUAUCUCUCCACGAGGCAUUGGGGAAUCAGUUUUUAGAUAUCCUCCUUCGGGCCAAUCAAUUAACUGGACACAGAAGGUUAGAAAGUCAAUAUCACAUUCAUGCCUUGGAAACAGCGUACGGAACUCUUCUUAAGACAUUUUCAUUAAAAGAUAUGAAUUUGAAACAGAUAAUUCAACACAGAAAUGGAUAAAUGAACACCUCCAAGAAACUGCAAGUCAUGAUUAGGAUUUCAAAUCUUUCUUUCUUCCUUUUUGGAAGAAUUACUUUAAGAAAAUUAUCAGUUAUACACAUGUAACUAAAAUAUCCAUUGUCAUCUCUUACCUUUAUAAAUGAGCAUGGAAGCGGAGCUCCAACACGAGCAACAGAUGUAUCAUCAAACUCUGAGAAUGUCCCGCCAGCGCAAGUUUCAGUUAGACCAUACCCUUGACCAAUUGGAGAACUGUCAAUAGCACAAAUGUGGUAUGUUGAGAAUAGAGCAAAAGAAAAAAGCAUUAAAAAGCAUUAAAAAUUAUAGGCAGGACAAAGUCAUGGUUCACAAUUUGUUAUGUUGUAGGAGCUAAAAGUACUAACCCAAUGCAAAUGUUGAUGAAUCUUUGAGUAUCACCUGAAAGAGGAGCACCACCAGAAAGGAUAAAACGGAUGCUACCUCCUAGAACUGCGCGGACCUUUCUAAACACAAGAAAGUUCCACAGAAACUUUUCCAGGCCCCAGGCCCCAAACCAACUACCAUUCACAGCAGACAACCUACGAGCAUAUGCCAAGUGAAACAAUCUCUUGGAUAGACCACCCUUUGCAUUUACCUGAACCAUUAUGAAGAUACAACGUUGACAAAACUGGCGUAAUUUCAAAACCAGGUUUUAUACAAACACACGCACAAAUGAUCUAUAUGUGGACAGGCAUAGGUAUCUAAAUAUGUAAAAAUCAUGACCCUGCCAAGAUUCAAAAACCUUAUUCAGCACUCCGUCUCGAACGCGAUCAAGAAUUGCAGGGACUGCUGUCAAUACAGUUGGCGCAAGCACAGUUGCAUCCCCCUUUGUUCCCUUCUUUAUUUUACUUGAAGUAUCAAUAAGAGUCAAUGGAGAUCCAUACCCUAUGGCACUUCCCACAGCAACCAUGACAUUCUUCAAUACAGAUAAUAAAAGUUGUUAAAUCAAGUAGCACAGAGAUAUAAGAACAUGACAAGAUAAGAAUAAUAAAUAUAAAAAAAUGCUCAUUGAAUUACUGUAGCCAUGCAAUAUAGCCAGCUUACAUAUUCCCCAUACCUCCGCUGCUAAUUCAAGGAUAUGAGCAAGGGGAAGGUAUGCCAGAUAAACGUCCUUGCUUCCAAGGCCCGGAACAAUAGUCAUGACAGCAGAAGCUACAGCUAGCACAUUAGCAUGUGUCAUCAUUACACCCUGUACAAAGUGGAAGCUGGAGGUGAAAAUGUGUUCGUUGACUAACUUUUUAAUACAUUUGGAAAUAUAAAUGUCUAUACUUGCAUUAGAUGCCACCCCAAAACAAAUAAAAAAGAAAGGGCACAGAAUAAAGUAGAAAACAAAAAUCGCCAUAUAUCUGAAGGAAAGUAGAUAAUGUAGAGAAAUGUGACGCAACAAGUGUUCAUUCUGUUUACACGUAUGACAUAAAUCGAACAUAUAUGAUCAUUCGUCAUAAAUCACAAUCACCCACAAUGUACCCAUCCAAAGGAAGAACUUUAAGUGAACCCAACCCAUAUCAUAUUCCCCACCCAUUGUACCCUAACUCCAUACAACCAUGCAAGGUAUUUCAUAUAAGCAAACAGCAAUCCCAUGAGCUAAAUAUUUCCAAACAUAUUGAUACAUAUACAAUAUUUUGUUCAGAAAAUGUGGAUGCAACAAAGAGACUUUCAUUAUUGUCUCCUAUUUUUAAUUUCAAGAUGGUAUAUUAAUAAUGGGAUAUUUAUCAAAUGAAAAUGAAAGAGUAUAGUAGCAGUAAACUAGUGAUAUUUACAAUACUGCAGCAGUUUCAUAUUCAUAAAAACUUGGAGAAUGCAUUUUCUCCAACAAGAUUCAAGACUAAGAUUAGCUUAUCUGAUGGAACUAGAAGAAUAUGUCUCAGAUCUACCAGCAUCAAGAAAAGGGAUCACUUGUUUCUUGGAAAAAUCUUUAAAAUAAUCUAUGUGAUUGUUGAGCAUUUGUUUGAGUUCAUAGAUUUAUGUAACUAGGUCAGGUUAAAGACAUAAAUGUCUUUUUUCUUGAGUUCAGUGUCAAACCACCCAUAAAAAAUGUCACUAUCAAGCAUCCGUGUCUUUUGAAAACUUUAACAGUGUAACAAAAGCACUUUUCAAGUGUAAUUUUAAGCCUAAAACUCAUUAAAGAUCAACAGUCGAUAAUGCGAAGGUGGAAGGAAAAAAAUAACAAUAUUGAUACAAAUGUCACACAAAGCUUCAAAAACAAUCAACAAUUAAAAACCAAUUAGAAUGACUAUCAUGUAAAAUAACAAGAAGAUAUAAUAGAGGCUUUAAACCUUGGGCAACCCAGUACUUCCACUUGUAUACAUAAUGACCGCAACAUCUGCAGGAAGAGGUAGAUCUGGUUCAACAGGGCUUUCUCGCCCAAGUCUCUCAACAACAUCGAAUGAAGUGAUUCUCCAUCUACUUUCAACAGAUGAGGCACUAGAUGGGAUCUCAUCAUCCAUACAUAUGAUGCGCUUCACUGUGUCUAGUUGUCCACUUAUAUCUAGCAGUUUCUUCAGUUCUUUGUGCCCACAUAUCACAGUUGUAACUUCUGUCUGGAUAUAUAAAAUGAAAACAAUGCUGGUUAUGCACUAAGAACAAACACUGUGAGGAAAAAUGAUAAACAUUAAUCCUAAUCUAGUACUAACAUAUCAACAUCAUAAGGAUUUUUUUUUUUUUCCUUUUUUUUCUUUUAUUUGAAGAGAAAGACCUAACAUCUCAAAUGCAUCUCCCUUCAUCCUCCGUUUGGAUGGAGGAAAAUAACUCAGGAUUUAGAUAAAAGUCGGGAAUUGAAGAGGAGAAAUUGAUAUUUCCAUUGUUUGGCAACUUAAGCAUGGAACUUAAUAAAUGACAUGCAGAAAAAAUUGUGGAAAUUGGGGCAUCAUUUCGCAAUUUCUAUUGAACAUGAAUUCAUUUUUCACUGUAAUUUCUGUCAUUUACAAAAUUCGACAUACAUAAAUCCAAACACAAAAAUUUAAGAAUUCUAUGCAAUUUUCAAUUCCUUCGUCCAAAUGGACUAGGUUGCAACAUUUUGGAUGAGUUACACAAAAGUCACAACAUAUAAAAUUGGAAACAAAUUUCUUGAGUUUACUACCUUGUUUAAAAAAAAAUUUUAAAGACAAACAUAGAUGAACUCUAAUCAACAAAAAGAAAAUGUACAGAAACGAACCUAUUCUGCAAUAGUAGCACACUGUGAAACAACAGGAAUGUGAGCAAGUCUAUUAGAGAGAGAGAGAGAGAGAACCUCAUUUAAUGAGUGACAUAGAGCCUCCUCCCCGAGAGACGCAUAUAUGGUAACAACAGUGACAUUGCGCCUAAAACAACCCUGGUAUAAGAAAACAUAUUAAGGAAUCAGCAAUUUGUGUUUUCGUUAUACUGGAACUAGACUACCCAAAACACAUAGCAUUCAUGCAAACAUGAAACUCAAUUGAUUUAUCAUUGCUCACAAACACUGCCGUUUAAAACUCUAGUUUAGUGACAGAAUAGAUGAACAAAAAUCACAUCAUACAUGCAACAACAUGAACAUCAAAAGAAGUUUAAGGUAAGCUGGAAAAAUUAUCAUGAAAUGUCAAAAGAAGGAUUAAAUUUUUAUGUACAAAGACCACGCAAGAUACACACCUGCAAUGCAAUAAACCACUCUUCUCUUGUGUCAGCAAAGAUUGCUACUCGUUCUUCCUUUUUAUGCCCAAGUUGAGCUAAACCAGAAGCAAAGUUGCACACGACUUCAAAUGCUUUCCCGUAGGUUAGCCAUUCAUAGUCUCCCAAAUGAAGCUUCUCAAAGGAUCUUCCAUCCUUUGAUACUUCAACCUCCCUUGCAAUCAAUGCCCGGGUUCCAAGAAAGCGUCUAUCUUGGAACCGCUUGGAUGACUGCUCAAAAAGUUCAGCAAGAGUUGAAAUACCUUCCCAUAAUGUUUCCACUGGGGAAGUAAACCGACGGUUUCGGAUUGUAAACCCAGGUUCCCCACCAACAUUAACAGGCAAACCCCGUUUCGUUGCUUUCUUAGAUUUCUGAAGUAUAAGAGUUAGUACAAGAGGAACAAGGGCACCAACAAGGUAGAGACCCAUCUUUCAAAGGCUGUAUAUUCCCAGAAGAAUGUACUAAAUUCAAUCCUGAAAAUCGAACAAUAUCCAAUCAGUUGCAAAUUUCAGAAUCUGAAUUUAUGUCUCUCACUCAUACAAAAUAAUAAUUAAUUAAGUACUGUCUAUAAAUAUAUAUCGUGGUAGCUAGCACUUCUUCCCCCUUAAGAAUAAGUGUGGAGGAUAAUUUUUUACUGUUUUAGACAUUUGUCACCAAAUUACAAUAGAAACUAGAAAUCAGAAAGAAAUGGUAAUACAAAAGAAUUCUUCAAUAUCAGAAAACAGAGCAAACUUCUUGUCCAAAUGCCUAAGGAGGGGCCUAGGAGCUAGCUAGCAUAAGGGUUUUGCAGCUACCCAAUCAACCAGCUGACGCAUGUUAGUUUAUUGUUGAUUAAUUCAAUUACUUGAGCCACUAAAAUUGAGCUCCGAGUUAUUUUUCAUUCUUCACUUUCAUAAAUCUCUCUUUUAUCUAUGUUCAAGCAAUCAUGAAAACAGAGCAGUGCAACAAAAAUGGCUUUCAAAAAAAUUUUUAAAAAUACGCACAUUGUAAUUCAAAAUCAAACGAAUUUCAGAAAAUAGAUUGAUGCUGAUUGUGUGUUUGGGUACCUUGUUGUUGAAGCCAAAGCGCCGAAAACGAAAACGAAUUCAACUUGAGCUCAUCAGCAUUGCGAGAAUGCGAGCAAUGAAGCAGAAGCAAAAGGCUCGCAAAAUGUCAUGGGGAGUGAUGAGAUUGAAACGAAGCGUUUAAUAGCACAGAGAAAGAGAGAGAAGGACGGUGAGCUAAAAGCCGAGCGGAGAGAUCGAGAAGAAGGAACUUGGAGUCUCAGACUGACAGAAAGACUGAGAGUCUGAAGUGGUUUGAGUUUUGGAGUUUAUUUAUUUAUUUAUUUUAAUAAUAAAAUUAAAGGCGCCGAAUCGGGCUCAUAUGGGCCGUACGAUGUGGGUAUUGAACAACGGUGGAUAUGGUGCUUGCGGCCCAAAUGGGUUUAGACUCUUUUUGUCUUCAAUUUUACUAUCAAAUAAAACAAAGAAGUUGUUACAUUUCAUUUGAUUUGAGUGAUUGAUUUUUGUGGCUUAUAUUUACAUAGUUGGUCUAACCGCGUGGCACGACAUGAAAGAUGAGGAUAAGGACCAGGAUGGUGAUACUAGGCCACAAAUUAGUAGGUGAACCAAUCUUGUCACUUAUUAAUUUAGAAAAGGAUGAUAAGGUUUCGUAGCCGUUCAUUCAUGUGCAUGUAAAUGAUUUCUAAUUCAUGCGUACAUAAGUGAUUUCUAAUUAAUUACCGACCGUUGAUGCAUGUAGCAUACAUUAAUGUACAUAAUGCAUCAAUGAUCAACAUUUAUUGUCUCGCACUGUGUAACACUUUCAGAAAAACACAACACUCCAACUUACAUAUCUAAAUUUUGUAGUACUUCCAAUGUACCAAAAUAGUCAUUGUCGGCAAAUGGAUGGGGACUUUACUAAGCAUGUGAAUUUAACAAACUACCCUUUUAGUCAUCAUUUGUUAAGGUUGUGAUGCCGUCUAAACAUUCUGAAGAUGGAGAAAGUUUAAAGAAAUUUUAUAUAAAAGAAACAAAAACCAUAGCAAUGAUACAAAAAGGUGUUGAGACUAUUUAUACAGUUCCAACAUGUUCCAAUUGUUUAGUUUGGCCUUGGUCUUUCAUUUGUAGUAUCUUGUGAAUUUCCCUGAGAUGCUGUUGUUCCGGAAAACAUUUCCAUCACUGAUCUCAAAGCUCCGCUUAGUUCCUCGGGCAUUUGUUCACCGAAAUUGAAAUUGAUGUUACCCCCAAUCCUUAUUCCCGGUUCAUCAAAUCCCUCGGUACUGCUAUCAUCUCCUUGGUUAUCUGGAGAAUGUUGUCCUUGGUACGCAUUUGCAGCCAUGUUCAUAAACAUAUUAGCAAAUUCAGCAGGAAGAGCACCUGUAUUAAAUGGCAUAGAACCAAACGGAGGAGGUGCAGCAUGGCUUCUCGACCCUCCUGUAGACUGGUUGGGGUGUUCUGAAGCACUGCUACUACUAAACGAACUUGUGUUCUGUAUAAGAUGAGGGAAAAAGAAAAGGAUUACAUAAAAAUGACAAAUUAUGCUUGUCAAUAAAUCAUAUCCUUCUCCCUCAAGAAAAGUAUCAUGCUACUUAAGGUCGCCUUCUAUUUCUUAAAAGCUAAAACAGUAGAGAUGAAGGGGAAAAGUAGAGAAAGAAAUUAGUCAAACGGUGAAAAGCAUGCUAACUGGUGUCACACCCAGCAGAGCAUUGUGGACCUGUCUUCUAGUAGACGGGCACUUUUUCCUUAAUAUCAAUGUAUUACCUGACCAGAUUCUGCUCGUUGUUGUUCCUCUCUCAAUUUCUGAACAGCCACCUAUUGGGUUCAAAUAACAAAGUGAUCAAAGAAGUUGUCAUAAGAAAUAAAGAAAAGAAGAAGGCACACAAGAACCAACCCGUAUAUUUUCUUUCACAGCUUCAUUGCCCGGAUCCAAUUGCAAUGCUGAAAGAUUAAAACCCCCAAUUAUGAAAUGUUAAAUACUACCUUUCUAUAAAUCUGCUUCCCCAUUUUUUGUAUCCUAUAUUAGCUUGGCAUUGGCAUAGGUACUUUAAAAAGAUUCUCUUACUAACCUUUCUUGAAUCCUUUCUCAAUAGCAUCACUGUAGUUCCCUUGUGCAUAAUAAGCUAAUCCCAGACGACUGUAUGCCUUGCUAUAAUUGGGGUCAAUUUCAAUGGAUUUAAGGCAAUCUCUGAUUGCUUCAGUAUAUUUGUGCAUCUGAGUGUAAGCCGCUGCCCUGAAUGUACCUCAUAUAUAUCAAUUAAAAUUUCCAGUUUCAAGAAACAGUAAGGGUGGCAAUUUGCUGCAACUAGACAAAGUGAAUCAAAAUUUUACCAGAGUGCUUACUAAAAUAAUACUAACUUGACAUCAAACAUUUGAAGAAUAGUUUAUCCAUAUUGUCUUUGAGAAAACAAUAAUUGUUUUCCUUCUUUGACAAUCCUCAUUACUUUUUAUCUUCUUUUGGACAAUUGAAAUAUGUGAAGGAUAUACGUACAUUAUUUUCUCACUGUCCACUAUGAAAACUAACAUGUUAAACUACCAUUUCCUAGAAUCAAGUAAUCUGAAAAUGUUGAGAAUUUUCUGAUGUAGCAAUUUGUUGUUUUAACAUAAAGAUUAAUUCACAACAGAUAUCUUUAUGUGUCAUUCCUUCUGGGAAAACUGAGAAAAGGUAGAAGACUAAAACUGUAAUUGAAUAAUUCCUAGUACCAAAAAUGUAAGCACAAGUUGGUAGUGCACCUGUUACAGUAGUAAACAGCAUUACUUUCACAAAGUGCAACAGCACAGUCAUACAACUCAAUUGCCUUGGGGUACAGCGUUGAUUGCAUGGCCUUAUUACCUAACAAAAUGAAAAUCACAUAACAGAAUUAGCCUCUGCACAGAAUGUUGAUACUCCGUGUAGAGUGACAUAUUUAAUGAAGCAUAAGGUAAGAUGCAGAUAUUCACCAAUGCCCUUGAUGCAUUUUUUCAUUUCCAAGGAUAUAGAAAAAAGAUAUUGUCAUUUAUAACAGGACAGUGAGUGAGAGAACUCAUGGAGAGAUAGAAAUGAAUUGGCUUUCUGAUAAGAAACAAGAAUUUCGUGGAAAAGAAAAAAGAAAUACAAAACAAGAUGGACACGGAGUCCAUCAGGAGCAAACACCUAGAAAACCAAAAUGAAUGGGCUUUAAACCACAUUUCCUCAAUUUGACAAUGUAAAGUAGUUCAAAAGUGACAUACUAACAACCCAACCAAAGCCAUAUGAGCCUUAAACACCUUGUGAUUUCAAGGUCUCUGCCAGAAUUUUAGGACUGAAUUCCUCGCAUCCAGAUCUUUCCAUCUCCUGAAGCAGCAAAUGAUUUUCUUCUUAUUAAUAAGAUUUUUAAAGGUGAAACAGCAGCAAGAACAUUCCAUUUAAGCACAAUCUUGGGGUUAAACUCCUGGGGAGUACAAUAUUAAUCACAAUGAAGAUCAAGCAACAAAAGUUCCAAAAUGGAAGCAAUAAUUCAAACGUAAAUAUAACAAGGGUCAUGAACUAAAACCAGAAAGGAAAAUGGAUAAUGUCUAACACAAUGGUUUGUGUAGCUGGAAGUUUAAAACCAUUUGGAUUGAUUUUAAACUUCGAGAGAAUCAGUUCUCCAAUCCCUUCACAUCACUCCCAAUCCUCAACUCUUAGUUUUCCCCAAGAAUCGCAAAUCCUGGAUGCUAUACAUCAAGAGCGUGCACCACACACAUUGUCUCAUGUAUAAAUGGUGGUUACGUUAUCAAAUCUCACAACAAACUACAGAAUCAUUGGGAAUUACAAUACCCUGAUCUGAUGUAUGGGGCCACACCGAUGCAUUUAUCUUUACAAUUAAGUGUAAAGUUGGUUUCCCUUACCCAGUUUCAUAAUUCACUUCUGAUAUACAGUUUAAUCGCUAUUAUAAUGGGACCUUAGGCCUUCUAUUAAAAUCCUCUCAAUCACAAAAGAGAACAUUAACUCUAAUCUGAUAUGUUUCAAAUAUCUGAAUUCAGCAAUUUAGCAUGUACCUAAGCUGCAAAGCAUGACACUCUUUAAAGAUGCUAGAUGAGGCUAGAGGAUAAUUCAUCAGCAAACAAAAUUUAAGCAACAUUAAUAAAAUUAUGAGGAUGAGGAGGAUAAAUUUCUAGGAUUUAUUUUGAUGGACAUCUUAUUCAUCCUUCAUGUAGAUUUUCUUUCUUUUUAAUAGAAGUAGUUUUCUAUGGUGGAAAAAAAUCAUGCAACUAUAAAGAUACAAUUUUUAUGGAAUUCACAUGUAACCCAAAGAAAAAAGGGAGAGAGAGAGAGAGAGAGAGAGAGAGAGAGAGAGAGAGAGAGAGAGCACAUACAGCUAAAGCAUCAUGGAAUAAAUUAGUCGCUUUGUCUAAUCUGACUGGGUCAUCAUUACCAUCAGGCAAGGUCUUAAAAUAGAGAUUUCUCUCAAGGGCAGAAAAGAAUUGCCCAAAUAGUGCAUCUUUGGACUCCCCUGCCAAUAACACGAUCAUCAAAUGCAAAUUUAAUAUGCACUUAUACUCAAUUAUUAAAAUGCAGAAAGAACUCUAAACUGCAAAAACUUUCAUUUCAUACUGUCAAUGCAAUUCCAUUUAUAAUAUGAGAUUCAUGUGCACAUUAAAUGAAUAGAUCAACAAAGUUCAAACUAAUUAGACUAUUUUUUGUUUCUUUUGAGAAAGAUCCUUCUAAAACAACUUAAUAAUAAUCAUGUUUGGCAUCAUCCUCUUACCAGGACAUUUUAAUUUAUAAAGUAACAAUGUCAACAGCAAUUAGAACAUAACUACAAUCCAAUUCAUUGAGGCUAGGCGUUUCUGGUCUCGCAAGGUGAGGCAUAAGCCCUGUAGUGUUGAGGCGUAAACCUUUCGGGACAUGAAUUUUUUUAAUCAAAAUAUAUAAAGUUAAAACAAAAAUAAAAAUAAUAAUGAAAAUAAUGGGUCAUUUAUCAAUAAAGAGCACAAAACAGCACCCCCGGUAUGGCUACUAAGGAUUCGAUAUAGGAUUGAGGCUAGGAGAACCAUAUACACAAAAAAAACAUGGGAAAAGAUAGAAGAGAGCCACUUACGAGCUGAGCUAGCCUUCUUCAGAGUAGAAAAGAGAAAUAGAGAGUGAGGUAUGCAGAUGGAGUGAACUAGAAAAGGAGGCUAGUUCGCAUCUUUUGGGAGAAGAAUUAAGGUUUAGAAAACUCAAUUAGGGGCUGGGUUGUAUUGAGUUGGAGAGGAAGAAGAAGCUGGGUUCAUUAAUUAGACAAAAAGUUGUGCCUGGAAUUUAAAAACCAGCCUUGAAUGAAAAAAAACCCAUUUCAUCGCAAGGAUGCCAAUGCAUGACAAAACGACAUUGUUUUGUCUAAAACUAUCCAAAAAAUUAAGGCACAACAAAUUGUCUUCUUCUUCACUAAUCCCUCAGCCUCCAUUUAUUCUGCCUCUGCAACUGAGCAUGUGCCUAACCCCACCUAAUAAUCAACCGCAUAAACCUUCCAUGAAAAGAGCUAAACAACCCUACCCCUCAAGCAAUUCACAAACACCUUGCCCAUAUGCAUGCCUUGAGGCGCAGCUCCAAAACUCUUUUGAAAAACACUGGUUCAAUCCCUAAAGAUGAUUUAAAUAAUUGUUGAUGCAACAGGUAAUGUUCCCUUUAAGGAAAUGCACCCAAUGACAAGAUUCAUGUACAAAAGUGGAAGCAAAUUAGCCACACUUAAUAAAUGCUCCAACAAGGCAAUGACACAUGUAAAGGAAAGUAUGAACUACAAUUAGAGAAAAAAAAAAACAACAAUACUGAAAACGUAAUACCUAAUGCAUGGUCUUUACUUGUCAAAUCUUCACCCUGAUUAAAGUGUAACACGAGACAGAGUCAAACUAAAGACUAAAAAUCAAAUCUUGUAGUAAAAGCAUUAUUAAGAAAUAUCCAUGUUCAUGCAACUAUAAAAGCAUAGUUCAAUUAAUGAUCUUAAAGAGAAUGAAAAUAAACAAAAGCAUCAAGAAGAACAUAAAAGGACAUGUUCUCAAAUCAGGAAAGAACAGUGGUUUUGUGAAUUAAUCUGAUUUCUAAUCUUUUAUUAAAAAACCAAACCUAAUACAAUCAUAUAAGUCCAUUCAAGAAUUAACACCACAAUGAAACAACCAAAUAAUACAAAGUUAGUACAAAAGAAAUCUCAUAUUUGCUUCCCCUCAUCUAGUCACAUAUUCCUCUUCUUUUCCUACUGCUAUGAGAUAGCUUCCAACUUAAUUAUAACCAACAUAUACACCCAAGAUCUGACCGUUAGCUACAUUGCAAAUUAUAAUAUUAGUCACUAUAUCAGUCCUGAUAUUUAGAGCAUAUUCCAUUUAUGUCUCUAAAUAUUCACUUUCUUGCGCUUUAAUAACCUUCAACUCGCAUACUCAAAAGAUAAAAAAACCCCAACUAGAUCCUUUUCCUUCCUUUUCUUCCAUGUUCCUGAUCACAUACUAGUAGUCCAACACUAAGCAUCCCUUUACAUCCUCAUUUCCUUCCCUUGAAACAAAGGACAAGGCCUACUAGCCCACAGCUCCCAUUCAUCUAUUAUACCCAAAUCCCAAUAUCCGAAUGUUAGCAAGCUGACAUUUUCAUUGUCCAUAUUAACUUACAGAUAAAUUCAAAAUUAAUAUAUUCAAAGCAUUACACCCACAUGAUGAUUUACAUAAUAAUUAUUUAAAAUAAUGAAGAAGAUAACAGCCAAACACCAGAGAUUUUGAUGCCUUUGAACGAUUGGCAUCAGCAGAAGCCUGAGCGGCUGAUGAACUAGGAGCAUCAACUGAGCUCGAUCCAUGACCAAGAUCAGAAUUAUUCUCCUGAAGCUUGUUCAACUCCAGUGAACUAAAAAUAUCAACCAACGAAACGGGUUUAAUCCAAUCAUCAGUAGCAGGUAUAUUAAGCUUAAAAGUCUCCUGCAAGCAUUCCUUUGCAACCUCAAGGCUUUCAAGAUCGACACCAGAAGCUGGUUCAACUGCCCCAAAGGAAACAACCCAUAAUAGUAAUUAAAAAAGCAUAAUCAACAAGCACAUUAAACUGAUCCAAAAAACAAACAAACAAAUUAAUGGUAUUGAAUCAAAAAGAGAUAUUGAAGAGAGAGGCAGAGAGCUGAACAUGCAGCCUAAAAGAAUGUAAAGUCUACAGCUUUAAGUAUAAAAGUGCAUCAAUACAUGAGGCAUUCAAAAUCCAAAAUAAUCAAACAAUCAAUACAAUUUUCAUAUCACCACAAAAAGAAAACAAAAAACUAUGAAGCAGCUUCAAACCCUAAAUAUAAUUUCACUAUAUAAUCACAUUUAACAAUUACAUAGAGAGAGAGAGAGAGAGAGAGAGAGAGAGAGAGAGAGAGAGACCUGAGUUGAGGAAAUCCAAGAAGGAACGUACGAUGCGACGAGAGAUGGGAGAAUCGGUCUUCAAUGGAGCCAUGGACAGUGGACUAACGAAGAGAGGUAAGAGGAGGAGUGCGCAUGAUAAAAACGUGCGCUACCACGGCGUCUCUUAGUCUGGAAGCGACCUAGCUUGUCUGAGACUUGCGAGAACUCUCACGACUGACUGACACUUUGGGGCUUUGUGGCUACAGGAUCUUUGCUGUUCCUUGGUCCUUGCUGGUGUUUCGUUUAGGUUCUACAUAAUUACUGUGAUUGGCUUUAAAAAUACAAAAUAUAUUUUUUUAAAUCUCGUUUGUUCGUUUCGUCCGAUGUAAAUCCUCCAUUUCGAGCGACAAUGACAUCACAUAAAUAAAAGAUGAAAAUGCUCAACUUUUCUAUUUUUCACAGAUUAAAAUAAAAAAUUUAUUUAUGAUCUAAACAGUGUGUUUGGAUGAGAAAAUUUAGAAGUGCUAAGGAAUUCACAAACGAGUAUAGCUAUUUCUUAAAAAAAUUCAAAUGUGUUUGGCGAAAUUUCUAUCACCAAAGCAGCCCGACUAUAUAAUUAAAAAAAAGGUUGCGCCUAGCACCUUGGUGCUACGUGUUAAAAUAGUAAAGCCAGGUGGUUAUACUAUUUUUUAAAAAAAUUAGGAAAAAAGCUUGCCACUGCACGGCUAUACUAUUUCUUAAAAAAAUUCAAAAAAAACUCUAGUAUAGCCGGGAGGCUAUACUAUUUAUAGACGUGGCACAUAGGCGCUGGGAACAGUAAAGACGAGCGGCUAUACGAUUUUUAAAAAAAAUUAGAAAAAAGAGUAUCGCCGUUCGGCUAUACUCUUUCUUAAAAAACUGAAAAAAUCUGGUAUAGCCGUUCGGCUAUACUAUAUAUACCCCCGCUCAGCGCCACAUGUCAAACAGUACAGCCGUACGGCUACUAUUUUUUAAAACAAUUAGGAAAAACUGAGUAUAGCCGUGCGGCUAUACCCUUUUUUAAAUUCAAUAAUAUGUCAGAUUUAUGUGCAUAAUAUGUGAAUUUUGUGUGUCUUAUUGAAAUUUCACAUAUUAUUGAUUUCAAUAAGACACAAAAUUCACACAUAAUUCUCACAUAUUAUUGAACAAAAAAUAUGUAUAUAUUUUUUUAAAGGGUAUAGCCGCCCGGCUAUACUAAGUUGUUUCCUAAUUGUUUUUUAAAAAAUAGUAUAGCCGGACGGCUAUACUAGUAUUUCUAAAUGUUUUUUAAAAAAUAGUAUAGCCGCCGGCGUUACCUUUUUAACACGUGGCGCGUAGGCGCUGGGCGGGUCUAUGUAUAGUAUAGCAGCCCGGCUAUACUAGGUUUUUUUGAAUUUUUUAAGAAAGGGUAAACAAUAUUAUGAUUAAUUUUGUAUUGAGUUUGAAUCGAUUAUCAUCUGAGCGUAUGGAUGAAACUUAACAUUCAUUCUCAAGUAAUUGAGUUCAAAUCGUUUUAUCAUUUGAUCACUAAGCUCAAUUCUUUAAUAUUACUUACUCCGCCAGUAGAGAAGUAAUUAUAUAGAUUAUUAUCGAAAACUCCUUCAUUGCCUUUUUCCUUUUAUUAAGUGAACAACACGUUGAUGUGGCAUAACAAAAUGACAAUAACAUCACACGGUUUACCUAAAUUGGGAUGAUUUUCUGUGUUUUUGGUGUCUGAUUUUAAGAGAACUUAUAUUUUGUCUUUAUGGAUUUAAAAAAAGUAAAAAAUAUGAGUCAGCAUGCAUGAAAAAAUUUGUACCACCAUGUCAUCCAUGCAUUUAAUCAAAAUACUAUACUAGUACGGGUCUCAUGAUUAAUUAAACCCUAAUGACACAAACCCAACGCUAUGCCAUAAUUAAAAAUCGCAAUAAAAUAUAUGGUAUAGAAAGGAAAUACAUUCAAAUAUAGGCCAUAUUGCAAGCAAAUGAAGCCCCCAUCCGCCCUAUGCAACUAUAUAUACUCAUGCCAUGGCGCCAAUGCUUAACGAUCCAAAGCCAUAAACCAUCAACAUAUACCAUGGGAGAAGUCAACCCGUCAUGCAUCCUUUCAGAAGAACACAGGCCCAAACAUGUCAUCACUGAAGGUGAAGGAAUCCCAUUGAUCGAUCUCUCUCCAAUAACCAACAGGGAAGGGUUAUCAGCUGAUCCUAAUAAGGCAGUGGAAGACCUUGCUGCUAAGAUAGGUGAGGCUUGCAGGACUAUCUUGAAUACACAGAAAAUAUUGUUUACCAUCUCAAGAAUUUAUACUUUAUUGGUCGGUUAUCACUCUAAAGAGACAAGAACUACUAAUUUAUGGCCAACAUGUUUAGGAUUAGUAUUCAUAUGAGUACUGAUAUUCCACUCUAAAGACAAGAAGUACUGAUAUUCCACAUAAUUCAUGACUUCAAACAUUCGACUUGUUUGUGCAGUGGAAUGCCCUAGAAGGUGAUAUUGUUCAUGCGGGUUUCUUCAACAUGUCUUCUUUGAUUGUUUUGGCCCUAUAUGAAAACGACUUGAUUGGUAAUCUUCCAGACAACAUAUGUGAGCAUCUUCCUAGUAUUCAACGGCUGGGUUUGGGUAACAACCAACUUGAUGGUCCACUUCCAUCUAAAUUAUGGCAAUGUAGACAACUUCUAGUACUAAAGUUGAAUAAAAACAAUUUGACUGGAAGCAUAUGUUGGAAGUUUGAAAGCAAAUGUCCCACAUUGGAGAAAACAAAAAAUUCCAUAUGCUUUAUAAGCAUGAAACCUUAACAUCAAUUAAAUGAGGAUUGGUGGGCUGAUGGGCUUGGUAGUGAAGACUUGCUUGAUUAAUAUUAAUAUUUAAAUAAUCAAGACUUGGGCCUUGGGCCUUGGGUCUCUGGAAAAUAAAAUAAUUAUUUUUUAUUUUUCGGAUUUCUUUGGCAGAAGUUAAAUUCAAACCAGAAAGACUUAUCUUUUUGUUUGAAUUUGAACAGGUAUAACGGAUACUAACUGUUAUUUUGAAGGGGUGUAAUUCUAUUAUAAAACCACAAGUCCUAGGCCAUAAGACGGAUCUCUUUUUCUUUAAAACUAUCUCAUAUUAUUUUCAAGUUACCAACUGUAUUGGAGAGAAGCACACCAACGUUCGCCAGAAUUCAAGGAUCCGGUGCUGGACCCUUGAAUUAUAGAUAGUUGAAUCCUGGGAGAUAGACACCUGUUGACCCGCCUAGCACAGCAUAGACCCGCCUAGCGCCUCCCAAAUGAACCACCCUCUUGUUCAGCGCUUUUAAUUAAUGGAUCCUGUCCGAUGACAUAUAUUUCAUGCCGUUUUGUUUUGGUAUAAUUUUAUUUAAAUUUUAAAGACAAUAAUAUAUAGAUGGAAAUUCAAUGCUUCUUACUUGGUGGUGUGGUUGCUGCAAGCCUGCAACUACGGCCUCUUGGGUGCUUUGCUGCUUUGUAAAGAAUAUUUAUUUUUCUUCAGGGACUUGGUUGUUUAGUUGCUAGUUAAUAGGAGAGUCCAAGUUGUCAUGGAGUCAUGGUUAAUGGCUGAAUGUCAUGGUUUAGUCGUGCAUUAGUAGAUCCUAUUAUUUAGCUUAGUUGCUUUGAUAUUUUGCUAUUUAAAUUGUAUUCAGUAUUCAAGUUAAUGGUGAAGAGAAGUUUGAAUUCCACAAAUACGUUCUUGGUUGUUCACUGUUUCCUUAUUUUCAACAUGUGCUUACCCCAUGUCAGGACUCUUUUACUUGGUAUGGUAUCAGAGGAGGCAAGAAACGACUGAUUACAACACCCAGGCCUCCCUUCUAUCUGUUGGUCUCUGUGUGUGUGUAAACAAGCUUGGUUUUUGAGACUUCUGUCUUGAUCGUUGCUUAAGUUAUGGAUAGAACAAAUAAUUCAUGGUUUUCAGUUUCACCAACCCAAUCGAAUGAUUUUUUUUUUUAAUACUUAUUUUUUUAUAAUUUUUUUAAAAAAUAAAAGCAUACAUUACAUCAUAAAAAUUAAAUUAUUUGUCAAACUCUGAAUAUAAGAAAUUGAUUACCCUAAACCCAUGAAUAUAAGAAAUUGAUUACCCUGAACCCAUAUAAUGUUGAUGUUUGGGUUGGGCUACAGACCAGUGCCUUUAGGCCCCGUUUGGUUCACGAAAUGGAUUUGAGGGGAAAUCAAUUCCCAUGUCAUUUCCUAAGGAAUGGGAUGACAUGGGAAUUAAAGAUUCAUUUCUCACGUUUGGUAAUGUCGAGAAAGUAACCGGGAGAUUUCACUUUGUUUUCUUUCCCACAUUUGUUUUAAGUAGGAAUAGAAAACAAAUUUUGUAUAAUUUUCCAAUUAUACCUAUAUUAAAUCAAAUAAAAAAAGAAUGCAUUUAAUGAUACAUUGUAAUUCUAAAUUGUUCAUGGGGACAAAAUAGUCAUGAAAAUUGUGCAUUGAAUGUUGGUUCAUUUUCCCAAACUUUCCCAUGAGGAGAGAAAACAAAACCCAAGUUGAAAGGAGGGCUUCACUUUCUCCCCCUACUUUCUCAUGUGCUAGGCAACCAUUUCCCAAGCCUGGACUUACCAAACAUGGGAAAGUAAUUGAAUUCUCAUCCCAAGCCUCCUUUCCCAUGAACCAAACGGGAUCUUAGUAGUAAACUAGCUCUCAUCCUUUAGUCCGUCUGUUCUAUUAAGUCUAUUUCAGAGUUAUUUACAAUGUUAAUUGAAUUGAAGCCACCGAGUUCUUGCUAGGUCAUCCUUCAAUAUAUUUAUUUUGUGAUCUUUCUCUUUCAUGAGGGAUAUAGUUGAUGCUCUCCAAGAAACAACUAGUAUCAUGGGUGCAAAGCAUUUGAAAGUUUAAUGCUGAUUCUUGCGAAAUAGAUAUAGUUGCCUUGCCUCCUAACCUACCCCAAGUGUGGUGCACAUAAGUUUCGUUUGUUUAAUUGUGCUCUCCAUGUCAGCCGCCACCGCCACUGCUGUUGACAAAUAUGGUGACUACGAUGAUUUCAAAUUUUACACCUUAUUGAAAUGCUCAAACCCAGUUCAAAAUUAUAAUUGGAUUGUAGCCACCGAAUUCUGACGAGGUCUUUUUUAACGGGUUUCUGAUUAUAACAAUGCAAUAUAUUUACAAUCCUAAAGUUGACUAAUUACAUGCCUGACAUAGCUCUAAAUUACAGCAUAUAAAAUAGGAGACUUAGAUGACUAUUCAUCUAAAUUACAGGGACGUGUCAAAAAUAAGUUUUUUUUAUUUAUAUAAAUGUAGUAUAGCCGACAAUUAAGAAAAAAGGACCCUCCUAAUUGCAUUAGUUUGUAUUUUAUACAUAUUAAUUUGCUAGUUUCAACAUAUCCAAGAUAGAUAUUAAUCGUCCACUAUAUAAUAUUGUAAUAUAAUUUUUAUAACAUGUAUUAUUCUUAUUCAAUAGUAUGUGAAAAUUAUUUGUAUAAUAUAUGAAUUUUGUGUGUCUUACUAUAAAUUUUGUAAAAAAUACGUGUAUUAAACGUUAGAAAUACGUAUUGUACAUGUACAAUAUGACUAUUCCACAUUUUAUUUUUUAAAAAUGUGAGACAUGUAUAGAAUACGAAUGUAUUAUUGAAAAAUAUGUACGUAGGUGUAUCAUAGUAAUGGAUAACUACUCUUUUAAUUUAAAUCAUAGAGCCCAAGAGCUCCAAGGCCCAAGGUCCAUCUUUUGAUUAAUUAAAUAUAUUAAUUAACUAUUGACCCAACUAAUUAGGCAUUUAACUAGUGGCCAUACCCACAAGCCACUCAAUUGGGCCACUUGCAUAGCCACUACAAACUAUUUUGUUUCCAAGAGUAAGUCUUAUAAAGACUUUCAAGGAACUCUAAUCUUCCAAUGUGGGAACUCAAACAUGUUUGCAAUGCCUUGCAAAACCUACAAAACUAAAUAUAGGCUGAGAGAUUAUUAACAACUUUUUCGAUUUUUCAUAGUUUCAUCUCCCCUUAAUAUAGGCUCAGAGAUUAUGAACAAGAAGAAGAAAAAGUGUGAACGUUUCCAAAGUUGCAUAUGAAUGAUUUCUGAAUACAUUAUCAUGCACUUUCGGUUCAGGUUCAUCGUCCCAAAUUUAUUCAACUUAAAUGCUGCAGUUUGCUUCCUUUACAGAAAUGUACAAUUGCCAAAUAAUACAGUGGUUCGUGCCAAAUAUAAUAUGUAGCACAAUUGUAUUUUAGCCUUGUGAACUCUGUUUUCUAGUUCAUUUCUAUUCCUUUCAUUUCAUGUGGUCAGAUUCUAUAUCAAACACUCACAUUUAAUUUUUUUAACCCCUGUGAUAUUGUUGCCUAAGCUGAAAACCACAACCCAGCAGAUCCCAUCUUGGUUGAGAGCAUCGCAAGGGACUUCCAAAUACACUCCGAUGCAAGUAAGUAUUUCUCGAGACAUGUUAUUUGAGGGUAUCAAUAAAUUAAAAAGGAAGUUCACUAGAAAAAAUAGAUAAAUGAAAAAGAAAGCAAAACACUUCCACAAAGACACUAUCCUCAGUUGGAUAAAAAUCCACAUAUUAUUUAUUCUUUUUGAUCCGGGGAACCCAGUGUUCAUCAUACUCUAGCUACUGCAAGUUAAACCUUGAAAGAAAACAUUUUCAGUUGGAACUUUGAUGAUUCCCACGGAAGUCAGUCUAAAAGAACAAUUACGAAAUAAGAACCUCAUAAAAGUAGCACACCCUAGAAGUUCUAGGAACAUCAUACAAUUAGUGAUAAUUCUGUAAGUGAUGAAAUUACAGGUUGCAAUUGGCAGGAGCAUGUUGCUGUCUAAGCUUAUCAUGUAAUGCUCAUCCCAAAGUGGGCAGUCACAUGUUGCUUUCUUGUUCUUCCAUUCAGCUCUGCAAGUAUGGCAAAACUGAUGUCCACAUCUACAAAGACAAUGCAGACAUGAGACAAACUACAAGUAGUAAUACAGAGUCAUGAAAAUGUACCAGCGUCCAGAAGAACCUUUUUCUUCUUCUGAUGGCUGAAUGGUAACACAAGAUCGCCAUUCUCACACAAGAAAUCAUAGGUGCUUCACCCAAUCAUCUUGUUUUCAAGCAACACAAACUGUUAAGAUUUCAGAUCCAAACCCUUAUCUCAAAUUUCUUCAAAUUUCUCAUAUUCAAAUCCAAAACCCUAAAUCAAAUUCCUCAUAUUUUUUUUCCCCAAAUCCAAAUCCCUCAAAUCUAAAGUCUUCAAAUCCUCUUAUCCAAAUCCCUAAACACAUACCAUCAAAUCUUAUACACAUACCUCUUAAAUCCAAUUCCUACAUCAAAUUCAUACAUCAAAUUUCUCACAUCACCUUCCUCACCUUCUCAUAUCACAUCUUACUUCCGCUACGAUGUCAAGAACGCAUAUGAUUCUCCAUCUUAUUGCAGGCUCACAGAAGCAUGCGGUCAACCCAGACUCCUUCUUCUAUCCAAAGCUUCUACUCUUCAUACGUCCUCCAAGAUCAAAUAUUGUAUAUGCUGUGAGUGUGGAAGAGUAUUUCAUGACUCACUUACCAAGUUGGGCAUUCGUGACAUAUAUGCACCAACUUGAGAAGGAGUGUUGACGUGAGUCUCCUAAUUAAUCAAGAAAAUUUACUUCCUUGACUAAUUAAGGGAUUUACUUUCUUAUUUUUUAUAUAAGUGAUAAAUCAUUGUACAAUUAGGAGAUACUUUCAUAAUUCUCUACUAUAUCUAAUUCCUUGUCAAACCUUCAUAUGUAAACUCCUAUAUAUACCUCCUUAUGGAGAAGAAUAAAGAACAACAUAAGAUAUUCAAAUCAUAUUCAUAUUUUAGCACAAACUACAACCUAACCAGUGGACUUAGAAAAGAGAGGUCCCCUUCCCCUUCUUUUCUCCGCCACCUCUUGAUUGGGUGCUGGGCAAUAAGGCUAUCAUUUCCUUUCUAGUAUUGGUGACCUUGUGUAAGGUGUGCUUGGGAGAGUUCACCAUGGCGACGGCUGCCUCGUCUAGAAAUGAUUAGCAGAGAACUGUUAGGGAAGAAAGAGAGAGGAGAGAGAAAAAUAUUUUAUUUUUUUUUAUGUCAAAUUUAAUCUUAUCCAUUAAAAGUGGAGUAAUCUAAUGGCUUAAAAAUUGUGUCAAAAUUUAUCUAUAAAAUUAUAUAUAUAUAUAUAUAUCAUAUGAGCUGUCAGCGAGAGAUUAUAUUAACAGAGAGUUUCAAUUUAUUUUAAGGACAUCCUUAUAUGGCCAACCAUGCAUUGCAUUUCAAUUAUCCGAACCGUCUAGUUUAUCAUUUAUACAAAAAAAUACUUGAAUCGAAAACCAUUUGACUACUCAAUUAUAUGGUCAUUAUUAUAGUCUUUUCUUGAAGCACCAUGUUCGUCUUAUUUUGUUGGUCCCAAUUUGAUACCUUAAUGAUUUUCAUUUUGCCUGAGUUUUUGCAAGAAUGAUUUAUGAAUGAAGACUUGAAAAAUAGACGGUUUAGAUCGUUAAAAAAAUUCGCAAGGAACCCUAAAAGGUGUCCCUCAAAUAAAAUUUGAAAGAUCCCUUAAUAGAAUGGGACUUAUUAUAUUAAUAUGUUAUUUUAAGUCUUUUUCCCUAAUCAACCGAUAAAAAAUAGAUUGUUGUUGUAAAGUAUAAAGUAGUGGAGCCCACUUACUAUUUGUUUGUAGACUUUGGUGCAUGAGUUUAUUCACGGGUGAAUAGUGAAUAGUGAAGAUGAUUGGAUAGAAACAUCACGGGUGCCAUUUAUCAUGCCUAUAAAUAGGCAAUCCUUUUGCCUGCAAAGGAAGAUAGAGAAGACAGAAGAGAAAGGGAAACGGAAAGAAAAAGAAGAGGAAAGAAACAAAGAAGAGGAAAGAGAGAAGAGGAAAGAAAGAAGGGAAAGAGAAAAGAGGAAAGAGAGAAAAGGAAAGAGACAAGAGGAAGAGAAGGAAGAAAGAGGAAAGAGAGAGCAGAGAGAAAUUCUCUUAGAGAGAAAAUUCAGUGAGCCACACAUAUUGUAAACACUAAAGUUGUAGCCCUAUUAUUUUACAUAGUGAAAAGUUACUACUGCUGCUUUCCGGGGACGUAGGCAUAGCCGAACCUCGUUAAAUACUGUGUCUCAUCUACUUUACGUGCAGCUCAAUAUUCGCACAUAUUCCAGGUUAUUUUAUAACACGUUAUCAGCACGAGAAGCUCUCAGGUAUAAUUUUUGUGCUGCACUAUUAUUUAUACUACUAACCAUUAUGUUGAUGUAAAGAAGAAAAGUAGUGGAGGAGCUGUGGUCUGCUAGAGAGAUAUACGAGCAAACCAACUGGAAGGAUAAGCUCCCUGCCUCUUACUUUUUCUAUUAUUUUAUUAUUUCUCCACACAAUUUAAUACUCAUACUAACAUCCAAAGCUAGUGAAGUUUGCAAGAGAAAAGAAGAAAAGCCAACAUAAUUUGUCUAGCUUUCAAACUAAUGAAUCAUGUUGUUGAUAAGAUUCCAACGAAGAAAAAAAAAAGGGGGUUUGGAAAAGCUUCCUACAGUAAUUUUCACUUUCUUAUAUUUUUAGUGGUGAUUUUAUUCCCACAUUUAUUUUAUUUAUGGUAUGGUGUAGGUUUAUUACCCAUACGACAAUAUUUAAAGGGUGGUGCGGGUUUAUCGUCCACGCCUUUGCUUAUCUAUUUUAUUUAUGGUAUGGUGUAGGUUUAUUACCCAUACGGCAAUAUUUAAAGGGUGGUGCGGGUUUAUCGUCCACGCCUUUGCUUUUAUUUAAAUGUAUGGAGCAGAAUUAGUGCCCAUACAAGCACGUUUACUUUACCGCACAUUUAAUUUUAUUUAAGGUAUGGUGCGGGAUUAACUUCCAUACAGCAAGCUAUUUAAUUUAUUUAAGGUAUGGUGCGGGAUUAACGCCCAUACAGCAAGCAAUUUAAUUUAUGAAUUUAUUUUACCGCACAUUUACAUUUAUUUAAAGUAUGGUGCGGGUUUAUCGUCCAUACCAGUAAUUUAUUUAUCAGCAAUUUAUUUUAUGGAUUAAUUGUGCUGUAUGAUAAGUUUUUACAGUAUGCAGAUCAGGACCAGAAGUUCCUUGAUCCUCAUCAUACAAUUACAUCAGGACUUGAAGAUCCUUGAUGAUGAUAUUAAUAUGAGAGCUGGCAGUCUCUCCGGUACUGUAUUUGUAAACAUGUGAUAGGACUUAAGGGUCCUUGAUCCCUGACAUGUAAAUAAGGACCUAGAGUUCCUUAAUGAUGUAACAGUACCGUAUUGGUUCAUGGUGCCGUACACAUGGAUGAUAACUGUACUGGCAGAUGAAUAGAUACGUAUUCAUGACUUGAUGAAUAGUACUAUUCACAUGAAUAGUGACGUAUGCAUAUUAACUAUUUUGGGUAAACCGUCACUAUAUACAAAAGGGAACCUGCAGUUCCUUAAACUCAUGGAUGAGCAAUUAAAUGAGAUGCCAGAAGUUCCUCAAAAUAUGGACAAUUAUGUAAGGGUUUGAAGUCCCGAAAUAUGUACAGAAAAUUGUAAAAAUGUCCAUACCAUGAGAAUAUGUGGCUUUGGCCUGAAGUUCAAAAUUUAACAUUGUUGAGAACCUGAAGUUCCAACAAUUAAAUGGACAACCCUUGAGGUAUUAUUGCAAAUUGUGGUAUGCCACAUAUUUCUUUGGCAUAAGAAGAUGAUAAAUUUAAUAAAGUUCGAUUUUGUUAUAAUCGACACCUCAAGGAAGAAAUAUAUUUUGUGAAUUCCGGUUGUUAAGAAUACACCGCGAAAUGGAUAAUAUUAAUAUAAACCUCAAAUAAUGAAUUGAGGCUCCCCACAUGUUUUGUUAUAUCUGGGCCGGAAGCCCAUGGAUCCAAAUAUAUGAGAGAUCCUGAACUUGAAGUUGUGGGUAUAUAGUAGUUAAUGUUCUUCACUACUAUAUUGCGAUAUUAUCAUGACUUUUACUCAAUUCAUAUUUCAUGUCCAUUUGAAAAGGGCAAAUAAAUUCUGAGUUUGUGCCCAGGCCAAAAGUUCCGGGUUACCAUGCGAUAAAAUAUGAAAUUUGGGAGAGACAAUGUGGUUAUUUGAACCUAUAAGGCACAAGGUUCCAAACCGUCAUUUUGAAAAGACGUAAAAACCACAGGUGUAAGUUUAAGAAUGUGUGCAAUAGGAAAGGAGCAUAUAACAGAUAGAUUUUUUCCACCUGCAAUGAAGGUGCAGGCCCUGUAAAAUCUAUAAAAUUACAUUAUGUUCUGGAAGCCUCUGAAGGAAGAGGACGACGCCUCUUAAGCUUAGCCAUGAGCUUCUCGUGGUCUCCCAAAAUUCUUUCAUUGGAGACCUACAACAUGUCUAGCCUUCUCAGUGUAUCAACGGAGUACGAACUCACCAGUUUCAACAAAGAAUUAUUCUCUCCUUUAAGUUUCCCAACCUCCUGUUGAGACUCAUGAAGCAUUCUUUGAAGAGACGAAUUUUCAGUUGUUAGCCUCUCAACCUCGUUUGCUCUGGCACGCAAACGAUCAGCCAUGUUAGAAACAGAAGCAGCACUCUGAAUGCUAAAAGCCAUUGAGUCAUCAAUAGCCUCUUCCUCAGAUCUCCCUGUCAACAACAUUUCAUCCAUUGGAGUAAUGAAAUUCCUAGCUACUAUGACAGCAGUAGCAUCAUUCAUCAUCACAGAAUCAUUAACUGUGAGAUGACGAUUUUGGGAUACAAAGGAUGGACGCCAAACUUGGGCAUCAUUGGUAGUUGUGGGAGCAUCAUUUAAAUUGAAAUAAUUUGGGCAGGAAGAAGAGGAAGCCAUUUUAAGAAGGUUUUGAAGAAAGUCUUACAAAAACUAAAGUUUCAGAAAAUGAAGGAAGUUGAGUUGAACGCAAUUGCUCUAAUCAAGUUUUACAAAGGCAAUAUCUAUAGACGAAAAUGUGGCAACAUUUCCAGGAUCCCAAUAUCUUCUCGAAUCCCCAUAUUAUCUUUUUCUUUCCCAGAGUCCAAAACUUCACGUGGCCUCUAAUAAUGCCUAUCGGCACUUUCGGCGUUUUCAAGUAUUAUUUUCAAAGCCGAUCUUGCUUUACGGAUUUCACGGAGCUACUUUUUCAAAAAUAUCCCGAGAAUCUCGCAAUUUUCCUAUUAAAAAAACUGUUUUAAGUCUUUUUCCGGGAAAUUGUAGACAAUUAAACUAAUCGUGUAUAAAAGUACUACUGAAUUGGAAAUUUGUGAAUGUGAUUGCGAUUGCAGGCUCUUUAGUUUUUAGUCUUGGUCUUGGUUUUUACUUUUCAGUCAAAUAAAACCAAAAUUGUUAAGAAACGGACAAUUAUUGCUACACCAACUUUUUGUUUCUUCUCCCUUUUCUACAUCAUAACCAUUGCCAGGAAAUUUAAGUGGAUCCAUUAAACUAUUUAGCUGACGUAUGUGCUUGCUAUGUAGCACGGUGACCACUAGCAGACCUCGAAAUUUUUUGACUGAAGUGUAAUAUUGACUAAGUAUGAAAAAUGAUUUUUCGGAAAAUUAUUUUCUCAAGAUAAUUUUUGGCGGCUUUUAUUCGUUACACAUCAAAUAAGAAAAUUUGAUUUUAUGGGAUUUUAGUAUGAAGUAUAUAUUGAUUUAAUGAGUCAUCAUUUUUAGCCUAAAUCGUAUUUUGCACUAAAACUGAUUUUUCAUAUUUUGAUUUGGUGAGAAUUUGAUUUUCUAGUAUUUUUAUUUGAAUCCAAGUGGGGGGUACUUCCUUAUUUACAUUGUAAACUUAAGUAAAUGAAGUAAUAUUAAAUGAAAGUAGCUAAAAAGAUAGUUAACAACGUAAUUAAGUUAAGAGAUCUAAUAUCAAAAGGGUAAACAACAUUAUGACUAAUUUUGUAUUGAGUUUGAAUCAAUUAUCAUCUGAGUGUAUGGAUGAAACUUAACAUUAUUCUCAAGUAAUUGAGUUCGAAUCGUAUUAUCAUUUGAUCGUGUUUAGCUCACUAAGCUGAAUUCUUUAAUAUUACUUACUCUACCCUCAGAGAAGUAAUUAUAUAGAUUAUUAUCGAAAACUCCUCCAUCCAUUACCUUUUUCCUUUUAUUAGGUGAACAUGUUAAUGUGGUAUAACAAAAUGACAAUAACAUCACACGGUUUACCACCUAAAUUGGGAUGAUUUUCUGUGUUUUUGGUGUCUGAUUUUAAGAGAGCUUAUAUUUUGUCUUUAUGGAUUUUUUUUUUUUUAAAGUAAAAAAGAUGAGUCAGCAUGCAUGAAAAAAUUUGUACCACCAUGUCAUCCAUGCAUUUAAUCAAAUACUAUACUAGUACGAGUCUCACGAUUAAUUAAACCCUGAUGACACAAACCCAACGCUAUGCCAUAAUUAAAAAUCACAAUAAAAUAUAUGGUAUAGAAAGGAAAUACAUUCAAAUAUAGGGCCACAUUGCAAGCAAAUGAAGCCCCCAUUCCCCCUAUGCAACUAUAUAUACACGUGCCAUGGCACCAAUGCUUAACGAUCCAAAGCUAUAAACCAUCAACAUAUACCAUGGGAGAAGUCAACCCAUCAUACAUCCUUUCAGAAGAACACAGGCCCAAACACGUCAUCACUGAAGGUGAAGGAAUCCCAUUGAUCGAUCUCUCUCCAAUAACCAACAGGGAAGGGUUAUCAGCUGAUCCCAAUAAGGCAGUGGAAGACCUUGCUGCUAAGAUAGGUGAGGCUUGCAGGACUUGGGGGUUCUUCAGUGUGAUCAACCAUGGCGUGCCUUUGGGCAUCCGGAGAAGAAUCAUGGAGGUGGCACGGAAAUUUUUCGCAUUGCCGGUGGAGGAGAAGAAGAAAGUGAGCAGAGAGGACCAUAACACUGCAGGGUUUCAUAACGAUGAGCAUAGCAAAGACUUUAAGGAUUGGAAAGAGGUUUAUGAUUUUUAUGUUAAUGAUGGGAUGCUAAUGCCGGCUUCCCAUGAACUUGAUGACCCUGAAAUUGUUCCGUGGUUCACUCCAUGGCCCGAGAACCUACCCGAGUUCAGGUAAAAGUACACUAACGAUGAUGUAUAAUUCAUAGACAGUCUGACACAGGGACGGAUCCACAGAGGAGCAAGGGUGGUCAAUUGACCCCUGCAACUCCGGAAUCCGCCACUAGAGGAAGAAAAAUUGACCCCUGCAAUGGCUGGAUCUUCGAGGAAAUGCCUCAAAGGGUUGCAGCAACUUCAACUUCAGCGCAGCAAGCAAGCAUUGCACGCAGAGCGCUUCCUUUUUUUCGUCUUUUGAUUCAUGGGGCCCAGCCAUCUGUUCGAGGAAAUGCCUCAAAGGGUUGCAGCAACUUCAACUUCAGCGCAGCAAGCAAGCAUUGCACGCAGAGCGCUUCCUUUUUUUCGUCUUUUGAUUCAUGGAGAAACGACACCGUUUCAUUUAAGUUUUUAAUUUUUUUUUUUUUAUAAACAUAUUAAAAUAAACAGGGGCAACAGCAAGCAAUGGAGCUUGCUACCCGAUAAAGCCCACAAUCCCCAAUACAUUGGACAUUUCAAACGCAAUAUGCUAUUAUGUUUUCAAUUUUUUUUUCUCUUUCCCAAUCUUGCUUUUUCUCUUCUUUUUCAUUUCAGUUUUUUCCUUUUGCUCUUUACUUUGUGUUUACUUUUUAUUUUACAUUUUUUUCCUUUUCAUGUAUUUUUAUUUAUUACAUAAUUUUAGCUCAUUCAAUUUUAUAAUUUAUUUUUGUCUUGCUUUUAUUUUUUUCAAUAUUUUUAAUACAUCGAUGUAGUUGUAACCGAGAUAAAUUACAUCGCCGACUGUCCUGCAAUGUUUAUAAUAUUUCUUAGUAGAUUGAUAGGUUUAAAGUUUGUUACUUUAGGAGUUGAAUCUUUGUGCAUUUUAAUAUAAGGUUUUUGUUUUUGUGGAUUGGUUAAUAUAGUUAAUAAAAAUAUGGUGGAUUGAUUUAAUAUGUGGUUUGUAAUGUUGUUUUCUCAGUGAAUUAUAUAUGAAUGAUAAUUUAUCGUUUUAUUUUUAUGGGAUAAAUAUUGAUGUUUUUCUUGAUUAGUUGUUGAGGUUUUUUUUUUGUUUGUUGCCAAGGAGGUUUAAUUUUGGUUAGUUAUUGUUAGUUUGAAUAAAUUAAGGGUUUUUUUAAUAUAAAAAAAUUUAUGGAUCUACUUUGUAUAGAAAUUUUUUAGCUUUUUGAAAGGAAAAUUUCUGGAUCCAUCCAUAGUUUGACAUGUAAUUGUCACGACAAAAUAUCACAGUUCAUGAUACAUAUAUAAUUCUUGUAUAAAAACUAAUUCAGAUUUUGUGGUUUGUUGAGAUCAGGGAGACAUGCGAAGAAUACGGUCGAGCAUGUGAGAAGCUAUUCUUCAAUUUGUUGGAACUUGUCAGCCUCAGCUUAGGCUUACCCCCGGAGAGGCUGCAUGGGUACUUUGAGAAUCAAGCAAGCUUUGCCCGACUCAAUUACUACCCUCCAUGUCCCAAACCGGAACUUGUUCUUGGCACCGGUGGACACAAGGACCCUAGUGCUCUAACGGUCCUCGCUCAAGAAGAUGUCGAAGGCCUCGACGUGCUUCGAAAAUCAGACGGAGCAUGGGUUCGUGUCAAGCCUGUCCCGGAUUCCUUUGUCAUCAAUGUUGGCGAUGUUCUUCAGGUAUUAUACAAACAAUUACGACUUUGUGUGGAUACGACUAUCUUUUAACUCGGUGGAGACUGGUUGGACCUUUUUGGCAGGUAUGGAGCAAUGACCUUUACGAAAGUGUCGAGCAUCGGGCCGAGGUGAAUGCAGAAACAGAAAGGUAUUCCAUCCCUAUAUUUUUUCACCCUUCUCAUGAUGUAACCAUGAAGCCGUUGGAUGAGUUGGUUGAUGAACAAAGCCCGGCCAAGUACCCCGAAUACAAGGCAGGGAAGUGGCUGAAUUUGAGGAUGUAUAAUAACUACAAGAAACAUGGCUUCUAUAUGCGGAUGACUGACUACAAGGUUGCUGCUUAGUUAUGGAUAUAUGCUCCAAGUGGCCAAAUCUGGGUGUUUCAUGCAUGCGAUCAUCGAAUAAUCAACGGCUAUAUAUAAUGUCACAAUAAAAAGGGCUUCGGCUUUGUAUGAUUUUCAAGUUAUGUCUUGCAAAAUUAAAAUAAAAUGAACUGAGCUUCAAAACUAUUGAGCUCACCAAAUUGAAACCUGAAACAAUAAGGACACUUAUUAGGGGGCAUAAACAUUGUCUAAAUUAUACAUGCAGACGUAUCAUCCUAAUCUGAAUAGAGUCACUAAUCACUAAACGAUUAAAUUAUACGUUCAUUCUCUAACUAUAUACAAUAAAACUCAGAACAACUACUUCGGUUCAAGUUAGGAGAGUCAGUCAGGUUUACGGUUCCAUCGGUUAUUGAGUUCACUGCAUAGAUCUAAAGAAAAAUCUGGCUUUCUGAUUAAAGAAAAGAGCAAACUAACUACUACAAUGACAAAUACGUACAUAAAGAAAACCGGUACGUAACGUAAACAAUGACCCUCAUAAUAUGUGUUCUGAUUAUAUAUAUAUACUUGCCUCUCAAUUAGCAUUAGAAGAACUCAUACUAAUUUCUACAUAAUACAAAAUUUCAUUUGCAAGAGAACUCGUAGAUCAAUAUAUAUAUAUAUAUAUAUAUAUAUAUAUCUAUAUGUGCACACAACCUGUCUGGGGUUGCUCGCUUGUGAAGAAUAUAUACAACAUUGACAUCUAAAGUGAUUACUUACAGAAGGCAAAGGGUGCAAACUCUGGGACGACCUGUUGGAACUUUCUGCCACACUGAAGGCACCAAAGAUUCCUUGGAGUGAUCUGCCUGUUCGACCUCUCAACUUGUCUUAAUUUUAAGUUAGAGAUGUUGCUAGUUUCACGAACUGAAGUGCAAUGACCUAAUUCAAAAUAAAAUACUAUCACAGCUAAUUAAGUUUCUUUUGUCUUCGAGUUCUUCUGGGAACCUGAAAUAAGCAAACAGAAAUUAGUGUUAUACAUAACCAGGGAUAUGUCAAUAAACACACACAUACAGGGGACGAUAUUUUCUUUGGCUGACAGUUUGCUAAGCAAAAUUUGGAAUUUCCAUCUUCGUAGAUGUUUGAUUAAUCGAAGUGUGGGGAAUCAAAUCCAACGCUUGAAUACUGUGCUCUAUAAGCUUUGUUUGGGUAGCAAUGUUUAUUAAAUAUGACGAGAGAAAAGGAAAGUGGUUUAUUUACCAAUAAAAGCAGAGGAACACUUAUUCGAAGAAUUAUGGAAGCCAUUUAAAUGAAGAUUAUAGCUUGUAAGAGUUUCAAAAAUAGGGGAAGAAAAUACGAUUCUUUAUAGGGGAUAAGAAAAAUUCAAACAUAAUUCACUUGGAAUUUAUUGUACCAAAACAUUAUAAAGAAAAAAAGUACGAUUUUAACAUUUAUCACAAAAAAUCAGACUUGGGAGUUAUAUUAUCUAAACAGACAACGUUAGCUCCUAGGAAAUUAUUCCACUUGGUUCCUUAAAAUAUAAGAGCAAAGUGAAAUAAUAAGAAGGAAAAAAUAUUGCAAGCCUUACAGCAGCCUCAUUCAUAUCAGUAAUUUCUGAUGCUGAGGUGUCCACAGAGGCUUUCCUCCCCACCUUUUGUUUCUGCUGCAUCCAAAACUACAGAGUUAGCCACAAGAUCAUUGGAACAGUGCAAAGAAUUCAGGGUGCAACUUUCAGACUUCACAAGCAAACACUGCACACCCAAAAAGGCACAACAACUUUCAUGCUAGUUUAAUGUUGUCAAAUUGUGUUUAUACUCCUGGGUGGUUCCAGGCUUCAAGCAUGCACUGAAAAUUUUAAUGAAUGCUGAGUCAAUUAAAUAUAAAAACUUUUUAUGAAUGAUCAGUUUAUGACUAAAACUGAAUUACAUGGAGGUGAAAUUGAAAUUUUUUAUCGAAGUCCACUUAAGCUUUCAACAGUACAACCAGUUUUUUUUUUUUUUUUUUUUAAAUUUAAAAAAGUUUGUAAAUGUUAAACUGAAGUUCACAUUUGCAAGCUAAUAAGCAUUAUUUCACCCUUACCUUUUCCUCCAGUGAGUCAUCACUUAUAGUUUCCCAGCUCUCACUUGCCAAGCAUACCAAUUGAACAUCCCCACUACUAUCACACGUGAUCUGCCAAUAGGAUGGGAAAUUAAGCACGAUGAAAAAGUGACAAUGGAUGUGCAAUACUCACAUGCCAAAAAUAAUAGUAACAGGUUAGGAAGGAUGUAUUUUAUUCUCUAAAAAAAUUCCACGUAGUUGCUGAACUACAGAAAUUGUUAUUUUUGAAACUAGUCAUAUUUAUUCACCUUGUGUGUGUUGUUUUGAGAAUUAUAACCAUCCACUGUACCUGAAUAAAAACUGGAAAAGAAAAAUCAAAUACUGUUAUAAAGAAGGGCUACAACAAUGUUGAAAAAUCAUCUCUUUCAUUGGAAAAAUGCUCACCAUUUAUCUACUGGAGACAAAAAUUUGAUCCGUUGCCCAACCAAUGCCUCGGCCUUUUUACUAAUUUCCUACAAAAUUCAUACAGAAGUGUUAAAUAUGAAAUACAAUUUCAAGUGCAUUGAACGGGAGAGCUUAUUCUUACUUUCAGGCUGCAAGGGCCCUUCAGCUUCGCCCUGGGGUGAUUGGAAUGCUCCACAUCAAUGGUAUUGCUUUUGAAAUUCUGGAUUGAGACAUUUGAUCCACCUAGAGAAGAUAUUGUAGCUACAGAAUCACAAGAUGAAAGUAUUUCUUUUUCCAGACUAGUUUCAGAUUUUUUAGAUACACCACUUGGGUAAUCGUUAUUAGAACAAUCAUGGAAUGCAACUGAUCCAGGAGCACUUGGAGAGAGAGCUCGUUUUCUCCUACGUCCUCCUGUACUGUUGCCUUCUUUCUCAGGUUUUUGGGCUUCAGCUCUCCCAUCUUUGGACAAAUUAACUAUCUUGCAAGAUGCUAAGAUAAGUUUGUUGUCUUUGACAACAUCAGCUUGUGUUCUAUCCUCUUGACACUUACGCCCGCGUUUAGGAAGUGUACUAGCAGGCUGGAAGGUAAACAAAGAUUUUCCGUCGAGACAAAAAUAUAAAGAAAAAUUUAGACAAUCCUGGGGCCACAUAAAUUUCAACAGUAAAUGAACAGUACAGAUACAUACCAAAGAGAUAUUAGAUUUAAAUAUCUGAAUUACUCUUUUGACAAAGUGCUCGUCAAAACAUGACUGAGUAAGGCAUCUUGAAUUAGACUGCAGACAACAAAUAAUAAAAAUGUAAAAAGAUGUGGAACAUUUAAAUAGAACAUUAAAUUUUCUUUCAGCCAAAAGAUAGAGAAAAUAAUUUUGAAAUUUUCUUCCAAAACAGCUCACACUUUUAUUAGCAAUACUCACUUUGUAUAAGGAUGAUGGUAACAAAAUUUGCCCAGGAGCAUGUGAUGCGGAGAGGCCAUUAUGAUUUGUUAAUGUCACAAAAGAGUGUCCAAUGUCUGCUAGAACGUGCAGCUUCUGCAUUGUAAGAAAAACCUCCUUUCCAUAAACAUAAAAUGUAAACAUAAAGUGAAAGAGGGGGAAAGCUAUUCUCUGAGGGAAAAUUCUUACAGGAGUUCUUUCAACAUCUAUAACAUCCUCAGAUCUCUUAAUUGCACGGAAAAUGCAGAUCAAAUACAAGACAGAAUCCUUGACAUUAUCCAGGGCACCAUCAGCAUUACUAGCAUUUAUUAAAGCCUGUAGUAAAACAAACAAUGGACUGCAAAGAGACAUAAUCCAAAGUGUCACCAUAACUCAUUCAUAUCCAGUACUAGGAAAUCUGCAAUGUGAUUAAGUCAAAUGGAUCUUCAUACCUGCAAAACCGAGCAUAUGUUUCUUCAUCUAGAGAGUCCAUAGGUGGGAAGCUUGUAUCAUGAGCAAGAAGAUGGAUCAAGAAUACCACUAUGUAUGCUGGAAAAUCAGUGAUUAAUCCUUCUUGCACUCCAGAGAUUUGAUGCAGUUGAGCUUCUCUACUGUAAUCCUUGACAAACUCUGCCAUAUAUUUUAACGACUAAAUUGAAUGGUAUUAGCAAACAUUACUUGAUAUAAGUCUACAUAAAUAAUUGCAUAGAUAAAUCAUAUUUAGCAUACAUCAUCUUGCAGAUCCUUGAGGCAAUCUGAGGUGGCCAUUGCAAAAGCACAUGCAUAUCUGCUAGGUAUAGCAUGCUCCUUCAGUAAUUUGUGUGCUUUAUCAAGAAAUAAUCUUCUAACCAAAGGAGAGUCAUCCUGGAAUGUGUCAUGAGAAAACAACUGUCCAUAAAAACAUAAUUACAUGGAAAUUCACUUCAAGAGUGAUAAUGAAAUCAAAUUUGAAGAAACUGAAGAAUAUACACACAGUAAAGGAUGCAAGUCAACUCAACUAAACUAAGCCUUAAUUGGUGAAUAAUAUCAGAUGCAUGUGUAAGAAAUAAUGCAGGAUUACUGAUACCAUCUAGGGACAUUAUUUUAUUCUUUAUUUAAGUGCAUUUAUUUGAACAUUUUUCAAUCAAUCUAUGAAUGAGACCACUCACUGGACAAGGUAAUAAUACUAAGUUAGAGCUACAAACACAUGUAAAGCUAUAAAACCAUCAUGAACCUCCACAAAACUAAAAACUCAUCAGGACUUUGUUUCCAUUGCUUUUAUAGGAAACCGAGAAUUUAUAUAUAUAUAUAUAUAUAUAUAUAGAGAGAGAGAGAGAGAGAGAGAGAGAGAGAUUCUCCAAUACGUAUUUUAUGUUUAAGGAUUGGNNNNNNNNNNNNNNNNNNNNNNNNNNNNNNNNNNNNNNNNNNNNNNNNNNNNNNNNNNNNNNNNNNNNNNNNNNNNNNNNNNNNNNNNNNNNNNNNNNNNUCUUGAGAGAGAUCUCAUAUGUCUAGCGCUAUCUAGUGGUCUCAGCUAUAGCAUAGAAGGAGUCGUCGGAGCAGAAAUCGUCUCAUGCUAACCUGUGUGCUUGUGAGUUGUAGAUGGAUAGAGACACGAACAUACUUUCUCUCCGUUUCUUGAUUUUAUCUUUAUGUUGCAAAAUAAAUGCCCCCACGAGAUCUCUCUCUCAGGCUGGCUCUCUCUCUCUGACCCUUCCUUUCACUCCUUCUCUCUGUAUCUCUAUAUAUAUAUAUAUAUAUAUAUAUAUAUAUAUAUAUAUAUAUAAAGGAAACAAGAGAAGUUGGGGGAAGAAGUCCAUCAGAGUGAAACCUAGAACAAAAUUGUCUUCUCAAAAGGAAAUGGUAUUCCCAUUCCCAAUUACAAACUUUGAUAAGGCAGAGAACAAAUAGCCAUGAAAAUACAUAUUUUUUAGGCCAACGCUAGGAAACACAAAGCAGAACCGAACAGACAUACCUUUGCCAUUGAAAUUGUAAAGUGAAAGAUCUCUGGAGAAAUAUGGAAAUCCCAUCUUCGAGAAAGCCGAAGAACAGACUUUGCAGCAGCUAAUCUAAUACAAGCUUUAUCAUUUUCACUGCAUUAGACAAUAAAGUAAAACCAAUUGAGUGGUAUCCAAAGAUACUUUUCACAAGCAAGUCAAAAGUAAAACAUAAUUCAAUGAAGAUAAAGAUUUUAAAAGCACUGCAAAUUGUAGCCUCUUUACACGUGUGUAUCCCUUGCCUCAAUACUGCCAGAGUCACAGUAAAAGCCCAAACAGCCAGUUGAGAAUUUCCCCCGAGUGUGAAUCAAAAAAUUUCUUCAAAGUUUCUAAAGCAUCCCUCUUCCCGAACUAACAUAAGUAUGGGAAAAGAAAUUGUAACAAUAAACGUAAAUCACUCAUGCUUCCAAAAACAAAAUAUCAGCUUUUUAGUUGUUUUAUUCGAGCACCACAUUGAUGCUGGACAAAAGCCAAGACAUCUAGUAUAAGAUAGAAGACACAAAAAAAGCCUCAUCACAAAAACAGACAUACAAAAUAAUUAAAUCAUAAAGCUUUAGUCAACAAUUUAGUCAUUUUAUUUUCAUCUUCAUUUUCACUUUCACUUGAGCCGACUGGAAUGAAGAAUUAGUCCCACAUGAAAUUUAAAAUAUGAACUCUUCCAGUGUUAAUUUUUCAUUUGAUGAAGGAGUCUGAAAUCAUACCAUGAGGUGAUACCCUCUGCAGUUUCACCCUUUUGCAGCAUUGUUGACAAAAUGUCCCAGAGUACAUUAAUUUGCCGUUUGAUCUGAGUUCCCCGAUGUGGCAAGAAGCUCUUGACAAGUGCUUUCAGGCCAUAUAUCUGUAAAAUAAGUGAUUAAGCCAUAGAAAUCAUGGAGACAUCUAUAAGAAAGGAAUGAUUUGAACACAGUUAAACUCAAACAUAUAUAAUCACCAGCAGUGAUUUUGGACCCUUAGUGGGUUGAUCCUUGCUUUGACACAGAGUCAAGCACUUUCUUUCAUAUGGGCCCUAACAACUAUUAAUUUGUUCCUUAACCUAAAUUAAGCAUUCAGGCCACGAAUCAGAACUCCUGCGAACUAUACCAGUGCAAAAGCAUUUAAAAGUUCAAACAAAAAACAAAACAAGCAUCCAUUGAGUCAACCAAUUCAUUUCAGUAACCAAAAGUUGUAUGACAUACUUGCUUCUGCUCCAAGUUAUAGUAACAUUUCUCACCAAAAAUUUAAAUUAAUUAAUUUUAUAGGAAAAAAAAGGACAGAAAUUUUACACGUGCAAAGCAACUCAAUGAACCACUAAAUUGUCAACCUUAUCUCAUAAAAUCCCACUCACAGCUCAACUCGACUCAAGUUUUUGCUUAUACAAAAAGCCAUGAGAAGAAAAUACUUUAUAGCCUUCAUUACUACAAAAGUUGUUCUCUCACAGUUAUUCUUUUAUGCAUUAUAACACUCCCAUUAAUUCAACCUUUUUUUAAAUAACAGAGUACAUUGGCAGGAAUCAAGAAGGUACAAUCAGGUAAAAUUCCUGGGCACUAGACAUCAAACCCAAACUUUAAUGGUAGACACCAUUAACAGCCGAACCAAAAACUAAUACACUCAGUGAAACUAUUUGUAUUCAGAACCCACCUUUAAUUUACAAGAAUCACUACAUCCGGACACAUCAUUGAAUGAGUCCACAAAAUCUGAAGAGCCCACCUACACAAAAAGUUUACAAAUUUUAGUAAUAAAACCUACUACAUUCUGGCAUGCAACAAAGUUCAAAUUGAGUGAGUUCAUAUCUAUCUCACAGCAGAUGUCAAUUACUUGGAAAAUUUUCUGGUAUAUACAAGGAGUGAUCUCUCCAUCUUGGCUUUCGAAUGUUGAAACAGAAUACUGUGCAAGACACCCCAAGGACUGUAACACUGUUGGUAUGUUCUGCCCACCAACUAAAGAAUCCACCAGUUCCUAGACAUGACAAACAUAAAUUGAUUCACUACGGGUUAAUAGGAAACUUCCACGAGAAAGCUCAAGAAUUAUUUAUGUAUGCCUGCAAGUCAUGACUUUCAAAGGGAUCCAACUGGGGGAAACAGUACCACUAGGGCAAGCAUAAAUUCAUACGGCAUGGAACAGGAAUUUUGGAGCAUAGGGACCCAAACGAAGUUUAAGCCAAGCUAACGCUUGAUUUAAUUUCAAUUCUAAUUUUUUAUAUCUAUAUUAAUGUUCUUUUUGUUGACAUUUGAUUCCUUGACCCAUAAUACAUAUGAUCCUUAACCAUUUAAGAAAAAAAAAAUUAAGUAGCAUGAAAAAUAAUCAACAUAAGUACAUCCAUGUAUACAGAUCCACACAUGGAUAUAACAAAUGGUGGCCAAUACAGCUAAGAACUUAUUAGGAGGCAAAUAAAAACCAAAAUUGUAUGUGAUUAUGAAAAUAUUAAUUGACUGUAUGUACAGCACAUAGUUUAUGUGAGGCUGAAAGAUAUAUAACAAUAAAUAAUGAAAAUAGAAAUUCUAAACUCCAAAACUCAAGCUAAGCGUACCUUGCAUAGACUUGAGAAAAUGAAUUGCUUUGAAGUAUCAACUAAUGCAGCAACCGCUGAAACAGCAUAUUUUGACUGAACGCGGUUCCCCUCCAGACAAACCCUCUUCAGAAAGGGGUAGAUUUCACUACAAAGAAGAAGAAGUUGAAGCCACUAUGAGAGUACAUUCGGAAAAACUAGGUUUAGGAUUGCAAAAUUCUUCAUAUUGAACAAAAGGGAGGAGCUUUAAAGAUGAAGUCCCUAAAAUACAUCCAUAAGAGAGAAAAUAUGACUUGGAAAGAAGUAAACUAGCAGUACUGUUAACCAUCAACAUCAGUUGUUUGAUCAUUAAGUAUAUGGACCACAAUCAAAUAGUUUAUCUUAAUCUACUAAUGUAUCUAUUCAUAAAAGUUACUUGCUUCCAAUUUUCAAGAUAAACCUACUAACGAUCGAGAUGAAAAACAUCUAUUUAUAUAUUACAAUUAACUAUUGCAAAAGGAAUAUAACAGGGGUUGGAAGCUCAAAUACCAUAGCAUGCAUAUGAAAGCUUGGCAUAUUUUAGCAAUUUAACCAGUUACUGCUGUCAAAUGUGUAAGGAAUAGUUAAGCACACCCAGCAGAACAUUUACAAACUUUAUUUUUGGAUUCCACCAUAUGUUAGAGAAUACAAAUCCUUCAACUGAACAUGGCAAGUACUUAGCUCGUUUAUAUACUUAAUCAAUUGUGUCCACCAUGCACAAGCUCUUUCUAAUAUUUAUUUCACAAAAAACAAUUCUGACAAAGAAGAAGCAUACCAAAUUAACAUAAGAAAAACAGAUAAAUGGGAGACCCUACACAAUGUCUCCAUUGGAACAUGAAACUCCACCCUGCUCAAAAUGUACAAGAAUCAGGACUGCAGAAAUUACCUGAGUUUGACAGAUAUGUGAGUGCCUGCUUUGGCUAACACUUCAAUCAACUUCUCAUUAAUUGGGUCGCUCUCCUCUAAUAACAUCCGAAAUUGGCUUUCUGAACCUCUCAGCAAGACAGGGAAAAAGCUGGUAAUUGCCUGAACCAGGUAAAAAAUGAAAGCAACUUCCAAUAAAAAAAAGUGAUAAUUACCAAUUAUGCUUCUUUGCAAUAAUGCAAGACAAAUUCAAAUGGCGAAGGGACAAAACUUCUCCCCCUAGAUACUGAGAUAGUAGUUGGUCAUGCAUCUAAAUUUGAAUUAAUCCUUCCACACUCCUCUCUUUAUUAUAAAACAUAGGAAGGAGGAUAAAAUCAUUAGAAAGCUAAAUUUUACUUAUGUAUACAAAAAAUUUAAACGAUAUCCCAUCCUCUUAAGGAAACUAACACAUUCUCUCAAGCUUUUCCCAUCAGGGCAAUACAAGAAGCCAAUUUAGGUCAAUAUAGUGACAGAGACCAACAGCCAACCAUACAACCAAACCACAGCCUUAAGUGAACUGAAACUCAUUCUAACACCUGGCACUCUUAAAUCAUAAAAUUCAGGCCUUGAGAUUCGUCCAAGCCAGAAUUAAAUGCUAACUGUGCUUGCCAACAUUGUUUCUUGGUAAACACAGUCAACAACAACAACACCACCGAUAAUUUAUGGCCAUUGGUCAAGUUCAAACUAUGAUUGUGUUUUUGAGCUCAGCCAAUUAUAAGUGUCAAGAGAAGCACAUAAACCCCUCCUGGUCAUUUCCUUGAAUGGUUGACUUUGUCUUUUUGAGCACACAAAGUCAAUCUAACUUAAAUGUUCACUUUCAAAAGUUAUGCUCUUCUGCUGAGGAAAAUUACUAUUCAUAUUCACCUGGCAAACGAUUUUCUUACCAGAAGAAGUCUGAUGGAAGCAGCCUCCAAAUGCUUGUUUACAGGACUCUUACUGGAAACAUCAUAUAGAAUACAUCGAACAUGCUCUGAGCUGAAUAUAUUAUAAGAGCAUUUUGAAGAGAGUGUUCGUAAGAACUCAAAAUUUUGAUGUUUCUCCCCAAUCAUAUUUAGGAAUGUGUCCUGAAAUAAGACAACAAAUAAAUGGAUAAUACAAUUUCUUAACGAAGAGAAAAACAAAAACAAAAAAGUAAAAAUAUUAUAAUUUUGUUACUAUCAGGUUUCUAAAUCAUAAAGAAGAAGAACACCAAUGAAAAAGGAAGAACAUUGUUUGACACCAUCUCAUUAGUAACCAAAUUGAAAUCCAAGUUUGUCCCACCACAAUAUAAAACAAUUCCCAUCAAAAUUUCAAGGAAUCAAAUUAAAGAAACAAAGCCAGUUUAAGCACACAAAAAGCUGAUCUCCCUUGACCUAAGUUUUUUCAACCCAGAACUUCUCAUGGGCUUAACCACCUAAGCCUUUUAACAUCCAUUCAAAUGCUUCAGCUGAACCCUAGGGACAUGUGGGACCUCACUGCUGAAAGCUUAAUUAAUGGACCCAGGACUUUAAAAGAAGAGAGAGGAGGGACAGAGAGGGGCUGGGAUGAGAGACCAUAUACUUGGUUUUAAAAAUAAAUUUAAAAAAUUCUUUGAAAUGGGGUGGCCUGUAGCCACCACCACUUGGGUCUGUAGCUGCCUCUUGCACAGACAAUUAUGAGUGGAAAUUCUCUUAUCAUGGAUAAACAAGUGGUCUUCACAUAAUUUAGGGUAUGACCAGAGAAUUUGAGAAUGUGUUUCUGGGUUUCCAGAAAAGCUUUGGAUGACUCCCCCAUACUACCAUAGUUGCAUGAUUAAACUAAACCCCAUUAAGCCUUUAUCUCAGAACAUGAUUUUUCUAUGUAAAUCAAGUUCUGCCUCUCACAAUAUUGCUUCAUCUGUUAAAGUUUCACAUAAGCUAAAAAUUGAACCAUAUUAGUGAAGCGCUGUGCAAAGAAACACACACACGCGCACUCACACACAAACAUACAUGUGUGUUCCCAUUAUCAUCUACUCAAACUUUUCCACAACUUUAUUUUGGUAAAAGUUGACAAGUUUUUUGGUAAAAAAAUUUAACACAAGGAACAGCUGAGAGUUGAAUGACUAUUAUUCUCGUUCAAUAUAAUACCACAAUAAUAUCUAAUGGCAACAUCUGAUAACCUCAAUGCACACUGAAGAUGAUGCAGAAGUGGUUAAAAGAGGAACAAGGGCAUCCAAGGGAUAAUUUAAUUAAAAUUAAGGGUAAAUAUACGCACUCUGCUGGUCCGGGCAUCUGUAAAUUGUAGUUCAUCCAAUAACAGCGCCAGCGAAUUAAAAAUGUUAUUAUCUUUCAUUUGGUUCAAUUUGUGAAAGCACUCUUCCGCUUUGGAAGGGUCUGCAAAGGAGACUGCCAUUUUCGAGAAUGAAACUUUAUAUCUCUUCUGCAUCUCUUCUGAAUUAUUACCCUGCAACAUAAAGACAACUGUUUCAAUUAUUCAAAACAAUUAAAAGAUAGUGCACAAUGCAUUCACAAGCUAUAUAUCAGCCCUACUGAGCAAGUGCGAUUUUCAAUUAUUGUACCUUCUCUUUCUUUCGUAUGGCUAAAUAAGUUCGCAUCUCACUUUGCAACCUAUAAAACAUUUGCACCUAGUAAAGAAACAGGAUAAUCGCCUCAACCUUAGCAAGAGCAAGUUAGUGAUAAUACCGUUGUUUCUGCGAUAAAAUUGAGUUCAAAGCCUUUAUGUGAAGAGGGGUGAAAAGAGAAAACAAAUGGAUCCAGUGCCGUGUACGUUCCUCAACUGAAAGAACAGCUGGAAAUAAAUCUUCUGCAAGAACAAGCUCCAUAUUCUGGGACCUGAGGUAAAACAAUAAUGAUAAUGAAUGAUAAUAGUUAAAUACAACAUUGUAAAGCAUUGAUUUGGGUUUAAAAAAGCUAUAACAUGUGAACAAACUAACCUGAACUCCAUACAAUCUUUAUCAAAGCAGAGCAUCAAGACUUUACAUGGAAUCUGUUCAAAGUGAUCACUUAUUGUCAUGUAGCCUUCAGAACAUUUGUUACAGUAAUCUCGAUAUACUUCCAUCAUCUUCUGCAGCGCCUUCUUCCUAACAGGUAUCUGCAAAUAAUGCAAGCAAUUACAAAUACAAGACAGUAACUGUAACUUAGCAAAAUGAAACUAUUUGUUGUUGAAAUACCUUCUUGUCCCGAAGUCUUUCAGUGGUUUGAGAUAUUAGUUUUGGAGGAAAACAUCUCAUAUUAUACAUGGCAAGAUCGCAGGCAACAAUCACUGCCUGUGUUCUCACUCUAUCAUCAAAAUCUAGUAGUCGACCUUCAAGAGAAGCUGCUUACAUAACAAAGAGUAUAAAUAAGGUUCCAAGAACUCAGAACUCAUACAGGAAAACAUAUAUGUUCCACAACUUACAGAGAACUUCUUGUGAUUCUACUCCAGAGGGAUUGGUCAUGUAGCAGACUUUAGCACAUUGUAGGGCACUAACUCUAACUUCCACAGAUUUAUCAGAGAAUCUUUUCAAAAACUCUAUGAAGAGGUCCUGAUACCUUUGGGCAAUAUGGUGAUCAGGAAGUGUAAAGAGUUUCCCAAUUAAAUUAACAGCUUUUAGUCGGACAUCAACCUGAUCAGUCUGCAGAAAUAAUCAGAGUCAAGUGGUAUUUAAGGAUCCCUCUCCAAGUGCAGUAAGCCAGGAGCACAAGAGAACUAUUUGAAGAGAGAAAGGAAAAAAAAAAAAGCCUAUGCCAAGAGAUGAUUUUUUUUUUUUUUAAUUUAAAUGAACUUAGCCGAGAAGACAUACCAGUAAUUCUUGAGUUAAAUUUGGGAUGACAGCAAGAAGCAUCUGAGGAGCACACUUAAAAAUCUUAAAAAUGAUUUCAUGGUAAAAUUCCUUGAGCUCACUUCCUACAGCAUCUCUAUCUAAAAUACAAGAUGUUAGAAACCCACAAACAAAGGACUCAAGUUUGUCUGCGCAAGUUUGAAUCACAGAAACUGCAAGUUGAGAAGAAGCAGAGUCUGCAUCCUGUAAAACAUAACAUAGGACUAAUUUAUCAUACACAAGAAUGUUUCUAGAAUCAAUUUGAAGCAUACACUCUCUAACACUCACCCUUCCCUCCUUCACAAGAUUCUGGAGAACCACGUCCAAAAGUGGCUGAGAAGCUUCCUCGUUAAGUAUAUGAACCAUUACAGACAAAACAUCAUUGAUCAAAGUCUGUUGAUGAUGUACCCUACAGGGAAAAAUUAAAAGCCAUUAUGGUUGAUGCCAUCAAAGUUAAGCCCAAACUUACAUAAAUUAAAACAUAACAAAUUGGGCUUAAUAAAUUUCAUGGACACUCAAAUUUCAGAUACUUAUAACUUGGUAAAACCUGUUCUAAGUUCUAACCAUCUAAGUUGCACGGCAAGCAUGCAGUUAUAAAUUUCUUUUUAUUCCAUGGAAGUGGAUAUCUAGUCGUACAAUGUAACAUGAUAAGCGUUGAUUCCUUCACAAUUAUCAAUUAAGAAUAGCCCAAAACAUCAAAAUGCACUAUAGGGUUAAUUGGAAAAUUAAAAGUGAAAAGUAAAGAAGUAGCAAGAAAAAGUCAUAUACUAGAAAUGCAGAUAAAGGAUUGUAACCUCGCAACAGAGAAGAAAAUAUUGAACAUCUCGAGAACUAGAUCACUGCAGUCAAUAUCCAACAUGAUCACACAACAUUUACAUCGUGCAACAGUCUCUACUAUCUUAGCCCUCCUUGAAAAUAGUGGGCUCGCGGUAUCAGCUAGCUCCGUGAACGUGCUGAGAAUGAGUUUAAAAACGUCCUGAACGAAAUAAGUGUAAAACAACUUGCAAUGGUGAGUACAAAGCAAAAUCUGACAUGGGCAGACAGCAGAUAUACGCAGAGAACUUUACCCUGAGAUACUUGUCCACGAAAGGCGGUUCAGGUGCCAUAACUCGAAACAUUUCAGUGACGCAGAUGGCCACCAGAAGCCUGACAUCUUUAUCUCUAUGCUGAAGCAAGCCAUGAACAAUAGCUUCGGUCAAGGGCUUCAACUUCUUAAGAGCUUCUGGUGAAGAAGCCUGUUCUAACUGUGACAAAGAACUGGCAGCUUGCUGUAAACCGAAGCAUACAAAACAAGCAAAACCAAAUGAUCAAUCGCAAUUGCUAUGCCAACGAAUAAUAAACAAUUCAAACACAAACCCACGCAAAUAAACAGAGCUACAUGAUCAAUUUUCAUUUCUAUGUAAAGUAAAAUGGCUUACUCGGAGCGAUUUGACAAUGAAAUCCUUGUUUGGGCGAGCUUGACGGCGGAGAUUGGUGCCGAUUUCAGAAACGAGUUGCAGCGCGGACUGGUCCAUCGACUCAGUGAAUCGGCGAAAAACCCUAAUGAUUCAGUGGAGGAGGUUGAGGGUUUUGGCGGUUAUGCAAUGCACGGGCAUUUGCUCGAAGACGAAAACUGUGAUCUCAAGUCUAGAGAGGGAGAGAGAGAGCUAACAAGAAGGUGAGACUUGAGAGAGUGGAGUGGGCAUAAAGUGGGGAGGCUCCCGCCCUUGGUGCGCGUGAAACAAACGCGCCUAACCUGCAAGUGAUACGGGAGUUCGGGGUAUUUACCGCCCAAAUGAAAAUUGGUGGGCUUUGGGUUCUAUGUCUACCCACCUCGUUCUAUUUUAAACGGGCUAUGGGGUUCUAUAUACACCCACCUAGUCUCUCAGCCUACUGCCUACCCUUGGAUAAAAGAUAAAUUUUCAUCGAAAUCUCUCAGCCUACCCCCAAAUCCCUCGUCUUCCCCCCCGCCCCCACCCCAAACCCCCUUUCAUACACCACCUGUUCUUCGAUCGCGCCAUCGGUCUUUUACUCUCUCUAGUCUUCACUCCACUUGUAGAAGCCUUUUCUUCUUCUCCAAUCCACCCAUUCGGCUGACACAGGGUCGUUACUUCUUCCAUUUUUCUUUUCUUCUUCUUCUUCUUCUAUUUAUUCUCUUCCUCUGUUUUCUAAUCUUCAGCUUUUCUUAUUCUUCUCCCCAGCUCUCUCUCACUCUUGUCUCUCCACCAGAGCACCAGAGACUCAGCAACCCAGGUAAUCUUUUGUUUUUGAAUUUCUGGAUUGUUUUUCCUCAUAAACUGGAAGACGGGUAUUGAAGAAAUCACAUUUGGGGUUUAAGUUUAAUUUAUGUUCUCAAUUACAAUUAUCCACAUGGGCUUGUAUUGAGUAUUUGUGAUUGAGAAAUAGUGUUACUCUAAUAAUUACAUUUUUAUCUCUAAAUUCUGGUUCAUAUGUUUUUGUGUGUGGUUCAUAUGUUUUUGUGUUGUGCAGUUGAGCAUGAUUGCAGAUAUUGGUAUUUAAUUUGCGUUCAAGUAUAUUUAGAGUUGUUAUAUAUGUGCAUGUUCUGAUCAUGUUGCUUGGUGUAAAUUUUUGUGUCUCUCACUAACAAUCUCACGGAUUAGGCAGUUACUUGCUGUAAAAAUGGUUGCAUAAGAAGAAUGGAGCAUCAAGUCAUCAGUCAGGGGUCUUCAGAUGAGGUUUGAUGUCUUUUUCUUUAUAUGAUUGUAAAGAGAUCAAAUGAAAUUUCUUGGUUAUUUGUUCAAUAGUCAACGACUAACCAUUGUUUAUGCUUAUGCCUAUUGUUUCACUAGGAAGACACUUCUACUGGGGGCAGUGGUGCUGGUACAGAAUGUGUGUUGGACUACACUAAUGAAUUCACAACUGAUGAGGUUUGUGCAAAUUUAAAUGUUGGCUUGUGACUAAGUGACUUAUGACUGUCCAAGUUGGACAAGAGAUAAUAUUUAUGUUUUUUGUGUGUAGAUAUUUAAGAGUAGAGAUGCAUUGGUUGAGUGGACUCGUGAUCGAGGAAAUAGCAACGGUUUGGUGAUUAUUAUCAAGAACUCGGAUGCAGGAGGAGCUGGUAAUAAGAAACCCCGAAUAAAAUUCUGUUGUGAAAAGGGUGGUGUUUAUAAAAGGAAGAUUGAUGAAAAUGUCCAUAAGAAAAGGCGUCUUAGGAGCAGUGGUACAAAAAAGUGUGGAUGUCCAUUUCUAUUAAGGGGUGUGAGCUUGGGUGAUAAUGAUGAGUGGAAAUUGGAGGUGGUAUGUGGAGUUCAUAACCACGAUGCUGCAAAGUCCAAUGCAAGGAGAUUAUCCGAAGAAGAGAAAGCAUUGUUGGUAGAUAUGUCCAAGAGUUUGGCCAAACCCAAGGACAUAUUGCGCACAAUUAAACAAAAAGAUGGACUCAAUGAAACAACAAUGAAAACAAUUUAUAAUGUCAGACAAAGGUUGAAGUUGAAAGAGAAUGUUGUGAGAUCGCAGAUGCAUGUUUUGCUAAGUAAGUUAUCUGACCACAAUUAUAUUGAGUGGCAUAGAAGCUCAGAUGACAAUAAUAUUGUGAAGGAUCUGUUUUGGACCCACCCUGUUAGUGUAGACAUCUUACGUGCAUUCCCACAUGUCCUGAUCAUGGAUUGCACGUGCAAGACAUAUUCUUUUCCGCUUUUAGAGAUUGUAGGGGUGACAUGUACUAACAUAACCUUCUCAGCUGCAUUUGCUUACCUUGAUGCUAAGAAUGAAGACAAUUACAUGUGGGCUUUGAGUAGAUUGAGGACUAUGUUGGAUGAACAUUGUCUUCCUACAGUCAUUGUCUGUGACAAUGACUUGCCACUGAUGACUGCCAUCCAUAGUAUUUUUCCUAGUUCCCGACAUUUUUUGUGUAGAUUACAUAUUAGCAAAAAUGUGUUGGCGAAAUGUAAAGGCAUGUUUGAAGGUAAAGAUCAGUUGGAGAAGUUCAUAAUGAGUUGGAAUAUGUUGGUGUUAUCGGAGACAGAGCAUGAGUAUCUGAAACGUUUGGCUGAGCUUGAUUAUUAUUUUGGUAGAUAUCCACAUGCACUUGAAUAUGUGAAGAACACUUGGUUGAACGAGUAUAAAGAGAGAUUUGUGUCUGUAUGGACAGAUACAUGUAUGCAUUUUGGUCACACGACAUCAAAUAGGUAACUUUCUUGUUCACUUUUGUUUCUUGAUGUAAGUCAUUAUGUACUACUAACUGUGUUGUAUGAAUAGGGUGGAAGGUGCAAGUGCAAAACUGAAACAACUACUUGGCAACAGCCGAGGUAGUUUUGAAACAUCUUGGGAAAAGAUUCACUCCUUGUUAGAGUUGCAACACUUAGACAUCAAGGUAUCACUUGAGAAGUGUUUGACCAUCAUCCAACACAAUUUCAUGCAUGAUGAAUUGAAGGAGUUGCGAGGAUUUGUAUCUACCGUUGCUUUGAAUAUAAUUGUUUGUGAGUCGAAGAAAGUCAAUUCAGUGGGGUUAGAUUCUUCGUCAUGUGGUUGCACCAUUCGACGCACACAUGGGUUGCCAUGUGUGCAUGAAAUUGCAGAAUACAGACAGACUAGUCGCCCUAUUCCUCUUUACCGUGUUGAUCCUCAUUGGAGGAAAUUGGAUUUACUGUACUCCCCGAAAAAUAGUGACCACGCAACUGACAUAAUUACACAAAUGUAUACGAUCUUACAUCAGUGGAUGGAUAGCAAUGGGGACACCAGAAGACAUAUUAGUCUGAAGUUGGAGGAGAUUAUGAAUAUGGAGUCAAUUCCCCUUACCAAGCCUAAAGAACAACCAAGUAGAAUUGGCACUACUACUCGUUGCAAUCUUUCUGCCUUUGAGUUGGCCUUGUCAUGUCGAGUCAGUCAUUCACCAGUUGACACAGUUGCUACCACAUCCCACUCGGAGAAACCAAAGAGGCGUCCUCCCAAGAUGAAGGUAUGUACUAACAUUGUUGAACUUGUAUGAGGUAUGAGGUAUUUUCCAGUACUUAAAACUACUAUAUGCAUGAAUAUGGCUGUACAGGUACAUAGGAUGUGUCCACUCACUUCAUCUGAAUUGAAAGAGCAGUUCCCUUCUGCUUUGAGACCAUAUAUUUCAUCCAUAAGGGAUUUUGCAGGUGACGGUAAUUGUGGUUAUCGAGUCAUAGCCGGGUUGAUGGGUUUUGGAGAUGAUUCUUGGAGCAAGGUACGCAGAGAUUUGUUGAAUGAGUUGUGCUCUCAUGAAACACAAUAUGAGAACCUUUUUGGGAGACGUGAUCGGGUUGACGAGCUUAUGCAUACACUCUCAUUCCUUGAGGAGUGCCCCCCGUAUGAUAGGUGGUUGACCAUGCCAGAUAUGGGGCACAUUAUCGCAUCAUGCUAUAAUGUGGUCCUGAUAUAUUUAUCCAUGUCAUUAUCUGUCACAUUUUUACCAACCAGGACGACGUCAUUGCCCUUGUUAGAGCGCCGUCACAUUGCCAUCGGUUCAGUCAACGACAACCACUUUGUUCAGGUAUCGAGUAGUAUAAUUACCGUAUACAAUUUGUUAUGCUUUGUGGAGGUGAUUUUCCGUGCCUAACUGUUGGCAUGUCCUGUUCUCCAUAGGUGUUUCUGUUUCCUGGGCAUCCUAUGCCUCCUGUUUCGGAUUGUUGGCACCAAGUUUACCUACCAGAUGCUGAGGGUUGGCAAACUGCCUACACUGAACGUAUUCAACGUUUUAGAGAGAUUGUUGGUUCAGAUGUGGCUACCAGAGAGACUGCAUAACUCAAAUAACUAAUGACUUUAAUUGGUUGACACUGUAUUUUAUACUCAUGGUCAGCAUACUAUAUUGUGUAUAGUUAGUAAAAUACAAGAUGGGCAAAAUAUGAAUACAAAGUUACAUGUAUUACUUGGCCAAAUUUUUUAUAAAAAAAAAAAAGGUGAAAACCCUAAAAUCAAAUGUUUCUGUUAUUAAAUUCGUUGAAUAAACAAUAAAAUAUAGUUGAUAUUUCUUAUAUCAUGGCUGAAAAAUCGAGGUUUUUUAUUUGUUUUUUAUAUAAGCAAUACUGGGAAUUGGGAAAAAGGGAAUUCGAACCAUACAGAAGUAACUAUACUUAAUCACUUAAACUAUUAACUCUGUGAUUAAACUAUAAACUCUUGCAAAAAAUUGAGUAUUAUAAUUCCAACAUUUGUGACAAUAUUAUGUUUAACACCAAUAAACACAAUGCAAUUGGUAAUUUGGUAAAGCAAAAAUUAAUAACAAAUGGGAGUGGCAGUGGGGCUGUAAUACAUGCGUAAAGCGUAGCUCUACAACUUUCCAUUAGUAAAUUGAAUAGCAGAUUCAUUUUAGAAAUUGCUCUUUUGAGAGUAUAUUAUUUCCCCCUAUUAUUAUUAUUAAUAAUGUUGAUGAUGGCGGUAAGAGUGAAGAGAUUAAAAUGAGGAGGAGGUGUUUAUUCCUUUUAACAUGGUGUAUAAUUUUCCUCGGUUUCAUUUCUCUUUCUAUUUUUCUUCUAGGGUUUCAAGGCUUUUAUAAUGGGGGUGGCUUCGAUGAAGCAGGGGAUUUACAUAGUAUAGCACAAUGCAAAUAUUCCUAAAAAUGACAGGCUUUUGAAUUAUAUAUAUUUAAUAAUAUAAAUAAUAUUGAGGGGGGAUGAAAUCAAAUUACCAAAAAUAUUAUUCAAAGAGGAUGCAUGAAGGAGACCAAGAAAAUAUAAACUCACAUGCCCAACAAGCAAAAUGGUUUUACGCCCAAAAUAUUAGGCUCGGUCAAAUACUAUUGGAAAAACGCAAUCAGCAUUUUAUAUUCUACUCGGAAGGGCAUAACUUCUGGUACGCUGUGACGUCAUCCUUCGUCCCGUGAGCAUCAGAUUCCAGACUGCAUCUGCUUCUUCUCGUCGUUUUCUGGCUUUGGCUUUUGCCUCUUAAACCCCAGACGCCGCCUUUCCAAAAAACCUCACUUGAAAGAGUUGAGUGACAGUCUGGCGGAGUACGGAGAAAUUGGAGCCGUUGCUUCAUAUCAUCACAAAGGGACGUAUAGCCGCGCGGCUAUACGCUUUGAAUAUGUUCAAUAUUUAAGUCGUAUAGCCGGGCGGCUAUACUCGGUAUUAUAUUUGAAUAUUUAAAUAGUAUUUACUCUUUAUUAUAUUCGAAUAUUUGAAAUAGUAUCGCCGGUCGGCUAUACUUUUUAUUAUAAAUAUUUUAAUAUCUUUAAAAUAGUAUAGGUGUCCGGCUAUACUGUUUAAAUAUAUUCGAAUAUUUUAAUAGUAUAGCCGCUCGGCGGUACUCUUUAUUAUACUCGAAUAUUUAAAUAGUAUAGCCGUUCGGCUAUACUCUUUAUUAUAUUGAAAUAGUAUAGCCGUUCGGCGAUACUGUUUAAAUAUAUUCGAAUAUUUUAAUCGUAUAGCCGUGCGGCGAUACUCAUAUAUUAUAUUAUUUAAAUAGUAUAGCCGUCCGGCUAUACUGUUUAUUAUAUUUGAAAUAGUAUAGCCGCCCGGCGAUACUCUUUAAAUAUAUUAGAAUAUUUAAAAUAGUAUAGCCGUGCGGCCAUACGCUGUAAAUAUAUUCGAAUAUUUAAAUAGUAUAGCCGCCCGGCUAGACUCUUUUAAAUAUAUUAAAAUAUUUAAAUCGGUAUCGGUCUGUCUCUCUGUGUCACCGGCACUUUCAUCUUCCAAUUUAAUUGGUCUGUAGGUCAACAACAGAGAGAAGAAGAAGGCAAAUUUCUAAAGCGGCGUCGUGUUGGUCGUGAGCUCUGUGUGUUCCAAAAAUGGAGUUCGUUAACAAGGCGGUGAGCGCUGCAACGAAAGCGGCGAAGAACAACACGGUGAUAAACGUGUGCCUGGUAGGCUCGUUCAUCGCGCUGAGCGUAAGGUCGGUGAGGCAGCAAAACGACAUCGAAUCGCUGGAGGCGGAGAAGGCGUCUCUCAUCAAAUCGAACAAGGCUGCGAAGCAGACCAUGUGGGACUGGAAGCAGCAGCUUUACGCCGAGGCCUCCUCCACUGGCGGCGCCGUUUUGGUCCCUCUCGCCAGACUCAAAGCCAUUUACGGCGAAGCUCCCGUUGCCCAAAUUGGUAAUUUCACUCCCACUCUUCACUCUCUUUGAUUUUGCGUUUGUUUUUAGGGAUUGGACAAUUUUUUAGGGUUUGAUCCUUUGUGGGAAUUUUCUCAUUUAUUGAUUGAUUUAUUGAUUAGGAGAGGCUGUGAAGGAAGAAUCAAAAUCUGCUGCCUCCAAAUUUGUGGUCUGAUUUUGGGACAUUGGGUUGCUGCUAGCAUUUGCAAAUUGGGUAUUUGCUUUCUUUGCCUUGCAAGCUUGUAAUGCAGUUGCAGCUGAAUUUAAUGGUCAGGCUUUGAGUUCAUUUUGCACUUCUAUCAUUUUGGUGAAGGGAGAGAGGAUCAUUUUGAACUCAUUCAAGUUUGCCAUGGGACUGAAUUUAUUCAUUUCUCUGUGUUUUUAUGUGGCAUUUGCAACAAAUAAGGACUCUUACAGUUGGAUCAAGGAAUGAAUGAACAAAUAAGGACACUAAAUAACUGUACUAUUGAUCAAAAGUCCAUUAUAAUUUUUUGGGCUUUUAUCACAAGUGUGGUCUCUAAACUUUUUAUAAGUCCUCAUUUUAGUACUCAAAUUCUCAAAUCAAUCAAUGUGGUCCUUAAUUUUUUGGUUUACACAUCAAUUUGGUACGUCUCACUCCAACAUAACUUUCGAUAAAAUUGAUUAUGUGUCGUUGGUAUGACUGACUUUAAAAGGAUAUUGUCAUCUAAAUAUAGGUCAUUUUAGUCCUGAAACUCAUGUUUUUGCUCAACAAAUCCAUAUUCUCUCCAAUUGGAGUUUCACACUGGCGUUAUUAAAGAAGAGUAGAUGGUCUUGUUGAGCAAAAUACAUGAGUUUGCUUUAUGUCAUGGAUGCAUAGGUUGCAUUUUGACAUAAAUACCCCCAUCAAAGUUGGUCAUGUGACCAAUUUUGACGGAAUGCAAUGAGAGGGACCAAGUUGAUGUAUAGACUAAAAAAUUAAGGACCACAUUGAUUGAUUUGAAAGUUUGAGAACUCAAAAUGAGGAUCUGUGAAAAGUUUAGGUACUAGUAGUAGUAGUGACAAAGUGGAUUGUAUUGAGUGUUCACUGUGGAACCCCAAUGUAUUGUUUGCAUACAAUUAAAUUUUGGGACUUACCAUUAGAAACUUCAUGUUUUGCCCUACAGUGAACAAAAUGGAUUGUGUUACCCGCAAAUCUUGUAUGUCAAUGGCUGUUUGUUUGAUGCGUGUAGGGGUGGUGCAUCAACGAUUAGAAGUCGCCCACUUGCGCGAAGUUCAUAAUUGCAAAGAUUUUAGGGAGUUUCGUCCGCAUAAAUCAUAAACCUUGAAAGGUAAUGCAGAAGAUGUAAAGAAGACCCUAAUCAGAAUUGGCAACCAUUAAAAACCUAUCUUUCGUUGCUACCAUUCAUGACUGUGAAAGACUAAAUUGCAAGAUUACCAAUGCUAGAAUAAUAAUUAAAAACUGAUAAGUAUAGCUAGAGGCCAUUAGUAAAUGGACAACGACAAUCCAACCUCUAUUUACUGUCUGAUUUUCAAACCUACAACAUUUAGAAACACUAAAAAAUUAGCAGGAGAUAAACCAGUUGUUUUCGUAAGUAGAUUUACGGGAUUAAAUUCAAGAUUGCAAUCCAUCUUUUCACAAAUUUUUGGGUCAUUCUUUUUCUACCAACUUGAUCAACCUUCUCUUCAUUAUAGAGGGGGAAAUGUCAAGAAAUAAGCUUCAGUGGUCUUUGAUUUGAUUUCAGAUGUGAAAGAGACCUGCAUUUUGGCCUAAACUUGUAUCCCAAGUAAUUGAUGUUUUAGUUCAUAGCAAUAAUUGAGUUCACAGCAUAAUUGGGCGUUCCAAAAUCAGCUUGUGAACAAAUGGCAUAUACAUAUACCAUUAGUUUGGCUGUUAUUCCGGCAGAGGAAAGAGGUAGGAAAGAGAUGAAGGGGAAAGAGAGCACACAAAGUUAACGAAGGUCUUCUUAUUUUGGAUUUAACUAAUGCCCCAAAUAGGUUUCAGUCUCUUUCAUGCAAUGAGGGAUGAUGACUGUAAAAACUUAUUUUGGAGUGCAAAUAACAUUCGCAUGAUGUUAUAUGAAUUUUCUAAAGACACCGAAAAAAAAAUCAUUGGUGUAAAGUGAAUUGUUUCAAAGGACGCUAUAAACUUAAAAUGAAUUGCUUUAAAAUGGUUUUUCAAAUUCAGAUUUAGUGUAGCAACAAGUAUUGAAAAAUUUUCUUAUAAAUUAAAAUGAGUUAAAUAAAUUUAAGCCUUAUGAUUAAUUCCAACCAUGCCUAAGCUUGACCUUUCAUGGGACUAUAUAUCUUGGUCCGUACAUAUACACGUCACAUGUGCUUGAUAGGAUUCCAUUUCACCCUAAAGAUUUGACUCUAGAGCCGUGUGAUCCACAUCAUGUGGCGCAAAGUUUGCAAGAAUUUCUAAGGAUUAAAAUCAAGUUUUCUAAAAAGAACAAAACACGAGUAAAGAUUUUUGUUUUUUUGUUUUUUCGGUGUGAAAUCUCAAAUAACAUAUACUAGUUGACACGAGGAAGUUGUUAAUCAAAAUCUAACUAUUUGUUAUCAAAAUUCAACUCUCGUCUUUUCCUUAAUCAAACUCUCACGAGUUUAAUUUAGUUUUUUUGUCAAUAACAAAGGGGAAAAUCCUCACAUGCACUUCGUAGUUGGAACACAAGAAAUUAUAAUAUCCUGAUAAUAAUAAUAUUAAAAAGUAUAGUUUUGAAUAAUAUAUUCUAGUUAUGCUUAUAGUUGUCGUAAAAGACGUAUCAUUGGAUGUACAUGCAUGAGAAGGGAGAGGUGGAUCUUGUCGUUCAUGUGCUAAAGAAAUAGGUGGGUCAUACGCAAAGAGCCCAAGAGCAUAAUUUUGGAAUAUUAUUUUGUGCUAAUUAAAAACGAACAGAGACGAACUUGAUCAAUAAUUGCUUUCAAAUUUGAAGUCAUAACCCAAAAAAUGCAUAUCUUUGUAAUCGUCACAUACUUAUGUAUAUGAAUAAAUUACAACGAAUCGAUAACAUUACGUGAUGUUAUGACCAUUAUAAUGAAGAAUUACUUCUUCUUUUUCACAAGAGUAAGGUUUUCUUUUAAGAUAUUUUAUUUGAUGUGCUGAUUUCAGGCAACAUUAAUGCAGUCAUUUUCGGCCAGUCUUAAUAAUUAAUAAUAAUUUGUUGGUCGCUUUUAGUUUUUAGCAAACGAAAUUAAUUAAUUAAAUGGUCAAGAAAGCAUCCCUCUACCGCAAUUAUGGGGCCACACAAAUCCAUAAUGUGCUUUAUUGCACAGUUUCAACGUUACAAAAAAGGUCAAUGUUGUUGGUGUCAAAUUUUCAUCAUAAACCAACUGUUUAUAAUUUGACACAAAGGUUAGGUAUCAAAUUGUAGACCAGAUGUUUAGGGACCCAGGACCAUGUUUCUAAUUUGAUACCAAAUGUUUGGUAAGUCUAGCCGAAAAAAGGUUCUAAUUAUUUCUUGUAGAAAAUACGUAGAAUUAAUCAAUUGGUCUUUAAGUGGUGCUUCAUCAACAUUUAGAGAAUAAUUGAAAAGUACAUAGAGAGUCAUCUCGCUUAGUAAUUCGACGGAUAUGGGUAAAACUUCCCCAGUAACCAAGAUUACCUCUAGAGUUGAAAUCAUCUUGAGAUAAUAAAUCACAAAGAACUUGUUUAAAAACCCCUAUCUACUGUCUAAAUUAUCCUAGAUCAAGUCAGUUACAUUAAAAACAAAACUCACAAACCGGCAUAACUCCACUUAAUAUCACUUACUAAUUUAGUUGGCAAUCAAAGUGAUCAAUUAUAUGAUCAAUCUAAUCAUAUCAAUCACUUACUUAACGAUUUAGUGACCUCAAAUUUUGGAUAGCAUAAGCCGAUUCCAUUAACAAUUCGAUCUUAUCGAUGACUUCAUCAAAUCAGCUUAAGUUAUCCAAAAAUUAGAUUUCAACUUAAUUUUUAUUGAGUUGAUCAAUUAUCUCAAUCCAAACUCGAUCAAGGCUUUAAAAUUUGAAGGCAGAGUCCAUCCAAGUUGCACCCUUAAUUAUUAUUGCAAGGGAGGUUCAUUUGGACAUUUAACCAAAUGGAAGGUUGAAGGAACAUUCUCAUGACAACAGAAGAAUUAAAAAACUGAGGGUUUUUAGAUUGCCAAUAUUUUAGACAUGAACUGAACAAAUGGUAAAGUCACAAUAAUCACGUAUUAGUCUAAAUCUAAACCUCAUUUUUCAAAAUACAGGCCCACAUGAAACUCAUAACAGAAACAGAAAAUUCUUGUUAUAAACCAAAAAAACAAAAACAAAAAAGGAAUAACCGUUUCUUAUGCACUUGUAGCAUCUUUGCCAACAUGGUUUCCAUAAUUCAAAUUAUGCAAUGCCGAAAAUGAGAUACCAAUAAAAAUGGCAUUUUGGUGAAAAUAAACAAUAAAUUUGGCAUUCUGGCGAAGUAAAAAAAAAAAAACCCUUGUACAGAAGAAACUUAUUAACAUUUGCUACCUACUAUAUUAAGUGGAAGCUAUAAUUUUGUUGUACAUUAAUUACUAUAACUCAUAACUAGUUAUUUAUUAACACAAAAUUGCAAAGUAAUGUGAUUGUGGGAGGGAGUUUAUAUAAAUAUUUAAUGAGUGUUUUGAACAUCUGCCCACAUGGGUGGAAUUGGAAAAGCUCAAUCAAUUGAGUUAUACUCACUUACAAUAUCAACUAUCUCUUUAUGAAAUGCCAUUUUAAAAAAUAUUUAAUGUUUGAAUCACCAAUUUCCCAUUGAAUUAAGGUUGUGUUUGAUUCAUAGGAAAGAUCGCUUGGAGAUGAGAAAUCAAUUGUUUUCCCAUGUUUGGUAAGUCUAUAAAUAGGAAAUGGUUACUUGGCACAUGAAAAAAUAAGAGAAAGGGGAAGGGGGAGGGGAAUGUAACCCUCCUCCUCCUUUUAGUUUCAUUUUCCCUUCCCAUGAGAAAGUUUAGGAAAACAGGCCAGCAUUAAAUGCACAUUUUUCAUGACCUUUUUGUCCAUAUUAACAAUUUAGAAUUACAAUAUAGCAUUAAAUGCUUUCUUUUAUUAUUUGAUUUUAUAUGGGUAUAAUUGAAAAAUUAAACAAAUUUUGUUUUACAUUUCUACACAAAUUAAACAUGGGAAAGAAAAUAAUGCGGUAUUUCUCAAUACUUUCCCAAAUUACCAAAUAUGAUAAAUGAAUCUUCUAUUUAUCAUUUAUGGGAAAUGACAUGAGAAAUGAUUUUCCAUCAAAUCCUUUUCGUGAACCAAACAGGAUCUAAAAAUAUAUAUACAAAAAAUACUACCUAUGAAAAAUGUGAAGGCUGUGACGGUUAUGCCAACAUAAGUACACAUAAAUUAAUCUUUUAAUUAACGACAAUGAAGAAUAAACCCACCAUGCUUAAGACAUUUCAAGCAAAAAUAACUGUUUAUGUCUCUAAUAAAACCUAAUGUUGAGAAGCUUUGAAAGUUUAGAAGACAAGCACAUGAGAGACUAGAGAGAAGCAGCCCCUAAUGCUUCCAUCAAAUGAAACAAGUCCAAACCUAAUAAAACUGUAGAAAAUUCUGGUCAAUGCCAAACCCACACCCAAAAAAAAAAGUAUAUUCAUUGAAUGGCUGCGAUUUCGUGAUCCCUUGGACCCCCACAAAACAUAGGACCUCCCCGCACGUGGGACCCACAACCCUGAAAAAAAAAACAAAAAACUAGCAAGUCUAUAACAACACAGAGAAGCAUAACAUUUCCAUGGCGUGAGAGAGUUAAAAACGUUUUAGGAACUCCCAACUUAACAAAAUGGAAACAGAGGGACAAAUCACAUGGCACUAACACACACAAACUCAACGACAGAGAGAGAGAGAGCUUAACCUCAAUUGCACACCGUUUACGCUCUCAUUUUCACUUUCUCAAUUAGGGUUCUCUUGUAUCUCUGAUCUCCAAUCUCUCUUUUCUUUAGCUGCUGUGGCCUGUAACUCUGUUUUUCCUCUGUUUCUGUAAGAAAAUUCAUCUGGGUCGCUUUUAGUUUUCGGAAUUGAGGUGGGUUUUUCUGGGUGUUUGUGAUCUGGGUCUCUUUGAGUGAUCUGGGUCUGAGAUGGAGGAGACUCGGCUGUGCCAGUGGAGCGUCAUUCGAUCUCUUUUGGCAAUUCUUCAAUGGUGGGGUUUCAAUGUCACCGUGAUUGUUAUGAACAAGUGGAUCUUUCAGGUCCUUUCUCUAUGCCUUUCCCAGAUUGUUGAAUUUCGGUUUUUGUUUUUACAUUUCUUUUCUAGAUUUUUUUGUGAACUGAGGUGUGCUUAAUUUUGAUUUUUGAUUCUUGGGUAUGUAAAAAUGUUCAAUUCUCCUAUGUUGCUGCCUUAAUUUUUUAUUUUUUUAUUUUUAAGAAUUCGUUUUGGUAUAAUUGUGUACAUGUGAGUUGGGUUUUACAUUUUACGACUGUAGCUGAAUAACGGUUUCUCUUUUGAUUUUGGAUUUUGAAAUUUUAAUUCGUUAUCAUCUGAUUUUCUGCUUCCUUCAUAUUUCCGUUACUGCCUGAGAUAAUGAAAUUCUGAAAAUGAUCGUGAUUCUUUAGAAUCUCAUGAGCAAUAGUAGAAGCAAGAUGGUCUUUAACUUCAUGCAGUUUGGAGUCCUGUAGCUGUUUCAUUUGUUUACAUUUAGUUUCACCUGAACAUCAUUUGCUUCUCAUCAUUUGCUUCUCAUGGUGGUCAUCAUGGUGUCCCUAAUUUUGAAGUGUUUUCUUUUGUGCAGAAACUGGAUUUUAAGUUUCCUCUAACGGUAUCGUGUAUUCAUUUUAUAUGCUCGGCCAUUGGAGCAUACACAGUAAUCAAAAUUUUGAAGCUUAAACCACUAAUAACAGUUGAGCCUGAAGAUCGAUGGAGAAGGAUAUUUCCCAUGUCGUUUGUAUUCUGUAUUAACAUAGUGUUGGGGAAUGUGAGCUUACGUUACAUUCCAGUUUCUUUUAUGCAGACAAUAAAGUCAUUCACUCCUGCGACCACAGGUCAGUUCCCGAAAUUGCUAACAGUGUUUGCUAAUGACAUACCCUAUGAAAAAUGUUAUACUGUGUUGUAGCUUCAUCUGAUCACAAAGGGUUUGAACAGUUGUUUUGCAGUGGCUGGUUUGGAGAAAGUACUUUGACUGGCGAAUUUGGUGUUCUUUGAUACCAAUUGUUGGAGGAAUUCUUCUUACUUCUGUUACAGAGCUUAGUUUCAAUAUGUUGGGAUUUUGUGCUGCCUUGUUUGGUUGUCUGGCUACUUCCACAAAGACCAUCCUUGCAGAAUCUCUGUUGCAUGGAUACAAGUUUGACAGGUAGUAUCUUUGUUUUUGUUGCUUUGGAUCCUCAUGUCUUGUAUUUCAUUGUUUUUUUCUGUCUUUACUUUUUCGGAGUAUUCCCCAUAUUUAUCUUUUCAUGAAUUUUUUUGCCAACUUUGCUCAUUUUAUUUUUGUAGUUUUCUUAGGUUAUUGUAUGCCUGACGUCUACAUUAAUAUCUUGUUUAACUUCCAGAUUUAGUGUUAUUAGAUUUUUACUAUCAUGAUAAUGUUCGUGAGCAUAUAUAAGUUGAAGAUAUGAAUUUACAAUCAGGUUAUAUGCUAAACCUUUCCAUAUCAGUGUGUUGAAACUUGAAAGACCCACCACACCUAUAGCUGAAAAAGGACCUCCAUUAUGCCAGCUCUAACUGAUAUGAAUAUCCUGUUGACUUGUGCAUUUCCUCAUUUCAAUGGAUUUUUUAUAUAAUUAAUUUUCAAAUAAGAAUUAUCUUGACUGAUUGAUUAUAAGAAUAAUAUAUGACACAAAAUGGUUCUUUGCAUUCUGGUGAAAGCAGGUUGUAUUGUAUGUGCAAUCCAUUUUUCUUUGUGUGUUUUAGAACCUUUUGGAUUGCGUUAGAAUCCUUGUGAGGAAUAUGGUGGGGUUUAGUCCCGCUGCAGUGCAAACAACCCAGGAUUUGCUAUUUUUACUUUAUCUUUUCAGAAAUUAGAGCAUUAACAUCAACCUUUUUUCUUCGUCCAUUUUUGAAAAUCCCCAACCCUCGGAACCUUUUUUUUGUUUUUCUCAGUUUUCUGCUUGGAAACCCUUUCAUGUGGGUUCCAACAUUAGUGGUCUUUGUUUUCGUAGUGCUUGCUUCACUCCAGUCGAGAAGGGGUUGUUUUUGAGACUGUUCUACUUUUAUGAGUGUGCAUUAAUUUAUAGCUACAGGAUUCAUUCUGAUAUACUUCUAUUGAUGUUUUGGGUAUACAACUUAGCAUAAACACGGUCUACUACAUGGCACCUUUUGCAACCAUGAUCUUGGCUGUACCUGCAGUAGUACUUGAAGGUAAUGGGGUUAUUGAAUGGCUUCACACUCAUCAGACUCUUGUUCCAUCCCUCAUUAUUAUAUUCAGCUCUGGGGUGCUGGCAUUCUGUCUCAACUUCUCCAUCUUUUAUGUGAUUCAUUCCACGACUGCCGUAACAUUCAAUGUUGCUGGAAACCUCAAGGUAAUUAUUAAGCAGUCACUUGCCUUGCAAUUCUGAUUCUAUGAUAUUAAUAUUGCUCACCUUUGUGGCGAAGUAAAGUAUUGUUAGGUUUCAUAAAUGAUGCAUCCCUUGACUGCACGUAGUAUAUACUUCUUGUCAAAGUCACGUCCAGCUGAAAAGCUGCUAGUGCUUUAUUCUUCCUUAUGCACACAUAUAUCAUUCAACUUUUUGAUACACUGAGUUCAGGGCUAGAUUUUUCCCAACUAUUUUAGUCAAUCCAGCCUUAAUCCUUUUGGGGCAUAUGAAAUACCUUGUCAAUGGUCACAUUCUCAUAUUGGAUUGUGUUCAGGUUGCCGUUGCUGUCCUUGUUUCAUGGAUGAUAUUCAAAAACCCAAUUCCAGCUUUGAAUGCUGUCGGAUGUGGAAUAACACUUGUGGGAUGUACAUUCUAUGGGUACGUGAGGCACCUGCUCUCCCAACAGCUGCCUGGAACUCCUCGAACACCCCGGACUCCACGGGGUCGGAUGGAGCUGCUUCCCCUUGUAAAUGAUAAAUUAGAUGAUAAGGUCUAAUGAUUCAAAUCAUGAAUGAGGUUCCUGGCAGUUGGAAAAACAAUUUAUAGGAAACAUCAGUACACAGAACUUACUAUUCAUUUCUUUGCUAUGUAAUCCUGCUUCAGAUUGCUUCAAAUUUUUAAUAUAUGGUUUUUUGCCCCCUGCCAAACUAAAAAAAUCUUCAGCUUCUUGUGGGUUGCCAUAUUCUGGGUGAAUAUCCAGUCAAUUCAAUUGUAGCCUUCCUUUGCAACUAGACCUUCAUGACCCAAAGUGGCUUUCUUAGGUACUUUUGGGGGUCCCAAAGGACGCUAUCACUGGCCAAUCACAAUGACACGCGGAAUAAUUUUUCUACAUGUCAUUGCAUUAUUGGCCAGAAUAGUAAAAUAGUGUUAUUCCCGUUAAAAGUGAGUUUUUCUACUCCCCAAGGCCCAGAAAGCAAAUGCUAAACAAGGUCUAGAAACCCCAAUUUUGCUGUUGCAGCACCCAAUUUUAUGAGACCAGUAGCCAUACAACUUCCAAGAUUCCAAGUUGUUCAUUAAUAAAACUAAGACAGCCUCUUUAAUUAGCCUCUGUAAUAAGUAACUGUAUGAUCUGAAGUUGACUUUUGCAAAUGGAUCUUUGAUUUUGAAGGAGAUGGAGUGCACUUGACAGAGAAUCCUACUACUUUAAUUGCACAUCUUGCAUGAACAUAGAAGGGCAGACUUUCAUUUCAUUAAUUAAUACAUAGAAAGCUCAUCUAGUUAGUAGUUAGAUACUAAAAUUACAAGCUAAUAAUCUAUACUUAAAUUACUUAUUAUGAGACACUAAUGAGAUUAGAUAAUCUUAUUAGAGAACUAAGCCAAGAGCCAGAAAUCCUUCUGCCAUCUGGUGUUGAUAAGGUAGCCACCCACACCCUUGCUCUGCUUCCUCACUCCAAUUGUCAAGCACUCUGCAUUGUUGAUGCAAUGCUCCACAAAGUCCUCAGUGCCGCUGCUUCCAAAUAAGCUGCACGAAUGAUUUGAGGAAAAAAAAAAAAAAGGAUCAACCCAACAAACAUUAACAGUUCAGAUUUAGGAUCAAUAAUAAGUUUGAGAUGCAAGAUGGGAAUUUUGUGGACCCACCAGCUGAUGAGGGAAGAGGACUUCUUCUGACCCAGCACUAAAACUGAUACCUCUAGCUUCUUCACCUGGCUUAUCACUGUGCCCAGUCUUGGUCCUUGGAUCACAAGUGCUUCCACUUCCACCUGAAUUUUGUCCCCAACAAAUAAAAAUAAAAAAUAAAAAACAUUAUAAGCACAUGACUUGGUAAUUGUAAGUGACAGACCAGAAGCCCAUGUCCCCUCUCUUUUUCUGGGAAAAAGGCAAAGCAACUGAAAAGUACACACUGAAAAGAAAAAGAAAAAGAAGGAAAAAAUUGAGAGGGAACUUGUCACUGAAAAAAAAUCAUUAGCCUUCUUCUCCCUCUAAAGAAGAGAAAAGACAAAAAAGAAAUAUUCAAAAAUUAAAAACCAAAGAAAAAGAGGAAAAGAAAAUUAAAAUGAGCUGAAGGUGAAAGUUGUCCCUCUCUUCACAAAAGCAAUGUAAGGUUGGGGACCAGAAAAGAACAGCAUUCAAAGGUAAAGGAGAAAGAAAGAUCCAGUGGGAUCUAUCAAACACAGUGAGAACAAUCCCUGCCUUUUGCAACUUUUAGGAUCUAUCAAAUAGAGCAAAAAUAAAUAAAUAAACAAAUAAAAAUCCAUGGAGCCCAUUUGAGCUCUCACUUUGUUUGAUCUGUUAAAAAUUCUUGGAACAUAAACUAUAAUCCCUAGAAAAAAUAACAAAACUAACCUCAGGCUUGCAGGCCUUGCAAAGGGAGCCAAGAGAGUUGGCAAGGUAAGGGGAAACAGAAGAAGAGUCGUGGGAAGCAGGGAUGAUGUGAAGGAGAGUGAGCAAAUCACCCUUGUUUGCUACAUGGGUGAGAGCCCACAUCAUAGCAUGCUUGGAAUGUGAUGAGUCAUCCACCACAACCAUCAAUCUCUUCCUCAUUGCCAACCCACCAUUGUUAUUGUCACUGCCAUACAUGUUAAGCCCUUCCAUUUGCUUCAAGCUUCCCUCAGAGCGCCCAAUACCACCACCACCACCACAAGACUUGUUAUUUCCACCAACCCACCUCUUUGAUGUUGAUUUCCAAGCCUCCCUUCCACUCAAUUGCCUUAAAAAUGAACUUGGUCUUGGCAUUUUCACUUACCUCUCUUGCCUAAAUGUAUGUCUAUGGACUAAGAGUGUACCACUAGUACCAGAGAGAGAGAGAUAGAGAGAGAGUAUGUGGGGUUAUUAUAAUGAGAGAGAACAGGGGUUUGUGAGAGUGAGAGAGAGUAUGUGGGGUUUGAUAUUUAGGGGUUCUUGGUUAUUAUAAUGGAGAGAGAGAGAGAGAGAGAGAGAGAGAGAGAGAGAGAGAGAGAGAGAGAGACUGAUGAUGCAAAGCCAUGAUGUUUUAUCUUUGUGCAGGUUAAAGUGUCACGGGAACCACUGGCUGGUUGUGACUUUACUCUGCAUAGAAAUGUAAACAAUCACACUGGUUUGUUUUGUUUGAUAUCUGGUGAUGAAAGGGAGUAUCUUUUGUACAAUCUCUUAUAAAAACUAUUCGGAUUCUCCAGCCCAUUUUCCUAAUUUCUUAUCAUCAUCAUCUGUAUGUUCUGAGUGAUGGCGAUUAGAUUUUAUUGGUAUUAUUACUCUAAUUUAAUAUUAAUAACUAAUACAUCCAUAUAUUUUAUGUCAUUUCAUACCACAAGUUGCACAUGAUAUACAGGACUGGUCCAACUUUAGAAUAGACUUGUCCAGACCCUUCAAUUGUUUUUGCAGCACCAUUAUGUGCACGCACCAUUUUUGCUUUUCCUUUUAGGUCAUCUUUCGUGGGUUUCACCCUUUCUUGGGUGAUGAUGCCCUAACAGUCUUCCCAAGCUUCUUUUAAAGCUUCUAUACACGUUGCAAGGGAGAUGAAUGGAUGAUGCACAAAGUAUGCACAAAGUUGGUAGUGUGACAAAAGUCAGUGUAUUCGAGGAAUGAAUUAUUAUUAGAAACAGGAAAAAACCGUCUCAAUUGUUCAAAUCAAACCAAAUCAAAUAAUAAAUUCGGUUUUUACACGUUUUAAACAAAAAUGGAACAAAACCGUAAUUAAUUCGGUUUAAUUUAGUUUGACUUAUUUGAAAACCAUAACCAAAGCAAACCACAUAUAUCUAUAAAAAUUAAAAUUUUGAUACUUGACAUUUUCUUGUUGGUCUUGACAAGUUACAUUUCCGUUUGAUACAUGUGAUAAAAUAUAAAGUAUUUGUAUAAUUACUUGUGAAGGGAACUAGCCCAACUAAAUCAAAUCAAAUCAUUUGAAAAUAAUAAUAAUAAUAAAUAAAUAAUGGAUAGGUUCUUUUUUUUCUUUUCCCAAAAAUGGAUAGGUUCAUUUCAGUUAUGCUGUAUUGUUGCUCACCACUUUAAUCCAGAAGUGUAUAAUUACCAUCAUUCUCAACACUUGACAUGUGUCCAUAUGCAUAAAAAUGGUUCCAUAAGUAAAAAGUAAAAAUUUAAACAUGGUUAUAUCUAUGAACACGUGUCAUGUAUUAAGAAGAGUAAUUAUGAUACAUCUUGAGUUAAAGUGGUAAGCAAAAAUAUUUCCUUAAUUUUAACCGUAAUGUUAACAUUAAUUCGGUUGCCAAUUAGGUCUAAUUAAACCGGAGCAGACGGAGUCUACCACUAACUAGAUAUAUAAAAUAAUAAGUGGAUAAAAAUAUAAUGAGUAUUAGUUGUGGUCAGUAAGGUAGCUGUGGAAUUGCAGUUUUAAUUCACUAAGUAAUUUUAGGUGGUGAAUUUGUUUUAUGUCUUCAAACAGUCUGAAAUUUCGUUUAUUGUGAGAAAGUUAAUUAUGAUUUGGUUUGACUAUUUAUGAUUGGCAAUUGUGUUUGUGAAGAAUUAGGCUGUUAGAUCCAAAAUAUUAUUAUUUGUUGAUUUUUGAACCCCACUACCAAUCUAAUAAAUAUUAUUUCCCAGGUACUUGGAUUCCAUAAAAUGACUUAUCUCCCGUUAACCUCAAUAUUAUGUUUUAAAUCAGAGAGUUUAGACUAAGAUCUUAAUUCAAGCUUAAAUUAACAACUAGGAAAUUAGACCAAAAAGAAAGAGAACAACUCUAAAAUGAAAUAAUUAAUAAAUCUAUCACAUUAAUUACUGAUAAAAUGAAGAAAAUUAAGAUUGCAGGAAGCAUUUAAGAUCAAUAUCUGCCCCCCUUUCCCCACAUCUUUACUUCACCUUCUGGUUCUGGUUCUGGUUCUGGUUCAUUGACAUGGAAGAGCUCAUAUAAACAUAACCCUGUCACUGAAUAAGCAUCCCAUUAAAUGUGCUUAGCUGAAAAUAAAUCCAUCACAUUAAUUAUUGCAUUCUGGGGAACACCCAAAUGCCACAAAUUGCAUCUAGGAAAUAGACUUUUCUAUCCCUUCAUAAUUGUUAUGUUAUGUAGAGCUUUACAUAACAAGGAAUUUAUGCCUUAAUUCUAAACCCUCUUGUAGGAUUCUUUACUUGGUCAUGCACCUUGUCACUUGGCACCGACACAUUAUUGGGGAUGUCAAAAAUAAAGGGGUGAGGGAAAAUACUAGAGUGGAGUGGAGUGGAGUAACAUAACAAAGGAAUUCAGGCCUUAUUCUGAAAGUUCUGCUACAGUUAGUUAUCCACACACGCAUCAUGCAUGCAUAUAAAAAAUAGUAUAUAUAUUACGGAUUAAUGUAUGUUUCAGUUAUAAUCAGUCACGUGAUGAGUGUUGCAGACAUAAUAAUUUGAUCAUUAUAUUACGUAAGUUUUAUCUCUCACUCGUAUAACACGAUUUAUAACUAUUGAUGCAUUAUGAAAGUUGCAACUUAUCAAUUAAGGACCAACCCUAACAAAAUCCUAAUCAACUGGGGAAGGAUCUUUGUUUUGUGAUUGUGAAUUUGUGACCAACACAUUAUUGAGGCAAGUGGGCUGAUAAAUUCAAAUGUAAUAAGUGAAGAAGUAAAUUGGUUACUUCUUUGGUUUCUGCUGGUUCACUUCACCCAAACUUUGUCACAGUGUCAGUUUGCGAGUCAUCUCACAAGAGUAGAGCACAGGAAAAGAAUCCUGCACGUCAUACUGACUUGCUUGACAGCAGACGGAGAGACAGCCUAUAAUAGCCUCAAUAUUUCUUUUAUUUCAUUCUAAAAUUUUAAUUAAUUAAUUAAUUAAUUAAUUAAGCGAUUUAAGGAUAUGUCAGAAAUUGAGUCCCUCGUGAAUUGGGAUUUUUUUGGUCCAUCGAGUCAGAAGGUCGUACUUUCAAAUAAUUGCUCCCGGGCAAAUCGCUGAGCCUUUCAUUGCGUUGAAGUUACCAUUAUGACAUUCACCUUUAACUUAUAAAAUAAAUAACCACACUAUGUUAAUGUUUGGAUGCUUCCAUUUAGAUUUAUUAGUCCUUGAUUUCUCCGAUUAGCCUCUGAAAAAUUGUAACAAGCUUUUACUAUUUACCCUCAUCCUUUUUCUUCUUUUUUUUAAAAUCUUUUUUUUUAUUAGAACUCUUUUUUCUAAUUAUUGCAUUUUUUCUUGUCACUAUAAAGAAUAAUACUAAUCGCUAGAGAAAAAUAUACACACACUUGUCACGUGAGUUGAUCAAGUGAUGAGUGUUACAGAGAAAAAGGAAAAUGUAUAUCCUCUUAUAGUUGCGUUUUCUGGCGUGAUUGUAUAUUGUUAUGAACAAUCUAAUCUAGUCCUUUCGCAAAAACCAAAAAACAAAAUAAAACAAAAAAUAAAAAAACAAUCUAAUCUAGUCUACAAAUAACUAACACAUUUCUAAUAUAGAUGGAACAUACUUAAAAGUUAGAAGGGCUCACAUGAGAAGGCCUAAAAAUGAUUUCAAAUAUAAUUUUAUGGAUACUUUGAUAGAUGUGUGGUUGGUUUCACUCACUUUACGUAUUUGUUGUGUAUAUAAAUCUUCAUAGUUGAAGCCAGGCAUAUUACCCCUACCCAGGUCAUGAUUCAUGGGAACUUGAGCUGCAAAAGAAGGUACGUUAACAAGUAAAACUGUAAAAGAGCCAAAACCCAAAAUUUAUAAAAUUAAAAAAAAGAAGAGAGUGAGUGUUCUGCAAAGGUUUAGAAUAGAGACGAAUUAGCAUUCAGCAGCGGCCUUCCCCCUUGCAUUGCAUAUCGUGAAGUCGUGUUUAAUAAUAACCACAUAACGUAAUCUCCUGCGGGGCGGUGUUCCCAUGUGCUUAUUAACUUUGUUUUUUACUUAUUACUUUUUUAGAUUAACCUAACAUCCUUCUUUUUUUGGUUUUUACCGCUGCUUCUGGUUUUUGAGUAGCCCGGUAACAGAAACUUUAGGUCACCCGUACGAUCACACACGCACAAAAUCGCAGGAUUUUUAUUUAUUUUUUAUUUUGGUCCAAUCCGGCCUAUAAUGGUUUUUGUUUUUUGGGUGUGUUACCGAUUUGCCAUAUACAGCAGACGCACACAAUAACUUCUCCCCCGGUAGGGUUUGGGGUAAUUUAGAACCUAUCCUCCAUGGUGGGUUCACUUCUGGAGGGGCUAUAAAUAUGUUUUCAGCUUCUAGGUUGAUGCAUGUUGGGGUUUUCGUUUCUGUAAAUUGGCAUUGGGUUUUACCUUUCAUUCUUUUUCUAUUUCAUUAAACUCGUUGCUAAGUAAAUUGGAGGAAGAAAAGUAACGAAUAUGCUACUAAGAAUUACUAGUUUAAUUCAGAAUUUGUGAUAGACACAUUGCACAUGAUUAAUAGUCGAAAACGAAGAUUAUACUCAUUUGCAACUAUGAAGAAACUGCCCUGACUAAUUAGUCUAACUCACAUGCAUAGUAAGUUAACGUGGUCAAACUUGUGAAUUGUAAUUGGAAAGUGUACCUUUGCAAAUCAUGAAGAACAGACGUACACUAUUUAGAGCUGAAAAGGGUGGUCAAUAAUUGAACUACGUAAAUGUUCAUCCAUCAGUGUGUAGUCAAUAUCUACACAUUGAAUAAAAUUGAAAGAUUUUUAUUAGGAGGAAGCUUUUAAGUUCGAUUCCUGCCCCUUCCCCACCUCUUUCAGUUGCAGGUUCCUUGUGUAAUAAUUGUCACUGUAUAAACAGCAUCCCAUAUUCCCAUUAAUGUGCUUAGCUGAAAAUAUAUCUAUCUCCUUAAUGUUAAUAAUAAUAUAGCUUAUCAAUCCAUAGGUCACACUAACUCAAGAGAGAACCAAAUAUGUACUUUUCUCAACAACAAAAAAAAUGUACUUGGGUAAUUUUAUAUAAAAUUUCCCACAUAAAUUUAUGGACACCCAUUUUGCUCUAACUCAUGUCCCAAAAGAGUUCAGAUAAGAGUUGGUGUGUGUAGUAUUACUCAAUAUUCAACCUUUGAUCAAUGUUUUGGUAUUACCUUUUCAAUUAAAGAUAUCUUUGCAUUGAAUACAAUCAACUUAAAAUAAUCACAAAAAACUUUACAAUGAUGGGAAGGAAUCAUAUUCCAAGUCAAAGAAAUUUACCCAAAAGCUCUUACCUGUCUUGUAAGGCAAUGCAUGCUGAUGUUGAAAUAGGUCAAAAGUAAAUAUCAGUGGUUAAAAGUCCACUCAAGUGAAUGGCACCAUCAUGAAAUUCAAGCGUCCAUAGGAUGAUGCUUUACCAGGUUUUUCUGGAGCAGCCUUAUUGAGCCAAUGACUGCAUCUUGAUUGAACCAGUAAGUUACUAUGUUAUUUUUCCUUAAUCUAAAGUUUCUAUCUGAAUAGGGAUGCAGAAUCCAAUCAAUUGAUCGACGAGGCUUUCCUGAAAACAUCAUGCUGAUCAAGCAACGAGAUAUGUUCAGGAGCCAACAUCAGUGCACUACUACUUAAGUAGUGUGGAGCAACCCUCCUCCUGCAUCAAAAAAUCAUGCAAUUAUAUUAACUUCUGCAAGGGAACUGACAAUCUUUAUUUGAAAGGCUGCAAGGAAGUCAAUUUGACAUCGAAAGUUCAUACCUCCUCCUUCUGGUGGUCUUCUCAAAGCCUUGUGCUAAACGAGAAGCUUCUGAUCUUGAAAUGUGGCGCAGCGAAGAAAGAUACUCAUGGAUUGCACCACCUUUCAAUGUCGAGUACAUUCUGGAAGGUACAAUGGACUGAACUACAUCAAAUACACCUGACUUGAUUUCACUGCAUUGCAGACACCAGGAGUAAAUGGGUAUCAGUGUAUCUGGCACGCCAAAUGUAUCUUUAAAUGUGUUAUAAGACAAAUGUUUACAAUUAAUGCUACAUUUGAUACCGAGGUUCUGCUUUGAACAAUCUAUGGAUGGUAUUGUAGAGACUAGGUGCAUCUAUAUAUAACAUACUUGAGAAGUAUUACGAUAUGUAUAGAGAAAACGGUCAUGAAACUUGACUUAAUUUCUUUCAUCUCUUCUUCUCUUCAAUAGAAAUGGAGAUAAAAGAAGCCGUUUUAACAUAGGUAAUAUUGAUAAGGAAAUGAACAAACGGAAAGUUUGAAGCUAUGAAUUUCAAAACAAUUCAAGAGGAUGACUAGUAAAAGCAUUUCGAAAUGGCAUUGUGAAUGUAUACUGGUUUUCAUACAGUUAUCAACAGCAAGGAAGUUGAGCCAAAUACCUCGUCACAUUUGGCAGGGUCCUCUCUGAAUUUCGUCCAGCAUAUGAAGUCUUACUUGUUCUCAUACCCUGCCCAAUUAACUUACCUAAUGCCAUCAUACUAGCUGCGUUAGCCAACAUAUCCGAGGCUAAAUCCACCCUCAUACAACUUUCUUUUGAUUCUACAGAAGAAAUGCCUUUUGCAUAGAAGCAAAACCCAUGUUGCCCAAUUGUGGAUGCCAGCCGUAAUUGCUCAUCGUACCAGCUGGAUGCAUCUGACUCCUCCAAAGGGAUCAUUGAUGGUUCCAAAGAAUCCUGCACAAACAAUUAAUUGCCAUCAUGACCUACAGAUGCAUAACACAAAUGAUCAAAUAUCCAACCAAAAAGUAUUGACACUUACACUUAUUAGUGAUUGGCAUCUAGAAAACAAUACAUCAGUUUCUGAGAUCAAAUUGCUCAUUCUAUAGGCAAGCAUAACAAUCUGACAAGCAUCUUGUUGUUCUAAUGCAAUAUACUGCCUUAGAUCACUGCGAGAGCCACGAAGUUUGUCCCAUGAAUCUUGUACAAAAUCAGUCACCACCGAGGAUUUUUGCCCCUGUGCAAAGUUGGAGCACUUAAUAAAAUCCAUACGGCUACACUCAUCCAUCACCUGAUAAGCUCCUGCAACAGUCUCCGUAUGUUCAUUCUGAGAAUCUUCCAACUCCUGAUGAGAAGAUUCUGCAAUUGCAGCACAAUUGUUUCCCCACGUAUCAAAAUUCCUUUGUAAUCCUAACUCCAAUUUAUCAAGAUUAUUUCCUUCAACAUGAAAUUCCUCACAUGAAAAUAUUUCUUUUAUGGUGUUGGCAACACGGUCAGAAGUUACUGUGUGAGAAGAUAACUCUGUUCCAUUAUCCAUUUCAGUUUCAGGAACAUAAGUUGAUUCUGGCACACAAGAUAUAUCAAUUGAGUUGCACAUCUCACUUAUGUGCAUUUCGUCUGCAGUUUCUGAACAUUGACAAUGUCCUUCAUCUAUAUUAGCCACUCCAGAACAACGUAGCUCCUCAGAUGAGGGAUUAACUCCAAGGACUUCGUUGUUAGUAUCGUUAUCUGUAACUUUAGGAUAUCCAUUGUUGAUAAACUCGUCUUCAGAAUCAGAGGACAUAACAACAUCAUGCAUUUUCCGAACAUAUCGCCGACAGAAGGAAAAUGGGGCACCUGAAUCGUUGGGAAACUCAGAAGCAUCAUCAGUUUGAGCUUUAUAUUCACUGGAGUCAUGAACAGAGCCAUUCCUUCUCAGCAUUGCUACCUUCUUGGCCUCUAUACUUUCCAUCUCAUUACAAGGCAUGUUGAAACUGUAUUGCACUUCUGUAUUGUCAAGUUUUUCUUCAACUACCUUCAUUGAGCUUGAACUUUCUUCCAUCAUGGAUGAUGCCUUGGUUAUCUCUUUCUCUACUAAAUCAGAUAACUGCGAAGGUAUAUCCCAGGGUAAUAUUUUUGGCAGCAUCAGAUGGCCAGCCUCAACAUCGAACAGCAGGGACCCAUACAUCUCUUCCAUUUUUGUAUCUGCAUAGACAAAUCUACGAUUGUUUUUCCUUUCUAUAUGAAAACUCUCAAGAAAGAAAAUUCUACUGGCCAAAUAAUAAAUGGGAAGAAUCAUGUGGAUGUCUAUUAAUCUGUUACAGCAAAUUCAAGUGUCCAACUUAUAUUCUUAAUAGAGAAAUUCACUCAAGGAAACGUCUAUUGUCUUGAAUAAAUGGUAAAACCAACAUACAUUCACGUUUCAUAAGUUUGCUUCUAAAUAAAUUAGAGGUGGUCGGACCAUAACAGGUGCAUUAUAUUUUUCCCGAAAUCUCCCUCAUACCCCCCAUUAAAUAUUACUGAAAACGUUAAUUGUUCUUGAACCCCCAUUAAUCCAAAAUCUUUAUCUCUUUUCAAAUCAUGAUCAAGGAAACACCAAUCACCAUGGUCAUAAGAUUUUUUUCAGUCAUUCUUAAAAUCCACCCCCUCCAUUUUCCUUAUUUGUUUCUCCCCGAUCACUUUGUUUGCGAUAAAACCAAAUCUAGAACUUGUCUAUCCUUAACAAAGGGGAGGACUGUGAAGUUACUAGUAGAACUAGUUUCUCUAAGAAUUCUAGACAGUAAAGUAAUAAAAUGAUUUAGUUCUUCUUGAGAAACUAGAUGUGGUCAGCCCACAACAGGUGGAUCCUCUUUUUUCUCCUAACCUUAUUAUCUUGUCUCAUUUUUCUAUGUAGAUGUCAUCUGUAUAAUAAACAACUCAUGUCAAGUACUACACAAGUUAAUUCAUAUGCCUAAAAGUUGCAUGGCUGUUCACAGAAUUCCAAAAAAUCUUAACAGAAUAGUUUGAAAUAUAUAGAUCUAACUACAAGUAACAUGUAUGUCUAACCUUUUCUAAAACUUCUACCCUGGCACCAGAACUGAAGAUGCAUAAUAAUUUUUCGUAUAUCUCCCCGACAACACUCAAUAAGUCGCUCAAGUAAAUAAGGUUCUAUGUUGGCUCUCUCCGCAGCACAAACCUGCAGAACAAUAACAGAAUGAGUUUAAAAACAUAUAGAUUUCAAGAGUUCCACAAUGGGAAAGUUGAUCCAGCAAAUGAAGCACAUACCAUAUAUGCAUGGGAAUGCAGCGCCUUUGAUGAUGGCAACAUGAAAUGCACUUUUAGUCUGUCAAAAUUGUCUGGCAGAACCGGAUUUUGACCUAGAAUUACCACAAUUAUAAUAAGCCCCCUUACAUUUCAAAAAAAAUAAAUUCAAGGAGUGCAACUAUUUCAACCAGUAAACCCUCUUACUAUUGCUGGUCAAUAUAAUAGGCCCCUUGGCUGUUUUAGCUAUCUGUUGAAUUGCUGCAAGAAAACCACGAUCUUCAGGAAAAGUGAUGUCUACAUCCUCAAAAAGUAUAAGAUGUUUAACUUUGCUCUGAUCCUCCUUAUAGUCAGAUUUUACAGAGGUUUCAGUAGCAUCAUGAGAAUCUUCAUCUGAUAUGGGUAUCAAUUCAACGACCUCAUCAUUAAACUCCUGGUCUGUCAUACCAUUAGCCUCAACAAACAGAGAUUUCACAAUAUGUUUGUUCUGUGAACCCAUAGGAUUUGCCACUGAUCUGAAAGAAAGAAAAUUAUUAAUUAAUAUUUUUCAAAUCAUCGUCAACAAAUAAUGAUGAAGGCCAACUAUCAACAUGAUUUACAAGCAAAAGUUCACAAUGGCAGGCAAUCUCUUAUUAAAACAUAUUUUUCUUUCUGACUAAAUAUUUAAAAUAUAUUCUGAAAAGAUACAUUCAUUAAAUAUGCAACAUAACAAAGAAUUUCCAGAACAGACAAGAAGCUAAUUUAGGAAAUAAGAAAGCCCAACCACUGAUAAGACAUCGUAAAUGCCCUCAAACCAAACUGAAUGUUUUCAAAGGAAAAAGAAAGAGUACAAGCAUCUUCAAUACUUCCAACAGAAAAUUUCUAACUUGUUAAGAGUCUCCCCCAAGCGAAAGUCCUAUUUCACAAAUCAAAUUAUCAAAACGCAAUGCCUUUGUCAAUAGACUCACUCUAAAAAAUCAGUUAUGAAGGGAAAAAUUAGUAAGAACUCUAUGUAAGGAUCUUCAAACAAAUAUAUCAAUCUCAGUGGCAAAAAACCAAUAGACAUUGUGAUCACCACCAAAGACAACAAAGCGGUGAAUUUUGCCACUCCUAUUUUGGUUGAUGAAUAAUCAUACAGAUGCAGUAGAUAAAUUUUCACUUCUGGGCAUUAGCAGCUUUGGAGUUGGAAUUUGGAAAGUAAGCUUUUCCGUAGGAUUUAUGAAGAACAACCAGACAAGCACAUAUUUCUUAGUUAUCACACUCUCACAAAGUUGAGGGCAAUCAAGGCUUUAGAAUAUAAACAUCAGAGAAUGAUCUUAAUGGUUCUGGGACUAAAAAACUUCCUUGGACAUAAGAAACAUGGAAAUCAGGGAAGUACAUGCUUCAAUAAAAGGCAAUCAUCCAGCUAACAAACGUACAAAACGAAAAAGAAAAAUAAGUAAACAAGCACUUCUAAACAUAAACAGGCAAACCUUCUAAGAUGGCGAGAUUUCAAAGCCUCUCCAAACCUCUGUUUCACAAGAGCUCCAUUCCGACACUCUGAUGCACUGAGCUGGUAAGACAACAUAUCAGAAAAUCAAAUAUAGUGUCAAAACUAUCAAAAUACAAAACAGAUAGUGUCUUAAACACAAGUCAUUAGAGAAGGUGGAAGGAUGAGUUAUCAAUAGAAUUAUGAAAAUAUACUGUCAAGUUCAACUGCAUGUAUUAACCAAAACAGAAAAAGAAGAAAAUGUCUUGUGAUGGCAGGAUGAAACAUUUUGGAAAUUGCCUCAAGUUCGACAGACAUCAGCCAGAAGGUUAAUUUUGUUGUUUGGAUGGGACGCUAAACUUUUUUUUUUUGUCUGAACGGUAAACUUUUACUUCAUCGAAAAAUGACCUAACCACAAGCAUCAUUGUCAUAUGUUCUUACAUCCGACUGACAGCCAUCUUGAUAUAUUUCUAGAUAUAAAGAUGGUUAGUUUAUUGUAAGGAAAGAGAAAUGGGGUAAACCAAAACCAUUCAGGACGUCUUCUCUCAAAAUCCCAAACUCUAGUCAUAACUCAUCCAAUGAUCCAAUCUUUACAAUUAGAUGUAAAUCUUACACUUAAUUUUGGGACUGGAUAACCACAAACUGACAUUCCAUGGUCAAACAUGAAAGUGGCAUCUAGAAAGCGGUAAGAACCAAUGAAACCUUAAGUAUAUGACAAGGUGGUCAGCAGAUUAGAUGAAGAGUACUUUAGGCUGACUUAACAAUAUGCUAUUGUUUAUCUCUUAUUAGUACUAUGGAUACCACACCACAACUAACUUUCUCUCUUUCUCUUUUAAUCAGCAUGAUUAUGAUAAAUUAUCACAACAAAAUCUUGGUCCAAUCAACAGUUAAAUACAUUCCAGGAUAUGAAAAAUCAAUAAUAGUUUAAUAAUGGAGAACUGCACUAUCUUCAGCAACAAGCAUAUUUAAAUUUCUUUACCUCCAAAAUCUUAAACCCUUGCUCUUGUGCACAAGCAUAGAUAGCUGCAGACUUUCCACUCUGCAAGAUGAGAAACAUACACUUUACCCACAAAAAUUUAACCAAAAAGCAUCAGCAUAGAAUUUGUCUUUUUGUAUGCUUAAUGAGUUUUGUGAUGGUAGCAAAGCCACCUCAUGGAAAAUGUUGAGGGUAAAGAUGAAACUAGGAUCCAGAGUAAAGAUGCUAGCCCCCAAAACAAUAUUACUAAAAGGAUUAUCCGCAAAGAUAAUAUCAGUUCCGAUACAAGAAAAGAUGAAUUAAUUAAAGGCCCCACAAUGAUGCAUUUGGAUAUUCGGUGGCAAAAAAUCAUAAAUAGAAACAAGAAUUAGGUCACAAAUUUCAAGUGGAUCAAUGGGAUAAUAUAAAUUUGUAUAUACCCCAAUUGGCCCUGUAACUAGGAGAACAUUAUUUUUCUUCAUGCUAGCCUCUUCAUUUUCACUUUCUAAAUCAGAGUCACUUUGAGAACAUCUAUAGUCAUUAUAUUGCCUGUCACAGUUACCACUACCAGUGGGAUCUUCACUGGCUCGAAAAUCUCUUUUGUACCAAAGACGAAGCCACUCACUCAAAAAAUUCACAGAUUCAUCGUUACCACAUACCUGCAGGAUCAUGUCAUUAGAAGAUCAGAAUCAGAGUGAUAAUGGGAAAUCGAAGGGACAAAGGCAUUUUCUUAUCUACAUUUAGGAAGAAAAAAAGAAGUCUGACAGUAGAAACUUUAAAGUGAACGGGACUUGUAUGUCCAUAAAGAAUAUAUGGGUCCCAGAUUCCUUACAUCCCUGGCCUUCAAUGGACGGUACUUGUAUGUCCAUAAGCAAUCCUUAGGCUGAUUACCACAACUGGAAUAGUUUGACAUUACCCUGAAAUUUAAUGAACCAAUAAAGUGAACAAGAUUGCAACAUAUAUAGAUAGGUUAAUCUCAAACUAACGCGCAGGUUUUGAAUUGAUAUUCGUAUUGCCUCUAAAUGAGCAGGUGCAACUUGAGACAACGGAGCAUAAAGAUAUUGGUGAACUAAAAGUAUCCCAAGCAUAGUGAGGAAGAAACCUUUAUUUAAUUAAAUAACAUUUCGAUUUAAACAAUUACUACAAAAUUUAAUUCAUAAUAGAAAUUCCAAGACAAUUCAAAUAGGAAACCUUCAACCUUUCCUCAAGAAUACUCUGCUGCUCAAUAUCUGACGUAUUCAUGUAAGCAGUAUGUUCAGAAAGCAAACCAAGUUUAACGACCCCAUUAUCCUGACAAAAGUAAGAGAAAAUUGAAUUGGAAUAGAGUUCCUUAAUUACUGUUAUUCAGUUAGGUGGUGAAAUAUGUACCUCCUCUUCCCUUGAGUGAUCUACUUCCUUUAAGUUCUGAUAGCACAUCACUUGCCCGUCAACUAAGAAGUCAGGGACUGUUGUUGAUGUUUCAUGUGCACAUUCUUGUUCAAUGAGACACUGAUCUAAAGAUACCGUGUUCUGAAAAGUUGAUGCUUUGCAGGGUUGGAAAACAGUGGGAAGCUGGUCAAAUUUUAAGCACUCAACAGAGCCUUCAAAAAUUGAAGAGGGCAUAUAUUCCAGAUCAGGACUACUUUUCAUAAAGGGUUCCUCACAAAAUGUCCAGUUUCUCCAAUCAAGGAACACAGCAUCAUCCUGCAUAGCAGAAUUUUAAUAUUCAUCUUUGGUGAGAAGGAAAGGUACAAACAAUAAAACCCAAGAACAGCUAAUGCCAUAUCUACUCCAUAUUGUUAUACAAUGUGCACAUGGAUAAUCCAAAAGAACCGUACCUGAGUCCUUUCAAACACAUGAAUUGGACCACAAGUAUUCUCUUUAUCCUUACUUCCAAUGAAGCUUGAAUCACCAUCAACUUCAAUUGCCUCCCGAUUUUUCUUGCUUGCUUUACAAUAUGAGAAAAAUGGAUGUAUUUGCUUCCCUGAGAAUAUCCGUGAAGUUUCCUGAUCAAACAUAAAAAGGAAGAAACUUAGAGCGACAAACCAGACACCAAAGCUGGCACAAAAAAGGAGCUAAUGAGUGCUUUUUUCCAGUCACAGGCAUAGCUAAUAAGCCCAAUUUACAAUGGUACAAUCCAACCACUAAAAUAACAAAGAUUAUAAAUUUAAAGAAUUAGUUGGGGUUUGAUGCUGAUUUGAGUUGAAUGGAGAAAAUUUAAUCAGGAAGAGCAUGAAGUAAAUCGUAACUGGCAGAAACAACAGAGCAGUUAAGAAAACUAACUAGAAAAAAGACUCAAUAAAAACAGAGAAAAAGAAAACAGAAUGACUGACCUCGGCUUUCAAUCUAGCCUCCAACCUCAAAUCAGGGAUUAUUACUGGAGCUGCAGUUUCACUCUCUACCUCAGUUGCAUUCUUCUUCGGUGUACUAUUCGCCGAACGCUUACCGUUCUAAAAUUAAAAACAAUAACACCAACAAUUUGAUUCAUUAAAAGAACUAUUAACCUCAAACUCAAUCAAGCAAGGCAAAUAAUGUACCAUACGAAUCAGAAUAAAGUUCAACAAGAACCAAAAAUUGCACAUAAUUCACCUUCUUAGGAGCUUUAAUUGGAGGCGUUUUCUUUGCCUUUGACUUCCUCUUCCUCUUGCUUUGACUCCCACAGAAAUCCUCGUCCUCGCCGUCAUCGUCUUCACCAUUACCUCUCUCGGCCUUCAGAUCGCCGUCUUCCUCGAGCUGUUGUUGGGGUUUGAGAGGGAACAAUGUGGACUGAACCAAUCUCCGGCGAACGACUCGCCGUGUCGGCGUCGAAGGCCGGGCGUUCUGAGCUGAAUUGUCCAUGGAAUUGGAGUGGAUUGGUAAUUUGGGAUAGUGGGUGAAUUGGGGUUUUGUGGGGGGUUUUUAGGGAUUUUGGAGAAGACUGGUAAGAGUUUAUGUGUGUAACGGAAACGUGAUCUUACAGUGAGGGAAAAAAGGAAAGGCAAAAACAAAACAAAAAAUUAUGGAGGGAAAAAGGAGGUUGUUCCCGCCUUUAGAGGAGGGAUUUGGGUUAUCACGCUUAGAUAUUUGAUAUUUAAUUUCAUUCAAAUUACACAUUAAAUUGUUGUUACAUUUUUUUUUAUCGAAUUAAAUGGUUGGUAAUUCAUUCUCAUUAAACUGUAAAAAGAUUGUGGUUAUUGCCUAUGUUGGUUGGGCAAGUUAACCAUGAUAAUGAACAGGCCUCCUUGAACUAAAGUUCGAAUAUCUUUGCUAACGGGUCUAGCCCAGUAAAAAUAAUUAUUGAUUUGCAAAUUAGUAGUCUCAUGUUUGAAUCCUCAUGGCACCGUGACAGCGUGUGUGUUUGAGAAGUCCCCCUCCCCCUCUAUUUUAAACUAUCGUUUUUACUGAAAAAAGAAAGUUAUAAUCUCUUUCUUUUUUGUAGAUUAUAUUAAUUAAUCUAAUCAAAACUAUUGUUUGUAAUAAUCUAUAAUAGAAUAUGACUUUUAAUUUAUAAGUAGUGACCUUUUUUGUGUGGAAAAAGAAGUAGUGACCUUUAGAUUAAGUUCAAGUCAUGUAGUAUUUUUAUCUAAAACUAGAUGCCCUAAAAGUAUAGCUGGGAGCCAUUACACUGUAAUUUUUUUUUAUUCUUGCCAUUAGGUUUCAAAAUGUACUUUGGCCACUACAUGACUCGUUUUCAAUUGAUCCAAUUAGAAGAUUGUUGAAACAAAUCAUUACUUAAUAGUAUAUAAUAUGUAAAUUGUUAUUUUUUCUAAAUUAGUAAGAGACAAUGAAGUAUAUCAACCAUUUUCAAUUAUUGGCAAUGAAUAUUGGUAUUUAUUACUUCCAUAAUUAUUUGUAGUUAAUUCAAAUUGUACCCCGUUUAAAGGACACCAUUUAGGAUACUCUACGAUUUUUUUUUUCAACAAUCCAAAUCAUCUAUUUUUUAAGUAUACAUUCAUAGAUCAUACUUGCAAAAAAUUAGACAAAUUGAAAACCGUUUCGACAU
rnacentral:lncRNA from 1 species